GUGGUUUGCAAGCUAGCUAAGUUAAUCCAAAAACAAUACUCUAGACAAAGAUGAGCAAAUUGAAGGCGACAAAUGCAAAUUGGAUUUCCAUGAAUAAUUGUUAGGCUGGUGGAGAUAUUCUUAAAAGGGCAUUAAGCUAUCUUAUGGAAUUGGAAAGUUAUUAUUGCUUGAAAGCAAGCAGCAUCUUCGUUGCGAAGGCUUUCCCCACCUGAUAAAAUGCUGAGAUUGUUACCGGCCCCUUAAUUAUUUAUUAACUCAGGUAUUUAUUAUCAAUACAUCAUCUUAUUCACCAUUUUGGCUAUAUAUAAAGAUUAAAAUUUCUAACAGUUGUUUCGGAUUCUUGUGUACUCAGGUUAAUAGGGCAAAUAUCAGAAUGAAGAUUGCUCAGUGCAACCGAUAGAGCAAGGAUGAUAGUUGUGAGAAAGAUUGUUGGCAAGACAAAUAGAGUCCUCCAUUUGGAGAAAUAUCAUCCUCAAAUUUGAAUUGUCGAGCAUGUGAGGUGAAGCUAAAGCCUUAAUAAUGAGACCUUCCUGUGGAAGUUUCAUUUGAAUGAAUUGAACGUUCUUAGUGAGUGAGAAAUUAAGUAUAUAUCAGCGAUUUUGGUCGUCUGUGAAUGUUUCCCUUCAAUAUUAAUACACUGGCAUUUCUUAGUAAAUUCGCUUCACGUCACUUCCUCCUUGUUGGUGGGACUAGUAAACAAAUGUCAUUUCUUAGUACAUUUUGAGAAUUUUGAUUCCCAAAUAAGCCUGCAGAACGGUGUAUGGUGGGAUUAGCUGCAGGAUUCUUUGCCAAAAUUCCUUUUUAUUCCUUUGUUCACUUAUUCGUUAUAAAUAAAGUAAAAUUAGAAUAUUGUUCCGUUUACUGUCUAAGCUGGUCUAACAUUUGUUUAAUUUGGGCAAUUUUUAAUGCCUAACAGGUUAUCUGUGACAAACCCAUCGGUCACUAACAAUUUUGAAGUUAUUGGAGUAGCACGGCUUUGAGGUCUCUCCCUCCCUCUUUUACGUAUUUGUCUAUCGAUCGACAUGUCUAUAUAUACAUUGAUAGACCAACUUACUCUUGUUUUAAUGUUUUGUUUGUUAAACUUGACUGGGGAAUGUUUAUUUGUCUCAUAUGAUGUCAAUGUGGUUCCAAUUGAAGUGUAUAGAUCUGUCACCUCAAAGUCUGAUUUCAAUUUUCCUUUACUUCAUCAACUAGCAUCCUUUCCAAGUCCAGAUACUUACCAAUAGUGAGACUUUGCUACGGAAGUACAAUUUCUCUUGUUUUACAGUUAAUUAUGUAAGAAUAGUUUUAAAUUUACAGAAUUUUGAAAUAGCUCUCUUAAGGAAAUGCGAGUGGUGAAUAUGGUUCCAACUUUUAAUAGGCUUAAUAGGCCCAUUUGUUAAGCCACAGUGAUUGCGGUCUAAAUUCUUCUUUACUGUCUAUAUGUGUUGGAGUUUGUCUAUUGUCCAACUUCUCAAAUCGAUUCCAUGCAGGGUUUUGAAUGUCUAAUUAGGAGAAAGAUUAACGGAUGACCUUUUGAAGAAGGCUUACACAACAGGCCAUCUCAGGAUGUCAUGGCUCAGCUCAAAAGUCCCCAGGUGGUUAAUGACAAUGUGCCAUUGUUUCUGGGCUUGGUCUCCUUGGCAUCAAACAAGAUAAUGUUGACUCUAUUAAAGGGGAAAUAAGGGCGACUAAAGCGCGAAGAAAGAGGAUAGUCCGGAGGAAGGUGACUGCAUAAAUUUGUUGGAGUUAAUGUAGUCAAUUGCCUAAUUUUGCUGCCUGUCGAAGAGACACAUCAUGGAAGUCCUCAUCAAACUCUGAGACACCUAAGAAAUAGUAUGAGGUGGUGGUAUUCCCCUGGUGUUAAUUUCCUGGCAAGUGUGGUUCACAGAUAGAGGGAUUCUUUUCUUGAUGUCUAAAUACCGUAUGUGAUACAACGUCGUAUAUUCUAAUUUUCCUUGAGUUAAAUUCUAGUCAGUUAGGAAAGUUAAUUUUGUUUUCGCUAUGGAUUGUUUCCUAGAUAAAAAUAGUUUCCAUGUUUCUUUGGGGUCUUAUUAACUCUCUGUAACCCAGUUCAAGUUUGCAAAUUCUAUUUCAGAUUUCUCAUAUAGUGUGCCUUUGUCACUUCUGUGAUACACUUUUGAUCACAAGUUUCCAUUUGAAGUAACCAAUAUUCUUUAUAGACUAAUUAUCUAAGGAUUAUUUUAUACAAAAAAUCAAAACUUUAAUUAAUUGAUCAUACUUAACUUGGCUUUUGUUUGAUAUUACUAGCUGUUGUGAGAACCAAAAAAAUAGCAGAAAGUUGACAAUGUGCAGUAAAUGUAUGACUUUUAAAUAAUAAUUUAAUAAAAUUAAUAAAGAUAUUAUAAAUUUUUUAAUAAUAAAGUAUGAGAUCAAAUCAAAUUAAUUUUUAAGUCAAAAUUGUUUAAUUAUGUAGUUUAAAAGUAUAGUAUCCAACCUCAACACAAUAGAGAGAUUUCUAUUUACCAAACUCUACCCAACUUUGGUUGUACUGACUCGAUCAUGCAAGUCCAUACUCGACGCGUUGACCAUACAAGAUGUUACUCAACUUUAACAAAUCUUACUCAAACUUUGCACGUUUAGCAUGCCGAAUGGAAUAUGAUAGUAGAUGAUGUGAUAGAUAUUAUAGGAAUAGUCGUAACAAAAUUAUAUUUAGUACUUUUUUAUAUUUUAUGUGAUGAACAGAUGUAGUAUAUGAAUGGAUUAUAUUACAAAUUUUAGUGUUAUCAUAAUUAAAAAAUUGAAUUAUUUUUUAUUAUUGAAAAACUGUAAUAUGUUAAAUAACAGUUAUUUUUAUUAAUUUUUUUUAAUGAAUUAUACUUUUAAAUUAUAAUCGAAAAUUCUUAUUACUGAACUAAUAAAAAAUUAAUUAGCUCAAGAGAUAAAUUCACUUAGUGUAGAACGAAAUGGUGUGUUAUUUUUAUGUGGGAUCCACAUCCUUUCCACAUCAACCUCAACAUCCAAACAUGAAAUUGGACUAAAAAUAGUUCUUUCCCAUGUAUUUACGUAACCUCCUCCCACUAAACGCAAAUAUUUAUUCUUGAUUUUACUAACAUAAUUUUCUCCCAUUUCCAUAUUGUCCGCGUUGAGUGCAUGUAAUCCACAAGUUUAAUUAAUUUUUUUUUUUUUGAGAGAGGUAUGUUAAAAUGAAUAUAUCACAUUUUUUUCUUUUUUCCUUUUUUUUGCGUGAGUGAUGGCUUCGUUGAAUGACAGUUGGCUGAUAAUAAGUUAUCUUUUAAUUUUGUUUUUGAUUUAAUAGAAACUAUUAAUUUUUGUAGUUUCGGUAGAUGAAAUUUCGAAUCAAAUAUUAAUAUUGUUAAAGUACGCAACCCAAUAUUUACUUAAAUUACAAAAAAGAUUAAUUGCUUUGCAUAAAAAAGAAGUGAUCACUUGAUUUAACUUCCUUUACUAAAUUUACGAUUUAAAAUCCAAAAUAAAAAAAAGAGUUUAUUAUUGAUUAUCUUUUUCCCAAAUUUAAGCUAAGACAGUAAUAUGUCCAAAAUACCCUCCACGUUAUCCUAAAACUUUAUGAAUUCCCCCGUUCCUCUCAACAUCAUCUCUUCCAAAUCUUUCUUCCCCAAAAAACCAGCCAUGGCUUCAUAUUUAGUUACCUCAACACUCCAAUAUUGGCUUGUAAACAGCAGCGGUUCAACCUCUAGGCAACUUAGGUGGUUGCAUAGGACUCCGCUUUAUAUGAAAGCCCUACAAGAUGAUUAUUUUGUAUAUAAAAGAGGAAAAUGAAUUUAAAAGUCAUUAUUAUUCAUUUAAUUUAUUAUUAUUUUGUAAUUAUCUUUUUCUAAAUAAACUAUCAAAUUCUUAUCAAGUUUAUUUAAUGUAGUACUUAAUUGUUUUAAUUUCUACAAAACCAAUAAAUUAAUAGUUUCAAUCCUAAAAAUUCUCUAUUUCAUUGUUAGAAUUAAUAAGUUAUAUUUCAAAAGUUUUAUAUUUAUUUUAAACCUCUAUAAAAACCCCACAUUUUAUUACUUAUCCAUUAAAUUUUUCGUUCAACAAUCAAGACAUCUUGGUGUUUGAGAGAAAGAAAGAGAGAGGGAAAAAAAUCUUGCUUCCUCUACUUUCUACUCUAGAAGAAAAAGAAAAAAUCAAAUAUUUUUCUCUAUUUUCUAUGACUAUUGGUUGCUACUCAAAUUUUCAAACAACAGCCUUAAUAUAAACAUAAGUUAAUUUAUGAUUUCAUCUCAAAUUUCUGAUUUUAUCUUUUUAUUAUUCUCUUAAUUAAUUGUGUUGUUAUUUGUUCUUAUUUCUUUUUAUAUAUUCUUUUCUUCAUCUACUUUUUUUGUGCUUGUUUUAUCUAUUUUGAAAUAAAACUAUAUCAAAAAAUUUUAGACAAUAGGAGAAUAAAAAAAUUAGAUUAAUUUAAAAAAAUAGUAAAAAAGAUAUAAUUUAACUUAAAAAAAAGUGAAAAUGUUAUAAUUGAAUUAAAAUUUUAUGACUUAACAACAAUAGAAUAAAUUUGUAUUUAAUAAUUUUAUAUUUUAAAGUAUUUAAAGAAUUAAUUUUUAAUAAAUAAUAUUAAUAUAUAUAUAUAUAUAUAUAUAUAUAUAUAUAAGUUACUUAUCUCUCCAUCCGCACUUACCUCUCCCUCACAUUCAUCCUCAACCACACAUCAACAUCAACAUCAACAUCACCUCUCAUUGGACCCCACAUCCUCAAGCCCAUCACAGCCGUCCAUAACCUCACCCUCCUCCUCCUCUCCCUCAUCAUGGCCGUUGUUUGCCCUCUCUCCAUCAUCCUCCAUUUACCGCACCUCCGUUACACCCUCUGUUUCCUCCUUACCAUUUCUCCGUCUGGCACGGCCUAAUUCCGACGGAAUCAACGACGGUCGUGAUGGGUUUUGGCUGCGACUAUUCGCGCUUCAAACGGCGGCGUUUCGGUUGGUUUUUGGCGACAGUGACGGUGGGAAAGUGAUGGCUGGCUCAGGAGCUUUCGUUGCUACCAUCCAUGGCCGGUGAGGUGGCCGAAAAUCGGAUAUAUGUCUGCGUCGGGUUCGCAGUUUUGGGUCGGGUUUUCCGGGUCAGUUUGACAGCUUCCUCUAUCCCUCUCCCCCAUAAAACAUUACCCAGCUUCCUCUUAUUAUUAUUUUUUUUUUCACAUACGUUACAGAACAUUAAUGAGAGAUGUUUAGUAGUAAGGACUAUUUUGAUAUUUCGAUGAGUAGUAAAAACUAAUGUUAAAAUUUUAUAGACGAAUGUAGAGUAAGAUGCUCAAAGUACUAGAACAUAUAUAAAUAAUCCCAGCUCUUAUAAAAUUUUGCCACAUAAUGAGUUUUAUCCCUUAAGCAAAACAUAUCGAUAAAGUAUACAAAAGCACAAUGCAUGAAUGAUGGUCUUACAAAGUUCGAAUAUAAAGUUUAUAAUCUAAAAUUAAUGAUGUGACAAUUAACCUAAUGGAGUAAGAAGGCCCAAAUAGAUUAUAUUUUGCUAAAGAAGUAAAUUCUACCAAGAAUACCUCUUUCUAUUGAAUUUAAAUGAUGAUUAUUUGUUUAUAUCAUAAAAACUAAAAUAACUGUGUGAGUAAUUUGAUUCUUUUACAGUAUAAAAAUAAAUUCAGAAAAUGUUAGGGCAUGUUCUGUGUUUUAUUUUUAAAUUUAUAUUAUGAGAAUGAAAAUGGUGUUUUCAAGUUGAUAAAUUUUCAAUUGAAAUAUGUGUUUGUUAUUAUUUCAUUUAUCCUAUAUUUUCAAAAUGAAAAUAACCGAUAGAUAAAGUUAAAAAUGAUAAAAUAAUGGAUAUAUUAAGCAAUUUUACUACAUGCAAAUUAUUUUCUGUGUUUAAAGUUCAUAUAAAGCUUGUUUAUUUUUCAACAUACCAACUUACAACAAUAAUAAUAAAAUUUUUGUGAUAUCCAAUAUUAACUUUUUAAAGUAAUUAUUUUUUGUUAAUGUGUCCGCUGUUCAAUCGAUCUUCCUACUUUCUAUGCUUGAGAUUAGAUCAUUUGCUUCAAAGAUUCGAACUGGACUUAUAGUAGGAAAAAGAAUUUUCUUCAAUAUGAACUCUAAUUCUCUUUUAUAUAUAUAUAUAAAAAAAUCUAAUUCUCCUUUCAACAUUUUAACAUUUUGAUGAAAUAAAAAAUUAUUGGCGAAAGAUUACAUGCUUCCUUACUUUAGAGAACCAAAUACUCAGAUAGGUAGUGUAAAUCUCUACUGAUCGUUGGUGAUUUUAUCAAAAUAAAAUUCAAUAAAAUGUAUAAGAACACUUAAAUCCGUCCAAAAAAAAAAAUGACCCAGCAAAUAAAGAAAAGUACUGUGAAGUAAAAAUUGAACAAACCUAGAAAGAAGAGAAGAAGAAGAAUGGAAGAAGGAGAUUCGGUUCAUAAAUCAUGGAGGGAGAUGAGACUUAAGAGAUAGGGUUAGUGAGACAGACGAGGUCCUAGAGUCUUAAAGAUGAAGACUAUCUAUUAUUAGUUACUUAUUAUAAUGAUGUUUAUUAUUAUAAUUUAUUUUACAAUUUUUUUUUAUGAAACAAGUAAAACAUGUUUAAGUUGUUUUGUAAUUUAUAACUGUUAGAGGCAAGUCAGAUUCUGUGUUUUACAAUUAAAUUUUAUGAGGACUACUGAACGCUUAUUUUACUUAGAUUUAUAAAACGAAAAUGAGAAUGGCCAGUAAAAAACAAUACCGAAUGCCCACUUACUUCAUCUCAUACUCUUAGGUCACAAAAAUAGCAAUAACUCUAACAAAUUUAUUAUUGAAUGUGAAUGGUUAUAUAUCGAUCAUUUGAUACGUAUUUUUCAAGACAGAACCUCAAUUCAAUGGACAAAAGCUCCUCUUAAUUUUUCUUUUCUAUUUAAAUAAAAGAACAAAAGAAAUUGAUUACAGAGCCAUUACUUUUCCAAGAAUUAAUAAACGAAAAGGCCCAUAAUUUUUGUAAACCCACCCCACUCUCAAGAAAUAAUUACAAUAAGUUCAAAUUAUUUUUUAAAAAUUGAAAUAAAGAAGAUGUAAUUACAAUAAUUUGGAGAUUGAAUCAAAUAAAAUAAAAGGGUUAUUUUUACAUACCUCCCCUGAGGUUUCACCUAAUAUCAGUUUAAUAGAAAGUAUCUCCGUAUUUUUACAUCCCUCCCCUACAGUUAGUAUAAAGUUAUGUAUAUCAUCAGUACACAAGGCUAAAAUCGUAAAAGCUCAUUUAAAAUUCGUUUUAAUCGUAUCAAGUGGCAUCGUAAUCAAAGCCAAUAAACCACCAGCCAUGGCUGCACUCACUCCCUGAAACGCCAUCACAGUUUUUGAAUCCGGCCUAAUCAUCAUCAUAUCACCCUCACGGUCACCAUAUUUCCUGCGCAAGAAACACCCAACUCCACCCCAAACAAGCCUUUGAGCAACGGAAUAAGACGCCCACCAAACUGCAUUUGAUGGUGCAUUUGUCAAGAUUGAAAUCCCGGAGCCCAUAUACAAUCCUCUAACCCCAUCAUUUCUAACAAUCUUCCUAAACAUAUCAACCCCAUUUACGUAUCUAGCAUCGGCCCCAUUAGCCACCAUAAGCCUCUGAGUCAAAACAUCAACUGGGGUCCAGACAAGCUGAGCAGCCAUGGCAGCACUCAAUCCACCAACAGCACUAGCGACCGCCGCCGCCGCAGUAAACCCUAAGUCACUAACAGCAAAGCUGCCAACUUUAGUUAAAUAAAAUUAAUUUAUUUGCUUUGAUUACGAUUAACAGAUGCAUAUCUUUGUGAAAACUUUGACCGGCAAGACCAUCACUCUCGAGGUGGAGAGCUCCGACACGAUCGACAAUGUCAAGGCUAAGAUCCAGGACAAGGAAGGGAUUCCACCGGACCAGCAGCGGCUGAUCUUCGCCGGAAAGCUCAUCUUUUAAUAAACUUUAGGAAAAGACCCCAUCACCAUCAUCGUGACCAUCUGCUUCCCUCCUUGUUUGUUGUUCCUUCAUUUUCUUUUUAUUUCUUCUUCGUGGAAUCGGUCUUAUUUUCUUCUUCUCUCACUAUUGUAGGUUGUUGUUGGCAGAGGGACGAAUUGUGUUUAUUUGCUUUUAGAAUUGGCUAAUUUAAUUGAUAUAAAUUGUUUUGGUUGUGCCGCGGACAUAAAUUGAAGUUUAGUCGACGGUGCUUUCAUAGCAACAUUUGGUGCUGUUAUUAUGGAUACCAAGCUAAAGUAAGAUGACGUUGGACAUGUUAUGAGGUUUAGUUUUUUUGAAUUGAUUUUUUAUUUGAAUUUUUGGGGAAAAAUAUCAAAAAUGGAAAGCUUGAUUUUAAGAAAACAAGGAUGUGGUUUUGUUGGCGAGGUGGUACAGGGGAUUUUAGUUUUUGUUGGAUGAAAGAAGACUGUCAACCUUGAAAGGGUAUUUUCAUCCUCUUGUUAGUCCACUAACGGUCAACUGACGGAAAUACUAACUGCAGGGGAGGGAUGUAAAAAUACGGAGAUACUUUCUAUUAAACUGAUAUUAGGUGAAACCUCAGGGGAGGUAUGUAAAAAUAACCCUAAAAUAAAAUACCCAAACUAUUAUAUACAAGAACUCUUGAUUUUUGGGGUAUUUUAGUCAUUUUAUAUUAUCAUGGUAAAUUAGUCAAAUAAAACUUAUCUUAAAGCAACCUAAACGGUCAAAGACACCUAAGUUAAAAAAAAAAUUAUACGAAUGAUUUAAUUUAUUGAUUGUCUAUACGUUUUAUUGAUUUAUAUAUUUUAAAAAUAGUAUGAACGUAUUACAAUUAUUUUCUGACAGCAAGGUAGAUUUGUAAAAUAAGUGGGUAGAAAAUAUCCCCGUCCUCAAACAAAUAAAUGAAUUAUCGGUGAUGCAUGCUUUUUUCCAACUUUUUUUUUUUUUCUUUUGGUUUUUUGUUUUUGUUUUAAAUGGCACUGGCCCGACCACUACAAAUUAAUUAGAGAAUAUUUACAAUUAUGUAUCACAGCUGUGGAGUAGAAUUGGGGAAAUUAAAAAUGCUAAAAUUAUUGACACGUAGGGUGGGCGACAAUAACCACAAACAUUUUUCGUGUAGUGUAAGAAGAAUGCAACAACUCGUUUCUUUCAGUAUUUUCGCAACAAAAGCACGUUGAACAACUUAUGAAAUUAUUUCUCUUUUUCUUUGCCAGAAUGGAUGUGAUCGCUUCCCCUCUCCCGGAGCAGCUGAACUCCUUUGCUGCUUGUGACUUACCAUAAAUCUUCAAGCCAUUCAAGCUGUGCUUGAAGAUGCAGAGAAGGCAAGUUGAUAUAAGAUUGUUGCAUGGAAUAAGCAGGGCAUCUUCCGAGGCUAGAAGUUGGGCUACGAGUAUUCGUUUUGGACAUAUAAUAUAGUUUCCAAGCUUGCGAUGAGUCGAACCAAAUGCAGAACAACCUAGGCUGUUAUGCUCUGCGAUUGAACUAAAAAUUUCACUUCUUUUAUAGUCGUUUUUUAGUUUUAAGAUAUUUUUCUAUUUUUCUUGAUUCUUCUAGGAUUUUUAUCAUUUUUUCUAGAUGUUGGAUUUAAGUGCCAUCUGUUUUCUUUCUCUUAUUUAGAUUCGAAGAAUUUUAUUAUCAUAUAAUAUUUUGAAUUUGCUUAGUUUGUUAAAUUUGCUAUAUUUAGGCUCCUAUAAAUGGGAUUAAAAACCCUAAUUUUGUUCAUUCAAAUUAUUCUCAAUAAAACUUAUUAUUCAAAUACUAGUUUAUAUUAUCUAAUAGCUUUUUAGUGUUUCUGCAUCAUCAGCUGGUAUCAGAGCAAGUUCACUUGUCAUCAUGGUGCGACCACACAAUCAAAGGAGCAACCAUCCCGGAGACGAUGUUCAAAUAUUAGGUUAUCUCUUGUAAGCCAUAUUCAUAAAUGUAUUGAAGGAAAGAUACUUUUUUCUUGUCUUAAAUGAUGUGUGGGAUGGACGUUACAAUUAAUGGGAACCAUUCUUUUGUUGUUUAAAGAAUAGUCUCUACGAUAGUCAAAUUUUGAUUACUACACGUAAUCAGUUAGUAGCAAGCAUGAUGAGAUCAACAAAUCUUACCUUUCUUAAGGAAUUAAUUGAAGAAGAAUGUUGGUCAUUGUUUAAGCAGGUAGCAUUUUUGGGUCAAUUCUUCAAGGAUCGUGAUCAAUCGAUCAAAAAAUUGCAUUUAAGUGCAAAGGCUUGCCUUUUGUUGCAAAGAUAAUAGGGAAAUUCUUACACUAUAAAUGACCAAUAGAAGAAUAGAAAAUAAUUUUAGAUAGUGGAAUGUGGAAGGUAGAAGAGUUUGGGAAAGGUCUUCUGGCUCCUUUGUCGUUAAGUUAUAAUGAUUUGUCGUCCAUAGUAAAACAAUAUUUCUCACAUUGUGCUAUCUUUUCAAAAGGUUACAAUAUGUGUAAAGAGGAACUAAUUACACUAUGGAUGGCUCAAAAUUACCUUAAAUGUAGAAAAAGGAAGAGAUGGAGAUCCAAUCCAAUCUGAUAGUAGUAGAUUAUUUUAAUUUUUAUUAAUUUGAUUUCAUAGGAGUAGUUUUCAUUGUUUUGUUGAAAGUUGGUAAAAAAAAAACUGAAAUGAGAUGAUUACUUUAAAACAAUCUUCAAGAACUAAAAUAAUUAAAAAAACUCAAAAUAAACAAAAAGGCUUAAAAAUAACCGUAAUCCGAACAUUGUUUGAAUCCAUCCUAACUAGCCCGAAUAUGAUUUUAACCCAAACCCAACCUAACUCGCUUAUAAUUAUAACCCAAUGCGAUCCAAAUUCAACUUGAAUAUUUGAUCCGAUCUAAUCCAAUUUGAAUAUUUUAACCCUAUCAACCAGAAACCCAAUUAGGUUGAUCUGAACCCACGUUUGUCCACUCCCAGAGGGGAUCAUGACCCCACAAGCUUUGAAAGUUUUUUGGAAUUUCUAAGUGAAUAUUAAAAAUUAUGUAUAAAAAGACUGAUUUGACCCCUAAACACUUGAUAUAGAAACUUUAUACAUACAAUAGAAAUUUAAUUUUAUAUUUUGUGAAAUAAAGUCAAAGUAACUGAAUUUUUUUUUAUUUUGUUAAUUAUUUUUCUACUAUGACAAAAUGACAAAUAGCCUUGUGCCUAGCUCUUUGACUUUUAUUUUGCUAAUUAUUUUUUUCAUUUCUCUUGCAACAGUAACUUCAAUUAUCAAUCAAAGUCGCCAAAUCAAAAUCUCUGCAGCCUGCAGCUACAAGCAAACUUCUCAAAUUUCGAAAUUCCUUAUGACUACAUAAUAGCUAUAAAUAGAAAAAGCGUCUAAAAUAACUAUGUUUUUCUAAGUUUGAGCUUGAACCCCCUGAAGAUUUACUCCAUACGUAACAAAAUAUUAGUUUUGCUAGUAAAAUUGCUAACUAUGUUUUUCUUUGUAUUUCCGCUCAAGGAUAAAGAAAUUUCCCUAGACUUUUGUGGUGAAUAUCUUACGAACAUAUGACAAUUUAAUCUUUGGCUGAGACUUGUUUAACAUAAGAGAUGACACUUUAAAGCAAUAGGAGAGAGAGAUAAUAAGCUUUGUUCCCCAAAAAAAUCUAUCAGAUAUAUUAUGCCCCCGGUUGCUAUUUCUAAAAAUAGUCAUAAUUACUAAAAAAUAAGUAAUUCUUUUUUCAUAUAUUAAAAUGGUAAACUGGUGGAUAAAAUUUAAAAUAACUUUUUAUCUGUUUUGACAUUCGAAUUUUAAGCUCGAGAAGUCAAGCAAUAAAUAAACCUUUUUGAGAGGCUAACUAAAUUCUUAGUAAUUUCAUAUAAUUUCAUUUCAUCAGAACAGUUUUAUCAAAAGCAAUUUUCUAAAUCUUUGUGGAAAGCUUUAAUCCUUAAUUAUCUUUCACAUAUUUUCUUUGUAAUAUGAGGUAAGCCAUGGACCAUAGUAUGGUAUUUAUUGUAAAUAAAAUCACUAUGAAACUGAUUUUAUUAUUAUUUUUUUCACAAACAAAGUAUCUAGCUAACUGCAGAUGUAAUGAAUUACUAAUUACCAUUAUUUGAUUCGCUCUCUAAAAUAGUGUUGUGUGUUGAUUCUGUUAUGCAUCUAGGAAUUUCAAAUGUUAUGACAUAAGUUGCAUUGGAUAUAUGUAUAUCAUAGAUUACAUUAUGAAGAAGACAAGAAAUGGAUCCAUACGUUAAAGCAAAAUUGAAAAAAAAAAAUUGCUAGGAGAUGAUUUUAUCUGAAAUUUCACCUGCACGGUAUUGGCCACAUAUAAAUUUGUGAUGAAAUUCAUAACGGAUUAAUAUAAUUGAACGAAAUUACUCUAUACAAUUUCAUAAGUAUGUAUUAUACAAUUAAAAAUCUAUUGAUAUUUUCAAUAAAAUAAUAUCUCUACUAUAAGUGAUGGGAUAUAUAUUUGUGGGGAAUGACAAAUGUAGAAAAUUGCAGUAAUAAAGGUGGAAGUGGAACUUUGUAAUAAUUAAUUAAUGUGUUUACAAUUCUGUAAGUAUAAUAAAAUAAUAGUAAUAGGUAAAUUGUAGAAAAUUAAUGUGUACUUUAAGGCACAUUACAAAUGUCUCUUUCCUAAAGAUAUUAUUUUUCCCACCAAUUCAGUGAUGCAUAUAGGCUAAACAAAUAUACCUCCGGGAUACAACGAAUCACUUAUUUGUUUGCUUGUGUUUUUCAUCGAUGAAAGCAAACUUGAAUACUUUUGAAUGUUGCAAGCUUGCCGAGAAUCAAUAUAUUAUUCCCGUAGUAAACAAUAUAUUAGAUAUUUGAUGCAUAUAGUAUAGAUGUUAUACAAUAAAAUUUGUUUCAGCAAAGAGGGUUGAGAAGAGAGUGAUGUAGUAUCAUUAUUUCCAUGUUUAAAAAUUAAUUCUAAAUUAACUACAACAUGCAAUCUUUUAAUAUUCACAUGUCCUAAAUGAAUAUGCUACAAAAAUAAUGAGUCAAUCAUGUAAGCAGAAGAAACAUUAAUUUUAUUAAUAUUGGGCUUGAACAUUCCCAAAUACAUGUAUCCUUUCCCAAUAAAGGUACCACCCUUAGACAAUGCAAAUUUGCUUUGACUCAAAUAAGGUACCACCCUAAUAUAGAUACAAGAUUUUUCCUACCUUUAGAUACAUGAUAAACAUCAAUAUGAGUUAAAGUUUUUCCACAAGUGAACUCUAGUUGCACAUUCCCUCUAAUUGUUGCAAUGGAGGAAUUUCCCAUCUAAAGAACACUUCAAUCAUCCAUUGCUUUGUAAGAUGUGAAAAGGCUACGAUUCUUGUACACAUACUUGAUUGCACCGGAAUCUAUUCACCAUGCAUUAUCAUGUUCAAGAAUAUUAAUUUAAGAUAUUAUGGCCAUAAAUUUUGUCCACAAAAUUUGUGUUCGAACACUUCUUUUCUUUCUUAAGAAGUUGAUAGUCUUUUUUAAAGUGGCUAGGCUUUUCACAUUGGUCACAUGUACACUUUUUUUUUUUUUGUUGGUUUGAUUUUAUUUGGAAUCAAAGUUUUGCUUUGACAGUCUUUUUAAAGUGGCUAGGCUUUUCACAUUGGUCACAUGUACACUUCUUUUUUUUAUUUUGUUGGUUUGAUUUUAUUUGGAAUCAAACUUUGGCUUUUGGUUAUUAAUGUGGUCAUUAGACUGCUUAAGCUUCUUCUCCUCCUCCACAACAUUAAUUUCACAGGACAUAGCAGUCUGUUCCUCAAGACUAUUAAGUCUAAGUUUCUAUUCAAUAUGAAGACUUUGCCAAGCCUUCCAGGCUAAUUUCCUCUUUGUUAUAUUUAAGACUUUUUUCAUAGUCUUUUCAAGAGGGGGGAAGUUUAUCAAUAAUUGAAGAAAUAAUAGUAAACUUAUUACUUUUCAUGUUGUGUUGGUUGAAUUGAUCAAGAAUGCAAAAAUUCUCAUUAUAUUGUUCAAUCACAAGUCUAUUAUCAAUCUUUUUAUAACUAAAAAAAAUUAGAAGUCAAGAAUUUCUUACUUGUGGUGUCUUCCAUUAGGGGUGGGCAAAAUCGGGUUCGGGUCGGGUUCGGGUCAAUCCGAUCGGGUUUCGGGUUGUUCGGGUUAGACAAAAAUUAAUCCGAACGUAACCCGAAUUAUGAACCCGACCCGAACUGACCCGAACUAAGUUCGGGUCAGGUCAAUUGUUAAAUGGAAUUGGAAUUCGUAUAUUUAAUCAAAAACUCCAAAUUAGAACCGUUAGAGAACCGAACUGAAAAAACUUGAAAAGAAUGAAUCUGGCUAUAUUUGUGAACCAGAAACAAGCCAGCGUUAUGCUUACGCCAUUUCAUUCUAUCCUGUCACCCAUAGACAAAAUGAAUCUAGAUGCAUUAUGGCUUUUCUCCUUAAACCUCAAGAGCAUUUUCGUCCUCUCAGUCAAGCGUGAAACUGCAUGUACGAACUGCUUCGCUUUCACGCACCGGUAGCUACAGCGGCAAGAGCAUUUUCGUCCUCUCAGUCAAGGGUGAAACUGCAUGUACGAACUGCUUCGCUUUCACGCACCGGUAGCUACAGCGGAAGACCCAGGCCGAGAUAAUUUAUUUCUUCCAACCACAAACUAUGUUUUGUUCACGAAUUACAAACUGUGCAGCUUGUGAUUUCUGCCGUUCUGCGUAUGUGAGUGCAGCAGCGAUAUGUGUAGUGUUAGGCUGUUAGCUUAGGUUUUUUUUUUUUUGGGAACCCGAUCAGGUAUUCGGAUCGGGUCGGGUUUGAUCCGAACCGAUCACAACCCGAUCGGGUUUGUAAAUUUCAAUCCGAUCGGGUUUCAAUCCCAACCCGAUCCGACCCGAACCCGAAAUUUAUCGGGUCGGGUCGGGUCGGAUCGGGUAAAAUGCCCACCCCUAUCUUCCAUCAUGUACUUAGACUCCAAUAAGUCCUAUAUUUCUUUUGCUGUGGAUUUUGUUGUGGUACUUAUCAAAACAAAGUACUAGACAUGGCAUUGUAAAUGUGUCCUAUGCACACGUAGACAUCUUGCUUCCACUUUUGCCACACUCGAGUUUCUCAUCCUCACGUUCUUCAGGCUUUGAUAUUGUAAGAACAUAAACAACAUUGAGGCUUGUCAACAAGAAAUGUAAUAUUUUUUGCCAACGUAUAAAAGUUGUGACCAUCAACUGCUCUAAUUUGAUAAAAUCUACCAUUGAAUUGCGGAUGAGAUGAGCACAGUGUCAUUGUUACAGAAAGAAUGUCUUAAGAAUGUUGGGAAUAUAUAUUUUUAGGGAAUGACAAACGUAAUAAUGGCAAAUGUAGAGAGUUGCAGUAAUAAUGAUUAUGCCACAAAGAUAAUGAGUCAAUCAUGUAAUAAUGGCAAACAUAGAGGGUUGCAGUAAUAAUGGUGGAAUUUUAUUCUAAUAAAAUAAUGAGUUUACUACUCUAUAGGUACAACGAAAAAAAUAGUAAUAAGUAAAUUGUAGAAAUUAAUGUGUAUUUCAAGGCACUUUACAAAUAUUACUUUCCUUAGACGUUAUUCGCCCCCACUAAUUGAGUGAUGAAUAUGGGUUAAACAAAUACGCAUCGACGAUACAAUGAAGUACUUAUUUGUUUGUUUGCAUUGUGUAUCGACGAAAGCAAACCUAAACACUCUUAAAUGUUGCAAGCUUGUCAAGAAUCAAUAUAUUAUUUGCUGAUAUAUUGUUCCCGCAGUAAACAAUAUGUUGGAUAUUUAAUGCAUAAAAUAUAGAUGUUAUAUGAUAAAAUUCGUUUUAGAAAGGAGAGUUUAGAAACGAUUGUUAUAGGAAUGUUAUGUUCAUGUCUAAAUGGCCUAAACAUGGCCUCUAUUUAUAAAUAUACUUGUGCCCUCCAUUUGGAUUGUCAUUUUUCAUGAUACCCAUUCAUUUAUGGUCAUUGGAUCAAGAUAUGAUUUUAAUCAAUUGUCUAAAUUGGUCCAUCACCAUUUCAAGUGAAAUUACAAUAUGAAAUGAUACAUUCUUAAGUGGAAAGAUACCUUUUAUAUGGGACAAUUACUUGGACAUGUUUUUAUAAUAAAACAUCAUUUAUUUUGAAAUUGUUACAGCACUAAGAUUAUUCUAGGUUAAGUUAAUCUAUUAUAUAUAACUUCAGAAGGUUCAUCGGUAGAUUGUUUUAAGUUUUUGUCGUAGUUUACAAAGAUUUUGUUACUUGUAAUGUAAGAAAUUUUAGAAAUGUUGGUGCUGAGUAAUCUGCAAAAUUAUUAUGAAUCAGAGAAACAGGGCAGAUGUUGUACAAUUAUUGUUGUGGUGGAGCGGAAAGGUAGCCCGAGAUGGUGACUGCUAUUGGGAUUUCUUUAAUUUGCAGCAUAAAAGCAUUUACAUUGACAUCGACUCAAGGGUAAAAAUUAAAUAUCUCAUGUAGCAUAAGAAGAAUGCAAAAAUGCUUGAAUGAGCAUUCUGACUCAAUACACAAAAGCUACUUUCCCUUGAGCACUUUCGCAACAAAAGCAAAUGUAAAAUUUAGCAUUUAAAUCUAACAUCAAAUGGCUGAUGCCAUCGUUUCCAUCCCUUGGGGAAACUGAAUUCCUCUACAUGAUAUUACAGUCUGGAGCGGCUCUUACCUUAGGCAACUUAGGAUAAUUUAGGCGGUUGCUCAGGACCCCACAUUUAACCUAGGACCCCAUUAUAAAUGAAGGUUUCUAAUUUAAUUCCUAAAUUAUAGUUAUUAAUUAUUGAUUUAUAUUUAUUAUUUAUAACUAUAUUUUCCAUAAACAAACUACUAGAUUCUUACAAAAUCCCCUUUUAACAUUAUAAUUAACAAUUUUAAUCCACUUAUUUCCUCCAUAUAUUUCAUUUAAAACUCUAUAAAGGCCACACCUUUUUUAAAUUAUUAUCCAUUAAUAUCUUUUUCCAAUAAAAAAAAACACAAAACCUUCAUUACUUUGGUGAAAAAACUACUUUCUCUACCUUACUUUUUGCAUAAGGAAGAAAAGAAAAUCAAUUGUUUUACUUUCUUUUGAUCAUUGUUGCUCAAAGUCUCAAUCCAUCAAAGUUAAAUUUCUCAAAUUUUCAAGUUUUAUCUUCCGAUUCUCUUAUUAAUUAAUUGUGUUAUUUAGGUGUUUUUGUUUCUUUGUAAAAAUAUUAUUCUGCUCAUAGGUUGUUUUCUUUUAAUUAUCUAGCAUAAUUGUUUGCAUGAUUACUCUUGUUUCCUUAGAAAAAAAAUGUCUACUAAAAACUAUGCAUCAUGAUACAAAAAACUUCAUAAAAGGAGAAGAAUACAAAAGUUAGCUUAAUCUAAAAACGUGCUAUUGAUAAAAAAUUAUUUAAGAUCAACCAUGUCAUAGGAAAGAUUAAAUAGGUUAACUAUAUUAUCUAUUGAGAAAGAUAUAUUAGCAAAAUUAGAAUAUAAAAAGUUGAUUAAUAAUUUUGCAUCUCAGAAAGUUAGAGAAAUUUAUUUUAAAUAAAUAAAACUUUAAUAAAAUUAAUACACAUAUUUCACCUCAAAUUUUUUGAAAGGUCUAAUUAAAUCAAUUUAUUUAAGACCUAAAAUAUGAUUGAGCCGCCUUGAAAUUGCAGUAAGAUAGAAAUGUGAAAUAGACAGAACACUUGCUCAUACGUUAAAGAUGCGACGAAUUUGAGAAUAUUUAUGUUUAUGUGCCAAAUUCCUAAUGUAUGGGAAUUUAAAAAUGUUAGUGCAGAACAUGUGUUCAUCGGUGGAGUAGAAUCAGGGAAAUUAAAGAUAAGCAUAAUUUUUGCAUCCAAUGCCAAAUUCCCCCAGGUAGAAAGUGGGGACUCCUUUGCAUAAAAGUUGAUAAAAGUUUGACUAAGAUCUUAUUAGAAAUUAAUAUAUUCUCUCUCCACAUAUUUCUGCACGAAAUAACAUGCAGAUAUAGUAUUUUAGGUUAUUGUUAAUAGUUUUACAAUAAUAAAAAUCAUUUUGUUAGAUCUUAAAAUGUACUCACACUCUAUUUUGUGCAAAAGUCUGCGAGAAAGGAUUUCAGAUUUACCUAACGGUGAAGUUGGGAACUUGCUUUUUUACCUAGGCUAAAAAUAUUUCAAUAAAUUCUGAUCGUGGAGACUAACAAGAGUUUUUUUAGUCAUAUAUAUAUUUAUUUUUUAGGGACUAAUAUGAAUAUUACUAAUUUCAUCGAGAUUAUUAAAAAAACAAUGUGCUAAUUUGCCAAUAUGAUUUCUCCAAUCUUUUUUCUUUUCGUCAUUUAUUCCUUUGUGAAUUUGAGUUAAUGCUUGAUAUUAUUUUUCUGCUCAUUUUUUAAAGUAGAAGAUUAAGAAGUCUACUGCUGUUUAGCUUGGUAGGCUAUAAAUAAAGAGGCGCAUAUAUAGAAGGCUUAGAAAUAACUCUCAUUCUCAUCAUUGCAAAAUGGCUUCUCUUCGUUUUCUCCUUGCAGCUGCUCUUGUAGUUGCAUUUGUGCUUGAGGGAUCAUAACCAGAUCAAGCUCAACUUUCUCCCUCUUUUUAUUCUUCCACAUGCCCUAAUGUAACCAACAUAAUUCGGGAGGUGCUUCAGAAUGCUUUCUUGUCCGAUAUUCGCAUCGGUGCCAGCCUCGUCAGGCUUCAUUUCCAUGACUGUUUUGUUAAUGGCUGUGAUGCAUCGAUUUUUCUGGACAAUACUACUACCAUAGAAAGCGAGAAAUUUGCUGGGCCAAAUAAUAAUUCAGCGAGGGGUUUUGAAGUUGUUGAUGACAUGAAAGCUGCCGUUGAAAGGGCCUGUCCAGGCGUUGUUUCCUGUGCUGAUAUUCUUACUAUUGCAGCUGAACAAUCUGUUGCUCUGUCAGGGGGUCCUUCAUGGACAAAUCUAUUGGGAAGAAGAGACAGCAGAACAGCAAACAGGACUCUUGCAAAUGAAAAUCUUCCAGUACCGAACAAUAGUCUUGAGAGGCUCAAAGAUAGAUUCAGAAAUGUUGGCCUCAACGAUAAUUUUGAUCUUGUUGCACUCUCCGGAGCUCACACAUUUGGAAGGGCUCAGUGCCGAACUUUUAGCGAUAGAUUAUUCAAUUUCAACAACACUGGCAAUCCAGACCCAACACUUAACACAACCCUCUUACAGCAACUUAGGCAACUAUGCCCACAAGGUGGAAACGGCAGCGUUCUAACUAAUCUUGAUGUCACAACACCUGAUGUGUUUGACAACAAAUACUUCUUCAAUCUUCAAAUACACAAGGGCCUUCUGCAGAGUGAUCAAGAGUUGUUUUCGACUCCCGGUGCCGAUACCGCUGCCAUUGUCAAUAACUUUGGCAGGAACCAGACUGCUUUCUUUGUAAACUUUGUGACUUCAAUGAUUAGAAUGGGCAAUUUGAAACCACUGACGGGAAAUCAAGGGGAGAUUAGAUUGAACUGCAGGAGGGUCAACGGAAACAGCAAUAUCGCAACAAGAUCAUCAUCAUCGGAGGGUGAUUUGAUCAGCUCUUUCUGAAUAAGCUAGUUUGCAGCUAACGCGAGAGAAAGAGUUUGUGGGUAACAAACUCAUGAAUUUACUCCUAUGUUUUGCCUGAAACAUGCUUUGUAUUUUCAAUAAACUAAAGUUGUGGUUGUGUAUUCACGUCCUGCUUUCUAUGUAUCAGAAAUCCUUGUCAUAUUGUAUGUGUUUCUUUUUCUUUUCUUUUUUUUCUCCCAAAGUCAUCGAUAUGUAUUUUCAUUUGAGUCACAAGUUUUUAAUACCCCACUUUAUCCUCUAGCUUUUAAAAAAAAAAAAGUAGAAGAUUAUGAAAAAGUGAACACACAAAAAGCAUAAAAAUCAUUAUUAGAUCCAAAUUUGUGCUAUUUUCAUACAUAACUUGAGAAUAUUUAUAAUUACGCAUCAGAACUAGUGGAGUAGAAUCAGGGAAAUUAAACAUUCUACAAUCAUUGACGUGUGGGGUUGGGAUAAGCAUAAGCUUUUUCUAUGCAGUAUAAAAGAAUGCAAUAACUCCUUUUCUUUCAGUAUCAUCGCAACAAAAGCACAUCUAAUAACUCUUCAGAAUUCUCGUCUUCUUUGUCAGAAUGGUUGAUGCGAUCGUUUCCUCUCUCCUGGAGCAGCUGAUCUCUGUUGCGGCUGAUGAAGCGAAACAACAGGUGAGGCUUGUGACUAGUGUCCGAGAAGAAGUGAAAAAGCUUACCAGCAAUCUUCAAGCCAUUCGAGCUGUGCUGGAGGAUGCCGAGCAAAGGCAAAUGCAGCAAGACAAAGUUGUUACUUUUUGGCUGGAUCAGCUCAAAGACGCGUCCUACGACAUGGAAGAUGUGUUGGACGAGUGGGUCUUUACAAGGCUCAAAUUGCAAAUUGAGGGCGUUGAUGAUGACAAUGCUUUUUCCCUUGCUCCUCACAAGAAGAAGGUACGUUCCUUCUUUCGUGCUGUAUCAAACUGCUUUGGUAGUUUCAAACAACUCGGUCUUCGUCAGGACAUUGCUGUCAAGAUUAGGGAAAUCAAUGAAAAGCCAGAUGAUAUUGCCUCCCAAAAAGAUAGGUUUAAAUUUGUUGAGAAUGUGAGUAACCAUGUUAAAAAACCGAAACAAGCGCGAACCACCUCCUUGAUUGAUGAGGGAGAGGUCUGCGGUAGAGUUGACGAGAAAAACGAGCUCUUAAGCAAGUUGUUGUUUGAAAGUAGUGAACAACAAAAAGGCCUUCAUGUCAUCUCACUAGUUGGGUUAGGGGGCAUGGGUAAAACACUCUUGCACAACUGGCCUAUAAUAAUGAUGAGGUGAAAAGAAAUUUUGAAAAAGUUAUAUGGGUGUGUGUAUCAGACACUUUUGAGGAGAUUAGGGUUGCCAAUGCAAUUAUUGAAGGUCUAGGUGAGUCAGCUUCUAGUUUAAGCGAAUUCCAAUCUCUUCUAAGCCAUAUCCAUAGAUCAAUUGAAGGAAAAAAAAAAUUUCUUGUCUUAGAUGAUGUAUGGGAUGGGGAUUAUAAUAAAUGGGAACCAUUCUUCCAUUGUCUAAAGCAUGGUCUCCACGGAAGUAAAAUUUUGCUUACCACACGUAAUGAGUCAGUUGCAUGUAUGAUGGGAUCAACAAAUAUUAUCUUCAUUGAGCAAUUGACUGAAGAGGAAUGUUGGUUGUUGUUCUAGCAGUUAGCAUUUUCCGGUCGCUCUUUCGAGGAUUGUGAAAAAUUAGAACCAAUCGGGCGAAAAAUUGCACGCAAGUGCAAAGGCCUGCCUCUUGCUGCAAAGGCAACAUGGAAUCUCUUACGCUCUAAAAGUACAAUAAAAGAGUGGCAAAAAACUUUAGAUAGUGAAAUGUGGAAAGUAGAAGAGAUUGGGCAAGGCCUUUUUGCUCCAUUGUUGUUGAGUUAUAAUGAUUUGCCCUCCAAUUCUAUGGUAAAACGAUGUUUUUCAUAUUGUGCUGUCUUUCCGAAAGAGUACAAUAUAAAAAAAAAGGAACUAAUUUCACUAUGGAUGGUUCAAGGUUACCUUAAUGCAGAAGAAGAUGAAGAGAUAGAGAUGACUGGGGAAGAGUAUUUCAACAUUAGCAGCACGCUCUUUCUUUCAAGAGUUUAAAAAAGAUGAUGAUGAUGAUGAUAUUAUGAGCUGUAAGAUGCAUGACAUAGUACAUGAUUUUGCCCAAUUUGUAAGUAGAAAAGAAUGUUGGUGGGUAGAAAUUAAUGGUACCAAAGAAUCAGUCAUAAACUCUUUUGGUGAUAAAGUCCGUCACUUAGGGUUAAAUUUUGAAGGAGGAGCUUCAUUUCCUAUGUCCAUUCAUGGACUUAAUAGAUUGCGGACCCUCCUAAUUUAUUUCCAAAGUCCUUCCAAUCCGUCUCUUAAUAGUAGCAUCCUUUCGGAGUUAUUUAGUAAAUUGGCGUGUUUCAGGGCAUUAGUUAUAGGGCAACAGAACUUUAUAUUUGAUCCUUACCCAAAUUUGAUUAGAGAAAUUCCAGAAAAUGUCAGAAAAUUAAUACAUUUAAAAUAUCUUAAUUUGUCUGAAUUAUGUAUAGAGAGACUGCCUAAGACUUUGUGUGAAUUAUAUAAUUUACAAAAGCUAGAUAUUAGGUGGUGCGAAGAUCUUAGAGAAUUGCCGGCGGGGAUUGGGAAGUUAAAGAACAUGAGGAGUUUACUGAAUGGUGGCACUCCUUCGCUGAAGUACAUGCCAAUAGGGAUUUCCAAAUUAACCAGUCUUCGAACAUUAGAAAAGUUUGCUAUGGGCGGAGGUGUUAAUGAUAUCAGUACGUGUAGGCUUGAAUCUCUAAAAAAUCUUCAGCUCCUUCGAGAAUGUGGAAUAGAAGGGCUGAGUAAUGUGUCACAUUUAGAUGAGGAUGAGAGAUUAGGACUUCACAAUAUGAAAAACCUCCUUCGUUUAUCUCUUGAGUUUGAUGAGGAAGGUGAAGAAGGGAGGAGGAAGAAUCAACAACUUCUGGAAGCCUUACAACCGCCUUUGAAUGUAAAAGAAUUAGGGAUUGUAUCCCACGGAGGCAACAUAUUUCCCAAAUGGUUGACUUCACUAACCAAUCUAAGGGAUUUAAGACUUAAAUCGUGCGUUAUCUGUGAGCAUUUUCCUCCCUUGGGAAAAUUACCGUUGGAAAAACUCACCCUUUAUGGCCUGUACGGUGUGAAAAGAGUGGGUAAUGAGUUUUUGGGAAUCGAAGGAAGCAGUGAGGAUGACCCAUCUUCAUCUUCAUCAUCAUCAUCAGUCAUUGCCUUCCCCAAAUUGAAAUCACUCCACAUUGGGGCAAUGGAAGAAUUGGAAGAGUGGAAUUAUAGGAUUACAAGAAAGGAAAACAUCUCCAUCAUGCCGCGUCUUUCUUCCUUGACGAUUUGGUAUUGCCCCAGAUUAAGGGUGUUGCUGGAUUACCUUUUUCAAUCGACGACAUUGCAGAAAUUGAGUAUUUCUUAUUGUCCAAUUAUGGAAGAACUGCGCAUUCUAGAAGAUCACAGGACAACAGACAUACCACGUCUUUCUUCCUUGGAAAUUGAGUAUUGCCCCAAAUUAAAGGUGCUGCCGGAUUACCUUCUUCGGCGACGACGCUGCAGCAAUUGAGUAUUCAGGGAUGUCCUCUUCUGGAAAACCGUUAUAGAGUGGAGAAAGGAGAAGACUAGCAUAAGAUAUCUCACAUUCCCUACAUCGAGUCCGAGUGGUAAAUUCUCGAAUGGUUGCAAUUACUAUCACCCACCGGUAAUUUCUCUCCCCUAUUUUACUUUGUUGUUACUUCAAACAACGACACUGCAAACAUUGACAAUUUGGGGUUACAGAGAAGGGGAAGGAGAAGACUGGCAUAAGAUAUCUCACCCUCCCCACAUCAUGCGGUCGGCGUAAGAUAUCACUCGCCGGUAAUUUCUCCUCCUCCUCUGAUUUACUCUGUUGUUGCUUGCAAUAAAAUUAAUAAAAAUAAUUAUAUUUUGAAUUAAAAUUCUAUAUAUUGCCCAAUGUCUGACAGGAAUAUACAAUAUUUUCUAAUAUUUUGAUUUGCAUAUCGAAUUUAACUAUUUACUUCAACCAUUAAUUUAUUGGGUCACUUUAUGAUGCUAUUAUAAAAAUUACAGAAUCAAUCAUAGUAUAAAUAUGUAGUGUUAAAUUUAAUCAAUAGUUCAUAAAGGUUAGUAAGAAUAAUACUUUAAUUUUAAUUAUUUAAAAUUUAAACUUCCUAGUCAUCAAAUUUGUUAAACUUGUUUUCUAAAGCUAAAAUAAUAAUAAAAUAAAGUAAAAAAAACAAGUGCAGUCUGUUGAAAUUUCUAUAAUUUCUUUUAAAAAAUAUGUAGUCUUUUGUAAAAUUUCAUACAACAUCAUAGAAAUAAUUUAUGUGUAAGUUCCUGAGAGACAAAAUCUCUGUGAUACAUUUGCAGUAAUGUUGAAAACUAACUUAUCAAUGUUAUCUUGUAUAAUGAUAAUCGUAUUUUUUUAUAUAUAAUUUAUGUGACAUUAAUUCUUUAAAGUAAUUGUGUGAUUGUUUUUAGUAGUACAUGAGCCCACUUUGUUUUAUUUCAUACGAGUUUAAUUAUGUUCACCAGGGAUUCGAGGAAAUGUCAGAACUACACUAGCAAUUCGCAGGUCCACGCUAAUUUGGUUCUAAUGAUGCACGCAGGAGAGCAAGAUUAUGAAAAUGAAUAGUUUAGCCAAAGGAUUGCUAAAAUGUUUUGCUGGUAAUUCACUUGCUUUUUUUUAUAGAAUUUCAUUUCCAUCUUCUUCUAUUGAUAUCUUGUUGUGAAUAAACAAGAACAGAGAAGUAACUAUAUAUAUAAAAAGUCCCUAUUAUGAUGAUGUUAAAGCAAGCUCAAGCUCAAACAUUGCAUUUUUAUUUUAUUUUAUUUAUAGAAUUUUCAUUUCUACCUGGAUUGCAUUUCUAUUUCAUUUUCAGGUUGACUUUGAAAACUCUAUGGAGCACAUUGGGGGGGUAACCAAGGAUUAUCAUUGUGGUUAUUGUGCAACGUUUGGUUGCUGGACUUUGAAGAAGGAAGUGAUGGCCGGGUCUGCUCUGUUUCAAUUGAGGAUGGAUAGCUGCCUGAAAGACAUGAUGAUUAUUAUUGCAUGAUGUUUAGGUGCUAAGAUCAUCAUUUCUGUCUUGUUUCAUUCUUUGAUCGGUUUAUCCUAUAUAAACAUAUGGAAUUAUGCUAAUAUUAUCAAUUUUUUCACCUAAUUUUCACUGUUGUUGUGAAAACAAUUUCAGGCUCUCAAAAGCUACAAAGCAAAGCAUUUGUAGGCUGAUCAUAUGUUUCAAUUGAGGAAGGAGCUUGGUGUUGGCAAUAUUGUCCAGGUAACCACAGCUGAUAAUUUCCACAAAUUUGCAUUAAACUUAGUUGUCACCAUCUCCUGCAAUUUCUCAUUCAUUCAAGAGUACUUCAAAAUUAGAUUUUCAGGGUUUGAAUGUUUAGUUGCGAUCAAAAUAUUUAGUCACUCAUUCGUAAUCUUUUCCGAUUUUCAAGUUCUUUAGGGCCAUAAACAGUUUUCCAACUCAUUCUUAAUUUUUAGGUUGAUUUCGAGUACCCUGUUGAGGACAUUCCUGAGACUAAGGAUUAGGCUGGCGAAGGAACUACUACCUCUGUUGUUAUUGUGCAAGGUUUGAUCAUUGGACCUUGAAUAAGAAUCCCUUACACGCAUUCUGUACUUCAAGCAUUCUCUAAAGGAAAAGAGCAGUAGAAGGGAUAGUGAUGGCCGGAUCCGCUCUAUUUUAGUUGAAGAUCUCUGUGAUGUCGAUGAACUUAAAGCAGUUGAUACUUCUUGAAAAUUGUUGUUACGGAUGAAUUGAUUCCUGAAGAUGGGUAUCCAAAGGCAUAUUUUCAUAAACUUCCUUUUUUUAACAAAUGCUCCAAUGCUUGCUGUAGUAACAAUUUCAUAGCUUGCAUCUCUCGGGUGCAUCAUGUUCACGGGUUGGAAAAAGCAUUUGUGGUAAACCUUCAAAGCUUGUAAAAUGGCUGUGAAAAGGCACAUUCAAUUCGGUAUGCUUUGGUGCGGUCUCCUAAUGCUAAUAUUAUGUUUCAAUGCUGGCUGUAGUAACAAUUUCAUAUCUUGCAUCUCUUGGGUGCAUCAUGUUCAAGGGUUUGAAAAAGCAUUUGUGGUAAUGCUUCAAAGCUUGUACAACGGCUGUGAAAAGGCACAUUCAAUUAGGUACGUUUUGGUGCGGUCUCCCAAUGCUAAUAUCAUAUUUUGUAUAGCAAUUAAAAUUUAGCUAUACAAUCUUAAUAUGCAAUAAAUCAUUGUAUACAAAGUUUUCUAUUGAUUAUAUGGUGACUGAAAUUUUAAUUAUCAUAUCAAUUUAAAGUUUUGGCUGAUAUGUCUAAUUCGUAGAAAUUCACUUCCAUCGGUUUCCAUUGGCUUUAGCACAAACAGAAACAGAGCUCUGGGGAAAAGUUUUACUUCUUGUGGUAUUAUGCCUUUGUUUCUUCAUUCAUCAUAUUUUUCGAAUUCAUGCUCUCAUUCAGAGGGUAAAGCCUUUUCCAGGCUGCUUUGUAGCCAAACUUUGACGCCUUUGAUGCAUGACUGUCAUUUAGAUUUCCCAAAUAACUGUUAGAUUGGAGAAGAAUAAAAAGAUACUGUUAAAAGGGUAUUUAAUUAGCGCCCUCUGAAUUUCUUGGAGUUAAUGUAGUCAAUUGCCCAAUUUUGCUGCCUGUCGAAGAUACACAGCAUGGAAGUCCUCAUCAAACUCUGAGACACCUAAUAAAUAGUAGGAUAGUAGGAGGGGGUGGUAUUCGCCUGGUGUUAAUUUCCUGGCAAGUAUAGUUCACAGAUAGAGGGGUUCUUUUCUUGAUGUCUAAAUACCGUAUGAGAUACAACAUCGUGUAUUCCAAUUUUUCUCUAGUUAAAUUUUAAUAAGUUAGAAAAGUUAAUUUUGUUUUAGCAAUGAAUUGUUUUCUUAAUAAUAAUAAUUGCCAUGUUCCUCUGAAGUCUUAUUAAUGCCAGACCAACAACUACUAGGUUCAUCUCUCGUUCACUUCCUCAGGGAAUCUCGAGGGCAUUCAUUGGCAGGUAGCCUUUCUUGUUGAGCUCCUGGAAUUACUUUUAAUUUAUCAUUUGUUGGGUUUUGCUUUUUGAUUGCUUUGGGAUUUGUGUUAUUAUCGCUUUGUCACUCAUUAAUCUUGGCUGUUUUGAAUCUGUGUUGGAUUUAGAAGUUUGGAGUUGAAAACAGUUAAAGCUUAGACUAGUAGAAGAGAUUUAUACAUUCAUUUAUCUUGGACAAAGUUUUUGGGGGAAAAAAAAAUUAUAAGUAUACACUUUCCAAUGGUUCGGUGAUGUUUGAUUGGUUUAAAGAUGUUGGAUCUCUCAUCAGAUUUCUUAUGUAUCGACUGUUGUUGCCACAGGAUGCUCGCAGAUCCUGCUUUUUUGUAUAAACUUCUACUAGAGCAGGCUGCAACAAUUGGUUGCACUGUUUUGUGGGAGUUGGAGAAUCAUAAGGAGAGGUGUGUUUUUUCUCUCAUAACAAAGGAACUCUCCCCUUCCUUUUUAUUUUCAUCUUAUAUAUUAAGCUAAUAAAUGUUUGUUUCUGUCGUGAUGGGAUAAAGCAAGAAUGGGAUCAGCUUGGUUUUGGUGCUUUCCUCGGACUAUAUGCAAACAUGAGAUAUCAACUAUUGUGUGGAUUUGAUAGAGCGGUCAUCAACCAUUUUGAUGUUACCAGGUUAUCUCUCCCUCUCCCUCUUCUACGUAUUUGUUUAUUGAUCUACAUCUCUAUAUAUAUUGAUAGACUAUUCUGGACGUACCAAAUUACCCUUGUUUUAAUGUUUUGUUUGUUAAACUUUGACUGGGGAAUCUGUUUAUUUGGCUGAUAAGAGGUUAGUGUGGUUUCUAUUGAAGUGUGUAGAUCUAUCACCAAGUAUUAUUUCAAUUUUUCUUUACUGAAUCAACUUGCAUCCUUUCCAAGUCCAGAUCCUUAACAAUAGUGCGACAUUGCUACCGAAGUACAAUUUCUCUAGUUUGACAGUUAAAUACGUAAGAAUGGUUUUAAAUUAACUGAACUCUGAGAUAGUUCUCUAAGGAAGUACAAGUGGUGAAUACGGUUCCAACUUUUAAGUGCCUUAAUAUAUCCAUUUGUUCAGCCCUGUGCAUAAAAAAUCAGUAAUUGCCGUCCAAAUUCUUCUUUACUGCCUAUAUGUGUUGGACUUUGUCUAUUCUUCAACUUCUCAAAUGGAUUUUUUGAAUGUCCAAUUAGGAGAAAGAUCAAGGCUUGCUUGGCUAGGAGUGGAAGCGGAUCCGCUACUUCAAUCAUAUGACCUUUUGAAGAAGGCUUACAACGGGGCGGCUCAGGAUGUCAAUGGCUCAACUCAAAAGUCCCCAAAGUGGUUGAUAUCAAAGAAUGCCAUUGUCUCUGGGCUUGGGCUCCUUGGGAUCAAACAAGGGAAUGCGACUCUGUUGAAGGGGAAGCACGGGCCCCUAAAGUGCGAAGAAAGAGGAUAGUCCGGAAGAAGGUGACCGCAUAAAUUUCUUGGGAGUUAAUCCUAGUCAAUAGCCCAAUUUUGCUGCCUGUCGAAGAGAUACAACACGGAAGUCCUCAUCAAACUCUUUGGGACAUCUAAGAACUAGUAGGGAGGUGGUGGUAUUCACUGUGUUUCCUGGCAAGUAUAGUUCACUGAUGGAUGGAUUCUUUUCUUGAUGUCUAAAUAUCAUAUGUGAUACAACGUCGUAUAUUCCAAUUUUUCUCCAGUAAAAUUCUAGUAAGUUAGAAAAGUUAAUUUUGUUCUAGCGAUGAAUUGUUUUCUUAGUAAUAAUAAUGGCCUGUUGCUUUGGAAUCUUAUUCACUCUCUGUAACCCAAUUAAAUUGUGCAAAUUCUACUGCGGAUUUGUCAAACAGAGCGUCUUUGUGAUUUCUUUGAUAGACUUUUGAUCGCUAGUUUAAGUUUGAAUCAUCUUGUAAUGCCAAAACAGAGCGCUUUUAAUUACUAGAUCGUACUCGAGUUUUUAUUCAGCUUUUAAUUACGAGAUCAGCUUUUAGUAUUAGCGAUAAUUAUAAUAUAAACGUUAAUUAUGAAACUCUUACCAAACAAGAUGUUACUCAAUUUUACUUAAUCUCACUCGUCUUUGAUUUGUAAAUUUUAUGCCUAAAUUUUUGUCAACAAAUUGGUCCCAGUUCCACGUUGAGUGCACGAGAUCCACAAGUUUGAUUGGGCAGAACGCAGAAGCAGCUAAAAAAAACUGAUGAAACCCACGUCCAAAGAUGCUGUUGUCGCGGAGGCCUAGACACGACUCCCCAUCCCCUUUUACCAUAUUUUAUAAUUGAAGAGGCCAUUAUUGAAUUGAAAAAUUAUGAUUCAACCGUUGGAAACCAACUCGGAAUUUUAAGUUGAUAUGAGAAAAGAUUUUUUCAUCAUCAUCAUCAUCAUUAUUAUUUCUUUUUAACAAAAAUUUAAGCUAAGACAACAAUAUAUGCCCAAAAUACCCCUCACAUUAUCCCAAACUUUCUAAACUCCCCCAUUCCUCUCAACAUCAUCUCUUCCAAAUCUUUCUUCCUCCAAAAAGCAGCCAUGGCUUCAAAUUCAAUCACCUCAACACUCCAAUAUUGGCUUGUAAACCACCCCCAAAUCCUCAACUUCACAUGGACUCAAAACCAAACCCCAGCUUCCUCCCCACACUUCCUCAUUCUCUCCAUCCUCACUUACCUCUCCCUCACAUUCAUCCUCUACCACAAAUUAACGCCAACGUCACCAUCAUCAUCACCUCUCAUUGGACCCCACAUCCUCAAGCCCAUCACAACCGUCCAUAACCUCACCCUCCUCCUCCUCUCCCUCGUCAUGGCCUUUGGUUGCACUCUCUCCAUCGUCCUCCAUUCACCCGACCUCCGUCACACCCUCUGUUUCCCCCCCACCAUUUCUGCCUCCGGUCCCCUCUUCUUCUACGCUUACAUCUUCUACCUCUCCAAAAUACUCGAAUUCCUAGACACCCUUUCGAUCAUUUUGUCAAACUCCAUCCAACGGCUUACAUUCCUCCACGUCUACCACCAUGCAACCGUCGUCGUAAUGUGCUACCUUUGGUUACAGACGAAGCAGUCUUUGUUUCCUAUCGCACUUGUCACCAAUGCAAGUGUGCACGUGAUCAUGUACGGGUACUAUCUAUUGUGUGUGAUGGGGUUGCGGCCAAAGUGGAAGAGAUUGGUCACUGACUGUCAGAUUGUUCAGUUCGUGUUUAGUUUUGUUGUUUCAGUUUUGAUGCUGUAUUAUCAUUUUGCGGGAUUUGGAUGCUCUGGGAUCUUGGGUUGGUGCUUCAAUGCUGUGUUUAAUGCUUCCCUCUUGACACUUUUUAUUAAUUUUCAUUCCAAGAGCUAUGCUAAGAAAAAGCAGGGAUGAUCAAAACAAAUCGUCGUUGUGAUUGUUCUCUGUGUGUGUGUGUUUUUUUUUUUUUGGUUAAUUAUGAAGGGUUGUGAUCGGUUCAUUGCAUUUGACAGAGAUGUUGAAGGGUUAUGUACUGGAAAAUAGAAAUUAAACCAACAUUAUCACUAUAACUGGUACAUUAUUACCAUCACAGAUCAAGAUCUGAAUGGACGCAUAGCAGCCAUCCUCAAAACCAAAGGAGGAGAAAAUUGAAAUAGAACAACCACCUUAAGGUGAAUAAGGCCAGAACAAGACACACAUCCUCAAAUCAUAAGGAAGAGGUGGGUGCAACCGAAAAAAAAAAGAAAAAAAGAAAUCAAGAAUCCACUGGAGAAGGCAAGAAAGAUAUUUGCCUCCGAAGAUUUGGUGAGGAAGAGAUGAGGAGUUAGAAAAGUUUUCGGAGAGAUCUACAGAUUAGCUUUAAAAGUGUGUUUUAAAGAAAAAGUUGUUGAGAACUUGAGAGGAUACAUGCGCAAUCAAUCCUUUACUCUUCAUGUUUGUGGAAUGUUUAUCCACUGAGUGUAAUCGUAAUCACACGGUUGAUAUUAGUUGGUUCUAUGUUGGAGUUGAUCCAUCAUAGCCGGAGCCUUUAAAUAAAAAACAUUACAACUAGAGAUGGCAAUGGGGCGGGGUGGGAGUGGGGAUGCCUACCUCAUUCCCCACCCCAUUAAAAAUUUUUGUCUCCAUUCCCCACCCUAUUCCCCAAUAAAUUUAGUGGGUUGAGGAUGAGGAAUCCCUACGUGGGGAAUGAUUCUCCCAUUCCCACCUCAUUCCCCAUUUACUUAUUUUAUAGUAGAUAUAAAAAUAUAAUUUUAGUAAAUUUAAAAUUAAAGACUUAAAAUAAAAACAUCAACAUAUUAUAAAGUAUUUAAAUUUUUUUGAAAAUCUCUAAAAGUUUGAAAUAAUAUCUUAAACUGAUAUUAAAAGUGAAAAAUAUUUAAAGAUAUUUAAAGAGAGCAGCACCUUAAAAGAGAAAAGAAAAUAUAAUAAUAUUUUUAAGUUAAAAAAUAUUGUAGGGUUUUCUUUUACUUAUAUCAUAUUUAUAUUACAUAAAAAUUAAAAAAUUAUUAAUUGACAUUAUAGUCGAUAAAAUAAAAAUUAAAAACAUAUUUAUAUAUAAUGGGGAUUGGGGUGGGGAUGGGGCGGGGAGUGCAAUACCAAACCCAACCCCAUUAACAAUUUGGGGAUUACUUUUCCCCCAAAAUUAUUAAAAAUUUUUUUCAUUUAGGGUGGGGCUCCAUGGGGCCCCAAACCCGUGGAGAAUUUUGUCAUCCCUAAUUACUUUGUCAUCCCUAAUUACAACUCAUGCAUCUAAGUACUUAAAGUUGGCUUGAGUGCAUGGGUUAUUGUCAGUUUUCUUCCUAAUUAAAUUAGGUUGGGAUAAAAUUAUCUCUUUAUUAAUAAGAAUAAAGUAGAUAUCUCUCUCGAUUUUCCUCUUAAUUAAACUGGAUAGGAGUAAAAUUAUCUUUUGAUUAAUAAGGAUGUAAUAUAUAUCUCUCUAAUAUUAUGUGAUGGUAGAAAUUUGGGUUGUACCGUAAUAGAAUUAUCAAGGAUAGUCUUGAUAGAAUUAAUGUAAAGAAUUAAGAUAAAGCCUCAAAGAUGGAACAGAGGUUAAAAAAAAAAAAGAGUACAAGACAAAGAAAUAAGGAAACAAAAGAAGACCAAGAAUAAAAGAAAAAAUAAUUUGGAAAACAAAAAAAUGGAUUGCAAUUUUAAAUUUUGAUUAAGGAUAAAUUGUAGUGGAUGCCAUUGUUGGUAAUUUAUUAUAUUUCAAAGCUCAAAUAAGGAAUAAAAUUAUUAUUAUUAUUAUUAUUAUUUUGCAAUAACUCGUUUCAAAUUUUAAAAGAUUAUAACUUUUUGUUUUUUAACAUUUUAAUCAUAAAUUAAAAAGGAGUUACUAUUCAAGAUUCCUAAGAAUACUGAAAAAAAUGAUAAAUAUUAUUCUAAGAAAAUGAUAUAUAUUGGAUAUACUAAAUAUUAUAAAUUAUUAAAUAUUUUACUAUUUUACCCCUUAGUUUGAUGUUUGGGGAAAAAAAAUACUAAAAUGGCUUUCAAUAAAAAGAAUUAUUAUUAAAAAAAUAAGAUUAAAAUUAUAACAAAUGAUAUUAAUAAGAAAGAAACUGAUAAAAAUUUGGGAUUAGAAAUAGGGGUUAAGGCUUCAGUCCUUGAAUUUCUCUAAAUUUUAUAUAUUUUUAAUUUUUAACCCGUCAAAUUACAUUAUUAAUGGAAUGUCAAUAAAUUUUGUGCGUUAAUUUUUGUUUUAGAUACUUUGAAAGGUAAAAUGGUAUUUUGGAUGGUAAAAGUCAACUAAUUAAUUAAAUAUUUAUAUUCUUCGCUCACCGGAUUUCUUAAAAAGUUUUCUGAACCUCCUAGCCAGCAUAUCCAUCUCUUCCUCAUCCAGCUCGCUUUCCUCAUCACUUUCAUGUUUCGAGGCUUUGAGAGCAAUGUUUUUCUUCUUCUCCUCAUUGCCUCUUUCGGCUUCUAAGUCUUCCUCAUAAGAAAUAAGAGAGCCAAUUAAAUCAUCAAUAGGUAAGAUAUUUAAAUCCUUGGCUUCUUCAAUGACAGUCCUUUUUGGUCUCCAUUCCUUAGGUAGCGACCUAAUAGUUUUCUUAACUUUCUCGCUAUUUGAAAAAGUAUUUCCUAGGGCUCCUAGAGUGUUCACUAUGUCCGUAAAUCUAGUAUACAUAGCAUACACACUCUCAUUUUGUUCCAUUUGGAACAAUUCAUAUUGCCGAGUGUACCUACUAAUUUUAGACUCUUUCACUUGAUUUGUGGCUUCAUAAACAACUUCAAGUUUGUGCCAAAUUUCAUUAGCACUCUCACAACUAGAUACUCUAUGGAAUUCUUUCUUAUCUAGUGCACAAAAUAAGGCAUUCAUAGCUUUGGAAUUUAGAGUAGCUUUUCUCUUUUCCAAUUCAUUCCAUUCCCGUGAAGGUUUUGGAAUAUCUUCCCCGACUUCGUUUCUAGUCAAAGGCAUAAAUGGACCAUCACAAACAAUUUCCCAAAUUUCAUAAUCUAAAGCUUGUAAAUAAAUUCUCAUCCUAGUUUUCCAAUAUGGGUAGUCAUUACCGUCAAAGAACGGUGGUCUAAUUGUGGAUUGUCCUUCCCUAAAGGUUGAAUCACUAUAGGUUGCCAUGGAUCUUUAACUCUACACGGUUAAGUCUACACAAGAGCACCUCGCUCUGAUACCAAAUGAAAUACUAACUAGGCAACCUAAGAGGGGGAGUGAAUUGGGUUUUUAAAAUUUAAGCUAAACAAACCACACAACAAUUUAAUCUAUUACCUUGAUCAAAUUGAAAACAAUAAAUUCAAUCAUGCACAAUAUUAAAAGAGUAAGGGAAGAGAAAACAAACACAAUGAUUUUUAUGUGGUUCGGCAAUCCCCGCUUACGUCCACGCUUCCAAGCUCACCGGGCUUGAGGAUUUCACUAAGCUAGCCUCCCAAGGCUUCAAAAGCUUACAAUUGACUUCCAAGGUGUCAAUGGACCUUUACAACAAGAGAUUAUCCCCAAUCUCUUAACCCAAGUGUAUCCCAACACUUACAAUCUUUUAACUUGAUUUUACAAAAAAAAGAUUACAAAUGAAUCUCUCUCACACAAUAUGUUUGAUCACAAGUGAAAGCUCAAUGUGUGAAUGAAUGAGAUGAAUACAAGAAUUUAAAGCUCAAUGAAAGUUGUAUUCUCAAUAUUUUGCUCAAUGAUGAUUGUUGGAAUCCUUCUUGUUUGAAUUGGAUUGAGCUUAUUUAUAGUUGGAGCUGAAAAACUAGCCGUUACAAACUGUCUGCCCGAAAACGGCUCGCCGUUAACCAUUAACGGUUAACCGUUUACGCUGGUCAAAAGUUACCGUUGGGCCAAAUUUCAAACAAACGGUUAACCGUUUAGGCUUACCCUUUUGCCGUUAAAUUCCAGAGACCAGCAAAACAAAUUUGAUUUAACCGUUCUUACUAAACGGUUCAAGGUUAGCAAUCUAGAAAUAAUCAGUUAACCGUUUUCAGUAAACGGUUCACCGUUAUUUUCCAGAAUCAUCAUUUUAACAAUACUUUGCAGAACAUGCUUUCUGGAAAUUAUCGGUUAGCCGUUUGCUACAGUGUAAUUACUACAGUGAAAUUAUUUUCCAAAAUUACAAUUUGACCCCAAAACUUUAUAAACUAUAGUAUGGCCCAACACGUUAUGAAACAUUGCACAUAGGUCCAAUUUCAUAAUUUCUAAGUAAUGCUUUGUUAAUCCCAAAACUUUUUGAAAUUAUGGUAUAGCCCAAAAUGCUAUGACACUUUUCAAAUAAGUCAUUCUCCAAAAUUUCAAGCAAUAUUUGUUUAUUUCAAAGUUUUCAAAAUUCUUUCAAUUAAACCAUAAACUUUGAAAAACAACCAAUUUCAUAAAAUCAUUUUUCCAUUAAAUAUGAAACAUUUAUAAUGUGAAAAUAAUGAUUUAUUUAAAAAGAAUAAAAACAAUCAAUUUCUUGAAAUCAUUUUUCCAUUAAAUAUAAAACCUUUAUAAUGUAAAAGUAAUGAUUUAUUUUAAAAUGUAUAAAAAAUAAUUUGAUCUUAAAAGAUUAAUCAUUCUUAAUCUUGUUUGUUAUCAUCAAAAUCAAUAUUAUGGAAACAUAUAUGUUAACAACAUAUACAUCCUUUACUUUAUAAUCUUUUACUUUUGCUCUUAAGCUAAAGCAUUAAAAGGCCCCAUAUCCACUCUUUAUAUAUAUAUAUAGGGAGAAUGACAAUUUUCUCCCAUACUGUAAUCAAUAUAUAUCAUUUACGUCCUACUUUUUUAUAAUAACCAAUAAUCCUUGGAUAGCAUAAUUUAACAAUAUUAUUUUUGGUUUAUUUUAAUUUUUGUUCAUUUGAUUUCAUAGUAGUAGUUUUCAUUUUUUUAGUUUAAAAUUUGUAAAAAUGAACUAAAAUGAGAUAAUUUUGAAUAAGAAUCAAAACAAAAAAAGGCCCAAAAUUACCCCUAUUCCGAACAUUAUCUGAAUCCAUCAUAAUUGACCCAAAUUCAAAUUUAACUCAAACCCAACCUCGGCCUCAUAUAAUUAUAACCUGAUCCGAUCUAGACUCAACCCCAAAGUUUUGAUUUGAUCUAAUCAAAUUCGAAUAUUCCAAGCCAAUCAACCUAAAACCCAAUCAAGUUCAUCCAAACCCAAAUUUGCGUACUCCUAGAGGGGACCAUCACCCUAUAAGCUUUGAAUUUUUUUUUGAGGUUUUUAAAUGAAAUAUUCAAAAUUAGGUAUAAAAUGACUGAUUUGCCCUUGAAUACUUGAUACAUAAACUUGAUACAUAUAAUGAAACUUUAAUUGUAUAUUUUGUGAAAUAAAAUCAAUUAAACCUGAUUUUUUUUAUUUGUUAAUUAUUUUUCAUAGCCUUUUUUAAAAGUUUGUAAGUUUGGGCCUACCUCUUUGAUUGUAUGUUGUUCAUUUUGCUUUCUCUUGCAACAAUAGUUUCAAAUAUCAGUCACAAAAUUCUCAAAUUUUGGAAUACCCUACAUACUAGCUAUAAAUAGAAAAAACUGAAUAAAAUUAAUCCCCAACUAACACUUGAAAUUUGAACUUGGGCCUCAUGAAGAUUUACUCUGAGCUCCGCCCCUGAUAUGCAAUAAAAUAUUAGUUUUGCUAGUGAAAUUUUCAAUUAUGUUUUUUUUUUUGUAUUUUCCGCUUAGGGAAGAAGAAAUUUCCUACAACUAUUGUGGUGAAUAUCUUGUGAAUUUAUGACAGUUUAAUCUUUAGUUUGCCACUUGCUUAAAAUGAAAAAGGGAAAAGGGUAUUUAUAUCUCUAAGGUUUGGAGAAAUAGUCACCAACACUACAAGUUUUCUAAAAAGGACAUCAAGACUCCUUUUUUACCAUAAUACCCUUUACUUUUAGUACCUCGAAAAAUUUAACUUGCAAAUGAAUAAAUACAAAUAUUAUAUAAAUAAUGUAAUCUACUUUGUAGAUUAAUAAUAUAAUCUACUUUGUAGAUUAAUAAUAUUUAAAUAUUUAAAUAAAUUUAAAUAUGUAAAUUAAUAAAUUUAUUUAAUAAUAUAUUUGUAUUUAUUGCAUUUUACAAUUAAAAAAGUCUCACAUACUAAUAAUGUUAAAAUUAUUAUUUUACAUAAUAAUUUAAAUUUUAAUACAUUUAUUUUAAUAUUAUGUUUACAUUUAUCAUAAAAUUUACUUUAACAUAAUAAAAUAUAUUAAUAGAUUGUAAAAUAUUAAAAUAUUUUUAAAUAUUGAAAUUAUUUUAAAAUGUAUAAAUUAUUACAUUUAUUUUAAUAUUAUAUUUCUCUUUACUAUAAAAAAUUAAAGUUAAUUUUUGGGAUAAUAAAGGUAAAGGGUAUUGCAGUAAGAAAGAAGUUUUAGUAUCUUUUAUUGAAAACUUAGGAGCAUUGGUAACCAUUUCUCCAAACUUUGGGGAUAUAAGUGUCUUUUUCCUAACAAAAAAUGACAUUUUUAAUAGGAGAUAUAAUAAGCUUUGUUCUAUAGAAAAAUCCAUCAGAUAUAUUAUGCCCCCGGUUGCUAUGUUAAAAAUAAGUAAUUCUUCUUUUUGUAUAUUAAAAUAGUAAAAGGGUGGAUAAUAUUUAAAUUUUCUUUUAACCUUUUAUCUUUUUUGACAUUCGAAUUUUAAACUCGAGAAAUAGACUUCCUGAGAGGUUAACUAAAUUCUUAGUAAUUUGAUAUAAUUUCAUAACCGUUCUCCAAAAGCAUUACGAUAUUUAUUAAAAUCAUUAUGGGACUGAUUUUAUUCUCUUUUUUUUUCUCAACAAAAUAUCCGACUGCAGAUGUAAUAAAUUACUCAUUACAAUUAUUUGAGUCCCCACUCUAAAUUAGAUUUUGAAGUUUGUCCUGACAUAAUAAAGUUACAUUUUCAAAUGACCAAAUCAAUUAAUGAGUCUGACAAAAAGAUGUUGUCGGCCAAGUUGAAAAAUAUAAUAAAUAAAUUGUCAGGAGAUGAUUUUUUCUGAAAUUUCAUUUUCAAGGUCCAGAACACAUUCAAAUUUCCGCUGAAAUUCAUAAUGGAUUCAUAUGAUCGGGCGAAAUUACACUAUACAAUUUCAUCAAUACCUAUUAAACGAUAAAAAGUUUAUUGAUUAUUUAUAAUUAAAAAAAAUCUAUCUACUAAGACUAUUCUAGAUCAAUAAUUAAUAUAUUAUAUAUAACUUCAGAAGGUUCAUCGGCGUAUUGAUCUAAGCCUUUUGUAGUAGUUUAUAAAUAUUUUGUUGCUUAUAAUGUAAGAAAUUUUACAGGAGUUGAUGCUGAGUAGUCUGAAUAAGAAAAUUAAUUAUAUUGUAAGUUAUUGGGUAUUUAUAAUAAAAUAAACAAUAAAAAAUGAAUAAAAAUUUAAAUACUUAAUUAAUUUUUAUCAAAUUCUUAUCAAAUAUUUAAAAUAUAUAUAAAAUCAAUUAAUUGAUGAUGUUGUUAAUUUUCAUGAUAUUUUUAAUAUUAUAUUAGUGAUUAUUAAAUUUAAUACAAUCAAUAAUGCUAUAAAUUAUUAAAUGGUUAAUUUUAUUGACAAAUUAUCAAAUAUGCAAAUAAUGAAAAAUUAAUCUCAAGAGUUGGUAGAAGUAAAGUUCCAAUUUAAUCAGAUAAUAAAUAAAAAUAAUUUUUAAGUAAAUUAUAAAUAAAAAAUAAUUAAUAUUAAGUAUAAAUAAACAAUAAUGAUAGAAAUUAAAGUCUCAUAAGAGCAUCUCCAAAAGACUCUUCAAAUAAGAUUCUACUUCUUAUUUGAAGAGCCAUGUCAAUAUUUUACACUCCAAAAGACACGUUAAUUUAAAUUCUUCAAAUAAAAUUUAUUUUUCACUCUUCAAUAUUGCCGAGUGAGUUUCUCCCUCUUCUAUUAAUAUUUUAUUAUUAUUUAUUGAAAAGAUAAGACUGCAAUAAUUAUUAUUUAUGUUUCUUUUAAAAAAUAUAAUAACAAUACAAUUUGAUAGUGGAAAAAUUUGAUUAAAAUAAUAUUAAUUUAUUCUUAUUUGGUGAGUCUUUUGGAGGGGAUUAUAUUUUUUUAUACACUUAUUUGCCACAUCAGUAAGCAAAUUGAAAUUUAAAGAGUAAAAUUUAAAGAUCCUUUUGGAGAUACUCUAAAUAGAUAACUUUUUUUCUUUAAUUUUAUCCCAACUAAAAUCAUGUGUAAAUUACAAUGAUUAAUCCCAUAAUUUUAGGAUGAAACUUAAAUUUAGUCCCCGAGUCCAAUUCAAUUAAUUUAACAAACAGGAGAUAAAUAUUUAAUAACAAAAUUAGUCCAAUUUCGUACUUAAUACUAGUAUAUGAACAUGGCCUGAUAAAAUAAUUUAGGUAAUAUGCUUCUAUGACUCACAAUUUAAAUAAAUUUGAGAAUUUAUAUAAGGGAUGGAAAAUUCAUAAUAAUCAUAACAUGUGCUAUCUUUUCUUCCUUUUCUUAAUUAAAUAAAAGAAAAAUAUUAAUCACAGAACCACUGCUGUUUAAAAUGACCCGAUGAUCGAUGAAGUCGCAUUCGCCUAUCUAAUAUUGCGCAAUCAGAUAAAUUCUCAAAUUUUAAAUGAAUUUAAUCUGCAAUUAGAUCAAUAACUACACAAUAAAGAUUAAAAAAUUUCAAAUUAUACUUGAGUUAAAAUUUGAUUCUUUUUUAUUAUUUAAAGUGAUUUAUUUAUAAUUAUUUUAACCCAAUUAGAUUUUUUUUUUUAAUGCUUGGUCUAUGACAGAAUUGAUCCUCAAAGUUUAAUUAAGCCUGAGAUGGAUACUCUCAGCAAUUUAUUAGAAUCUAACAGGAAAAGAGAGUUGCGAUUUGUAUGUGUAGAAAGAAAAUGUCAAAACGAAAUGUUAAUGUCACUUGUAGAGAGAGAGUUGGGACUGAUGAUCUGCAAUUUAGUCAUGAAAAAUUAGUGAUUAAAUACAACUAAAUUUCAGUUCUUUCUUUGGGAUCCAGAAAAAAAAUAAAAUUCCCCCUCAAUUUUCUGUUUGCAAGGGGGUAACUGUAAGCACAGUCUGAUUUUAUUUUCAGGGAAUAAUAUCGGUGAACCACCGUCGGGGAAAAUUUGAAGUCUAAACAGGUCAUUCACAGAUAAGGCCAAAGAGUAAAACAGGUCGUUCAUCGUGCAUUUGGAUUCCUUUCAUCUGGUUAAUUAUUGAAGACAAGAUGAAAACGCAACUAAUGUCAAUAUUUUAAUUUGGAAUGGGGGCCGUGUAUGGUGUAUAAAAUAGCAUUAAUUGUUGUCUGUGUUUGUUGUUUAAUAUAUAUAUAUAUAUAUAUAGGUCUAAACAGGUCAUUCACAGAUAAGUCUAAACAGGUCAUUCACAAACAGGUCAUCUUAUGAAUUAUUGAAGACAAGUAGCUGUUCGACGCCAGCACUUUUCAAAUCUGAAGAGCAAUUAGACAAUAUUUCUAUUUCAAAUUGGGGCCACACUCCAAAAAAAUUGCAAUAAUUCUCUGUUUUAUACCAAAUAUUGCGCAAUCAGAUAAAAAAAGGGUCGGCUGCAUGAUUUUUCCAACUUUUGUUUUAUUUUUUCUCUUUUCCACGGGCAUGUUAUAUUUAACAAUUCUCUUUUUGUCGUGACAUAAUGGACUAAAACGGAAUCACAACUUUUUCAAAUGACCAAAUGGCUUCGCCCUACCUGAUAAUAAAAGGCCAUAUAGAUGAGAAAUGGAUCCAUACGUUAAAGCUAUAUUAAAACAUAUAAUAAAUAAAUAGUCAGGAGAUGAUUUUUAUCAAAAAUUUCACUCGCACGGUCCCGACCAAAUACAAAUUUGUGAUGAUAUUCAUAAUGAAUUUAUACAAUUAGGCGAAAUUACUCUAUAUAGUUCCAUCGAUAUAUAUUAUACCAUUAAAAAUAUACUAAUAUUUAUAAUAAAAAAAAUUUAUGACUAUUCUAAAUCGACUGUAUUAUAUGUGAACUCACAAGAUUCAUCGAUAGAUUGCACUGAGCUUUUUGUUGCAGUUUACAAAUAUUUUGUUACUAAUUAUCUUAAGAGCGGCAAGUAACUAAAUACAAAUGUAAGAAAUUUUACAAGUGCUGAUGCUGUGUACUCCGCAGAAAGCUAGCCCACGACGGUGACUCCUGUUGGGACUCCUUCAAUUUGCAGCACAAAAGAACGUUCACAUUGACAUUGACUUGAGGGUAAAAAUUAAAAUAUCUCCAAUUAGUAUAAGAAGAAUCCAAACAUGCUUGAAUGAACAUUCUCUCAGAAUACAUAAAAGCUACUUUCCUCUGAGCAUUUUAGCAGCACGAAAAGCAAUUGCAGCAUUUACCAUUUGAUCUAAUAUCAGAAUGGCUCAUGCGAUCGUUUCCUCUCUCCUGGACCAGCUGAAUUCCAUUGCUCAAGAUCAGGUGAAAGAAAAGUGGAGGCUUGUGACGGGUGUCGAACAAGAAGUGGGAAAGCUUACCACCAAUCUUCAAGCCAUUCAAUCUGUGCUGGAAGAUGCAGAGCAGAGGCAAAUGAAGCAGGACAAAGCUGUUACUUUUUGGCUGGAUCAGCUCAGAGACACAUCCUACGACAUGGAAGAUGUGUUGGAAGAGUGGUUCACUGAAACACGGAAAUUGCAGCUUGAUGAGGGACGCGAUGAUGAUGAUGAUGAUAACGACGGUGCUUUUGUUACUUUUUUGACGAAGGUAUGUUCCUUCUUUCCUGCUGCCUCAAACUGCUUCGGUGGUUUCAAACAACUCAGUCUUCGUCAUCAUAUUGCUGUCAAGAUUAGAGAAAUCAGUGAAAAGCUAGAUGAUAUUGCCACUCGAAAAGAUAGGUUUAAUUUUGUUGAGAAUGUGAGUAACAAUGUUAGGAAUCCAGAGCGAGUGCGAACCAUCUCCUUGAUUGAUGAGGGAGAGGUUUGCGGUAGAGUUGAUGAGAAAAGUGAGCUCUUAAGCAAGUUGUUGGGUGAAAGUAGUGAACAACAAGAAGGCCUUCAUAUCAUCUCACUAGUUGGGUUAGGGGGUAUAGGUAAAACCACUCUUGCACAACUAGCCUAUAAUAAUGAUGAGGUGAAAAGAAAUUUUGACAAAGUUAUAUGGGUAUGUGUAUCAGACACUUUUGAGGAGAUUAGGGUCGCCAAAGCAAUCAUUGAAGGUUUAGGUGUGUCAGCUUCUGGUUUAAGCGAAUUCGAAUCUCUUAUGAAACAGAUUCAGGAAUAUAUUACAGGGAAGAAAUUUUUUCUUGUUUUAGAUGAUGUGUGGGAUGGAGAUUACAAAAAAUGGGACCUAUUCUUUUCUUGUCUAAAGAAUGGCCACCAUGAAAGUAAAAUUCUAAUUACCACACGUGAUAGGUCAGUUGCACUACAGUUGGGAUCAAUAGAUAUUAUCCCUGUCAAGGAGUUGGGUGAAGGGGAAUGUUGGUUACUGUUUAAGCAUAUAGCAUUUCUACGUAGGUCCUUUGAGGAUUGUGAAAAAUUAGAACCAAUCGGGAGAAAAAUAGCAUGUAAGUGCAAAGGCCUGCCUCUUGCUGCAAAGGUAAUAGGGAAUCUCUUGCGCUCUAAAAGUACAGAAAAAGAGUGGCAAAGAAUUUUAGAUAGUGAAAUGUGGAAAGUAGAAGAGAUUGGGCAAGGUCUUUUAGCUCCUUUGUUGUUGAGUUAUAACGAUUUGCCCUCCAAUUCUAUGGUAAAACGGUGUUUCUCAUAUUGUGCUGUCUUUCCAAAAGACUACGAGAUGGAUAAAGAGGAGUUGAUUGAUCUGUGGAUGGCUCAAGGUUACCUUAAUGCAGAAGAAGACGAAGAAAUGGAGAUGAUUGGAGAAGAGUAUUUCAACAUCUUAGCAACACGCUCUUUCUUUCAAGAGUUUAAAAUAUAUGAUGACGAUGAUGAUUUUACGAGUUGUAAGAUGCAUGACAUAGUACAUGAUUUUGCCCAAUUUGUAAGUAGCAAAGAAUGUUUGUGGCUAGAAAUUAAUGGUACCAAGGAAUCAGUCAUAAACUUUUUUGGUGACAAAGUCCGUCACUUAGGGUUAAAUUUUGGAGGAGGAGCUUCAUUUCCUAUGACCAUUUAUGGACUUAAUAGAUUGCGUACCCUCCUAAUUUAUGACCAAAGUUUUGUCAAUUUAUCUCUUAACAGUAGCAUCCUUCGGGAGUUAUUUAGUAAAUUGGCAUGUUUAAGGGCAUUAGUUAUAAGGCAAUCGACCAAGCUUUUGUAUGAAGACACAAAUUGGAUUACGGAAAUUCCAGAUAAUGUUGGAAAAUUGAUACAUUUAAAAUAUCUUAAGUUGUCUAAAUUGUAUAUAGCGAGACUACCUGAGACUUUGUGUGAAUUAUAUAAUUUACAAAAACUAGAUAUUAGGCGGUGCAAAUAUCUUAGAGAAUUGCCUGCGGGGAUUGGGAAGUUAAAGAACAUGAGGAGUUUACUGAAUGAUCAAACUGAAAAGCUGAAGUACCUGCCAAUAGGGAUUUCCAGAUUGACCAGCCUUCGAACAUUAGAAAAGUUUGUUGUGGGUGGAGGUGUUGAUGGUGGCAGCACGUGUAGGCUUGAAUCUCUGAAAAAUCUUCAACUCCUUCGAGAAUGUGGAAUAGAAGGGCUGAGUAAUGUAUCGCAUGUAGAUGAGGCUGAGAGGUUACAACUUUACAAUAAGAAAAACCUCCUUCGUUUGCGUCUUGAGUUUGGUGUAGUCGUAGAUGGGGAAGGCGAAGAAAGGAGGAGGAAGAACGAGAAAGAUAAACAACUUCUUGAAGCCUUACAACCGCCUUUGAAUGUAGAGGAAUUAUGGAUUGAAUCCUAUGGAGGCGUCAUUUUUCCCAAAUGGUUGACUUCACUAACCAAUCUAAGGAAUUUAUAUCUUUCCUUGUGUUUUAACUGUGAGCAUUUGCCUCCUUUGGGAAAAUUGCCUCUGGAAAAACUCAUCCUAUGCAAUUUGAUUGGUGUAAAAAGAGUGGGUAAUGAGUUUUUAGGAAUAGAAGAAAGCAGUUAUUGGGACGACCCAUCUUCAUCUUCAUCGUCAUCAUCAGUUAUUGCCUUCCCCAAAUUGAAAUCUCUCAAAAUUUGGUUCUUGGAUGAAUUGGAAGAGUGGAAUUACAGGAUUACGAGGAAGGAAAACAUCUCCAUCAUGCCACGUCUUUCUUCCUUGAAAAUUAAGCAUUGCCCCAAAUUAAAGGUGCUGCCGGAUUACCUUCUUCAAACGACGACGCUGCAGCACUUGAGUAUUCAGGGAUGUCCUCUUCUGGAAAACCGUUAUCGAGAGGGGAAAGGAGAAGACUGGCAUAAGAUAUCUCACAUUCCCCACAUCAAGUGGCGGUAAAUUCUCGAAUGGUUGCAAUUACUAUCACCCACCGGUAAUUGCUCUCCUCUAUUUUACUUUGUUGUUACUUCAAACAACGACACUGCAAACAUUGACAAUUUUAUAGAACGCAUUAGUACAUGUCAAUAACAAGACCAAUUAGAUUAUGGCAUUGCUUUAUUUUAUUUAUUUAUUUUUUUGAUUCUUUUGAAAUAAGAUCAAUUAAUUAGAUCAUGCUAGAAGUUAAUUUUUUUUUUUCAAAUGAAAAAGGAGCAGUCAUACAAAGUUUGAAUAUAAAAUUUAUAAUCUAAAACUAAUGAUGUGACAAUUAACAUGUUAUUAACCUAGCUAAUAGAGUUGGAAGUCCCAAAUACAUCAUAUUCUGCUCCAGAAAUCAAUUCCACCUAGAAUACUUCUUUCUAUUGAAAUUAAUGAUGAUUUGUUUGUUUGCAUCAUGAAAGUCAAAAAUAAUUUUAUGAGUAAUUUGAUUCUUUACGGUACAAAAAAUAAAUUUGGAAAGUACUAAUUUCUCUCAUACUUUUUGGGCUAAAAAAUAAAUGUAAGUCUAACAUAUUUAUUAUAUAAUGGUUCUAUAUAGAAUCAAUCAUGGUAUAAAUAUGUAAAACUUCCUAGUUAUCAAUUUUGUCUUGCAUAAUGAUAAUCGUUUUUUUUUAUAUAUAAUUUAUGUAACAUUAAUUCUUUAAAGUAAUUGUGGAAUUGUUUUUACUACAUUAGCCCUCUUUGUUUUAUUUCAUACGAGUUUAAUUAUGUUCACCAGGGAUUCGAGGAAAUGUCAGAACUACACUAGCAAUUCACAGGUCCAAUCUAAUUUGGUUUUAAUGAUGCAUGCAGGAGAGCAAGAUUAUGAAAAUGAAAAGUUUAGCCAAAGGAUUGCUAAACUGUUCUGCUGGUAAUUCACUUGCUUUAUUUUAUAGAAUUUCAUUUCCAUCUUCUUCUAUUGAUAUCUUGUUGUGAAUAAACAAGCACAGAGAAGUAAAUGAUUGAACCACGGAGAAGUAAAGAUAUAUCCAAAUUCGAUUAUUAUGAUGAUUAAAGCAAGCUCAAGCUCAAGCACUGCAUUUUUUUAUUUUAUUUAGUUUAUAGAAUUUUCAUUUCCACCUGCAUUGCAUUUUUACUUCAUUUUUAGGUUGACGUUGAAGACUCUUAUGGAGAACAUUGGGGUAACCAAGGAUUAUCACUGUGGUUAUUGUGCAACGUUUGGUUGCUGGACUUUGAAGAAGGAAGUGAUGGCCGGGUCUGCUCUGUUUCAAUUGAGGAUGGAUAGCUGCCUGAAAGAUAUGAUGAUUAUUAUUGCAUGAUAUUAAGGUGCUAAGAUCAUCAUUUCUAUCUUGUUUCAUUCUUGGAAUCAUUUAUCCUAUAUAAACAUAUUGAAUUGUGCUAAUAUUAUCAUAUGCGUCAAUGGAGGCAGGAAUUUGGUGUUGACACUAUUAUGCAGGUAACCACACUUCAUAGUUUGCACAAAUUUGCGUUGUCAGAAUAUCCUUUAAUAUUCAUUGUGUUUCUGUGUGUUAUCAGGUUAUCAUCUCCAAGGGUUUGAAAGAGCCUUUGCAGUAAAGUCAGUUUUCACCAGCUCGUGCAAUUGCAAAUUCAUUCAGAGUACUUCAAUAUUGGGUUUUCAAGUUUUGUAUGUUUAGUCGAUUAAAAUGUUUAGUCACUCAUUCUUAAUCAUUUCUGAUUUUCAAGUUCUUUAGGGCCAUAAACAGUUUUUCAAACUCAUUCUUAUUUUUUAGGUUGAUUUCCUACUCGUGGAGAACGUUGGGAAGUCCAAGGAUUAGGCUGGCGAUGGAACUACUACCUCUGUUGUUAUUGUACAAGGUUUGAUCGCUGGACCUUGAACAAGAAAGCCUUACACGCAUUCUGUAAUUGAAGCGUUCUCUAAAGCAAAAGAGCAGUAGAAGGAAUAGUGUUGGCCGGAUCUGUUCUAUCUUAAUUGAAGAUCUCUGUGAUGUUGAGGAGCUAAUGAUUGUUAAGGCAUAUUUUCAUGAACUUCCUUUCUUAACAAAUGUUUCAAUGCUGGCUGUAGUAACAAUUUCAUAUCUUGCAUCUCUCGGGUGCAUCAUGUUCUCGGGUUUGAAAAAGCAUUUGUGGUAAUGCUUCAAAGCUUGUACAAUGGCUGUGAAAAGGCACAUUCAAUUAGGUACGUUUUGGUGCGGUCUCUCAAUGCUAAUAUUAUAUUUUGUAUAGCAAUUAAAAUUUAGCUAUACAAUCUUAAUAUGCAAUAAAUCAUUGUAUACAAAGUUUUCCAUUAAUUAUGUGGUGACAGAAAUUUUAAUUAUCAUAUAUCAAUUUAAAUUUUUUUGUAACUCUCUCUUACUUUGCUUGUACAGAGUACCUGUUUUGGCUGAUAUGUCUAAUUCGUAGAAAUUCAUUUCCAUCGGUUUCCAUUGGCUUUAGCACAAACCGAAACAGAUCUCUGGGGAAAAGUUUUACUUCUUGUGAUAUUAUGCCUCUGUUUCUUCAUUCAUCAUAUUUUUCGAAUUCAUGCUCUCAUUCAGAGGGUAAAGCCUUUUCCAGGCUUCUUUGUAGCCAAACUUUGACGCCUUUGAUGCAUGACUGUCAUUUAGAUUUUCCAAAUAACUGUUAGAUUGGAGAAGAAUAAGAAGAUACUGUUAAAAGGGUAUUUAAUUAAUGUAGUCAAUUACCCUCUGAAUUUCUUGGAGUUAAUGUAGUCAAUUACCCAAUCUUGCUUCAAACUCUGACAUACCUAAUAAAUAGUAGGAGGGGGUGGUAUUCGCCUGGUGUUAAUUUCCUGGCAAGUAUAGUUCACAGAUAGAGGGGUUCUUUUCUUGAUGUCUAAAUACCGUAUGUGAUACAACAUCGUGUAUUCCAAUUUUUCUCCAGUUAAAUUUUAAUACGUUAGUAAAGUUAAUUUUGUUUUAGCGAUGAAUUGUUUUCUUAAUAAUAAUAAUUGCCAUGUUCCUCUGAAGUCUUAUUAAUGCCACGUCAUCGAUCCGUCUAUGCGAACAGUGUCGUGAACAGUACCAUACAUGUGAAUAGUACCGUACAUGUGAAUAGUGCCAUUUUUCCGUUUAUGCUCCUCCUAAGGUUUUCGACCGUCUUGAGUUCAAAAGUGAUGUCCGUUUUGCCGUCUGAUCUCUCGUUUAUUGUGAAAUGACCAUGAUACCCCUAAAAUACAUAAAAUACUUAAUUAAAAAUCAAACACACAUAAUUAAAUUGCAAGAAGCUUAAAUACAUAAAAGUAAGGGUUGUUAGUAAAACUUGAAAUGUAAAAUGAUGAUUUUCUCCUUUAUAAAUAUACAUUUUCUAACACUCAACACCGGCUUCUUAAUUAUUUGUUAAAUCAGGUUUUUCUUAUCAAGUACAUCAUCUUAUUCACCAUUUUGGCUAUAUCAGAAUUUGCUAUUACCAUGAUGUCAAAGCAAGCUCAAGCACUAGAUCCCUAAUAAUAAUGCAUUGCAUUUUCAUUUUAUUUUUAGGUUGGUUUGAAGACCCUAUGGAGAACAUUGGGGUAAUCAAGGAUUAGGCUGGUGAUCGAACUACUUCCACUGUGGUGUUGUGUGCAACGUUCAGUUGCUGGACUUUGAAGAAGAAAGUGAUGGCCAGGUCUGCUCUGUUUCAAUUGAGGAUGGAUAGCUGCCUGGAAGGCAUGAUGAUUUUUGUUGCAUGAUAUUAAGGUACUAAGAUCAUCAUUUCUAUCUUGUUUUUUUCUUUGAUUGGUUUAUCCUCUAUAAGCAAAUUCAAUUAUGGUAAUAUUACCAUUUUUUCACCCAAUUUUCACCGUUGGUUGUAAUAACAAUUUCACGUACUCAAAAGCUACAGAGCAAAGCACAUGUGGGCUGAUCAUAUGCUUCCAUGGAGGAAGGAAUUCGGUAUUAACACUAUUAUGCAGGUAACCACAGUUGUUAAUUUGCACAAAUUUUGCAUUGUCAGAAUGCCCUUUAAUAUUCACAGUGUUUCUUUUUGUUAUUCAGGUUACCAUGGCAUGUAGAGUAUCAUCUUUGAGGGUUUGUGAGAGCCUUUGCAGUAAAGUUACCGGCUCGAACAAUUGCACAUUCAUCGAGAACAAUUUUAGAUUUGCAAGGUUGCGAUUAGCAGGCUUAGUCACUCAUUCCUAAUCUUUUUUGAUUUUCAAGUUAUUUAGGUCCAUUAACCGUUUUCGCACAUGUUUCAAUGCUAGUUGUAAUAACAAUUUCUUAUCCUGCAUCUCUAAGGUGCAUCACGUUUGAAACAGCUUUUGCGGCAAAGUUUCAAUGCUUGUACAAUGGCCGUGAAGAGGUACAUUCAAUUCGGUACAUGUUGGUGCAGUCUUCUAAUGCUAAUAUCAUGUUGUGUAUAUUUAAUUUGCAAUUAAAACAUAGGUAUACAUUCUUAAUCUCCAAUAAAUCAUUGUGUACAAAGUUUUCUAUUAAUUAUAUGGUGACUAAAAGUUUAAUUAUCUUAAAAUUUUUUGUAACUCUCUUUUACUUUGCUUGUACAGAGUACCUGUUUUGGCUGACAUGUCUAAUUCGUAGAAAUUCAUUUCCAUCAGUUUCCAUUGGUGCUAGCACAUACAGAAACAGAGCUCUACUUCUUAUGGUAUUAUGCCUUUGUUUCUUCAUUCACCAUAUUUGUUCGUGUAAAAAACACAGAUUAGAAUGAAUAAUUUCUAUAUUUUAUUGAUGAUAAUUACUCCUCUUUAAAUAGAUUACAGGGGCAUAAAUCAAAUCCCACAAAAUCAGAGCUAUGACAUCUAGAAAUCUAAUUCUAAGGAAACAAAUCAAUAAACCUAUUUAAGGAAACAAAUCUUGCCAAAUAACAUAGAUCCUAAUAUAUACAAUUCUAAUUAUGUAUAAUUUUGAUUUCAUCCACACUCCCCCUCAAGCUUGGCUAUAGAUGUUGAUGAGACCAAGCCUGCCUUCAAGAAACUCAUGAGUAUGUUCUCAGAGUCCUUUGGUGAGGAUAUCAGCCAGUUGGUGAGAUGUAGGCACAUAUUCAAGCUUGAUAAUGUUUCCAUCAAGCUUUUCUUUAAUAAAAUGUCGAUCAACCUCCACAUGUUUAGUCUUAUCAUGAUGAACAGGAUUGUGAGAUAUACUAAUUGCUGACUUAUUAUCACAAUAGAGCAGCAUAGGUUCUUCAAAUCCAAUCUUUAAUUCCUUCAACACCCUUCUUAUCCAGAUAAACUCACACACUCCAUGUGCCAUUGCUCUAAACUCAGCUUCCGCACUACUUCUAGCAACCACUGACUGUUUUUUGCUACGCCAAGUCACCAGAUUUCCCCAUAGCAACGUGCAAUAACCAGAUGUUGAUUUAUGAUCAUUAAUUGAUCUAGCCCAAUCAGCAUCUGUGAAUGCUUUCACCUUUCGAUCAUUGGUCUUUGCAAAAAUAAGCCUUUUUCGGGUGUUCGCUUCAAGUAUCUCAGGAUUCUAUCUACUGCAUUCAAAUGACCUUGACAUGGUGCAUGCAUAUGUUGACUUACUAAACUCACUGCAAAGGCAAUAUCCGGUCUUGUAUGUGAGAGAUAGAUGAGCUUUCCAACUACAGGUGAUAAGAUGUUGCUUGAAUUCAGCAUCUUGUAUUGCGAUGAUUUUGCCCACAUGAGGUUCUGUGAUUCUUGACAUCAGGAUAACUCAGGUCAAUUUUUUGUAUCAGCAUAUAUCAUCUUGUUUACUGUUUUGCCUUCAAAGAAUAAACUUUAGUGAAGUUGUUUUUGUUUGUGUAAGUUAUCAGGUUAAGGAUACUAAGCAGCUUAUUAAGGCAAAUGUCAUAAUGAAGAUUGUUCACCACACCUGGCAUUUAUGAUGGCAAGGAAGAUUAAUUGUUCACAAGCCAAUUUGAUGAGUGUUAGAUUUUUGGCUUUAUAUAUUAUUAGAGCUCUCCCUUCUGAGAGAUAUCUCAUUAAAUUGAGUAGAGCUCUCCCAAUAAUCGCAAGCUUUCAUUUGUUUGUAAAAUCAUCUUCUUAUAUUGAUUGUGUUUCCUUGUGUUAUCAAGUAGAGUAUCAUCUUCAAGGGUUUAAAAAAGUCUUUGCAGUAAAGUUUCAACCAGUUGCUGUGAAGAGGCAUAUUCAUUUGAGUAAUUCAGUUUCAGAUUUUCAGGGCAUGUAUGUUUAAUUAGUUUUGAUUAUGCUCUAAAUCUAACAAAAGUAUAUUUCUACUUCUUGUGGUUAUUUUACUUUUGUAUUUUCUGUCAUCAUUUUGAUUAAUUCAUUCGAAUUCAGACUCUCAUUAUUUAAAACCAUUUUCAGGUGGCUUGCACGCUAAUUAAGAAAUUGGAAAGUUAUCAUUGCUUGAAUGAAAGCACCAUCUUCUUUUGUCAAGGCUUUCCCCACACGAUGAGAUUAUGUGCUUGUUAUCGGCCGCUUAAUUAUUUAUUAAAUCAGGUUUUUGUUAUCAAGUACAUCAUCUUAUUCACCAUUUUGGCUAUAUAUAAAGAUUAAAAUUUCUAACAGUUGUUUCAGAUUCUUGUGCACUCAGGUUAAUAGUGCAAAUGUCAGAAUGAAGAUUGUUCAGUGCAACCGGUAUAGCAAGGAUGAUAGUGGUGAGGAAGAUUGUAACACCCCAGUUCGAAAUCCAAGGGCAAAUAUGUCCACAACUCACAUAUGAUUUAAAUAACUCUUUACAAACAAUAAAAUUCGAGCCUCAAAUACAAAAGCCAGCAGAAUAACUUAAAAAUUUAGCCAAACCAUCUACUAUCUUCAACUUGUCACUCAUCACGAAAUAAUCCUGACUUCUGGAAACUGAAUCACAAUAAACUAUAAUGAGUACAAAACUCAGUAAGAAACUAGUUUUUCUUAUAGAAAAUACAUACAUACUUAUACAUAAUGCAAUGGAUGAUAUGCCAUGAUCUUUUGGAAAUAUUGUAAAAUAAAUUCAUAAAAAUCUCUUUCUGUCGCCUUCAAACUUUCUCAUUUUCUUUCGAUGAAAUACGUAUCCUGCAAUGUCGCACUUUGUGCUGUGCGUGGCACUUUGCGGCACUCUGGCCCUCAAGAGGUGGCCCCUGCAUAGUCUCAAGAGGUGGCCCCCCCACAACUUCAAGAGGUGGCCCCCAAUGUAAAAAUCUCAUAAAACAGAAAUUCCGUUUGCUAAAAUCCACUUUCUCAUUCAUAGAAAAUUCAAUGCAUUUUCGUGCUCAUGCCAAUGAACCAUCACACAUACAUAUGCCCAUGUACAUAAUCACGCCCAUUACAUAACAACACAUCACAUAAACACAUGAGCAGAGACAUAUAAAUCCAUAUUCGUACAUAUCAAAAUAGGCUUUUCAUACAAGUCAAACAUAUAUAUUAUUUAUUGUGAUUCGUUUUAAAGUCUAGUUCACUUACCUCUUGGCAUCCUCAUGUAACAAAUGUGUACUGAUACCAUCAACCUAAAAUCAUCAAUAAAUUCUCAUAAGAUAUAAUCAAAUCUCAAUCAUAAACUCUAAUGUCCUCAAAUAUCUCAAUUUAAACAACUCUUAAGCUCAACCUCAAAUGUCCUCAAUAAUCGGCCCUCAAAACAUAACAGUCCAUACUUCUCCGAUUUUUAAUAAAUUAUUCUCUUAUUGGAAGAAUCUCAAAUUUUACAGACCAUAUGCUGACACAUUGAAAGUUCAUUGAUAAAAAUUUCAUAACAUAAUUCCUUCCAAAACGAUUGAAAAUAAUUCACGUUUCAGACAUCAUCAAUACUGUCAAACAGUUUUCUGUUUUGAACACACUUGCUUUAAAAAUACAAAACAAUUUAUUUCUUUAUCAUAAAAUCAUGAAAAUUUCCAGAAUCAUACUAGACUUAUAUAAAACUCAUUGGUCCAAAUUUCAUAAGUUUGAAGAAGUCUAGAUAUGGUAGAAAUAAUUUCGUAAUUCACUGAAAUCAUAAAUUUCCAGGUUUUCAGACUUGACUUUGAAAAAUCAUAAUUAAUUGAAAUCUUAUCUGAUUAACUUGAAACAAGUUUCAAAACAUAUUAGACGAUGUCUAGUUUAACAUACCCAAAAAUCAGAAUCAAAAUCAAUUUUUACAAAUUACUAUGAUUUUCGUAAUAAUUCACUGUCAGCAUAUUUAUGUAAAAUCUUUGAUUUCUACUUCUAUUGCAAUCAUGCUUCUCCACAACAAUUUAAUAGAAACCAAUAAUUAAAACAUACCUCCAAAAAUUCUCCCAACAAUAACAACUUGAUCCAAUGUGUUGUCUAUGGCAAAACUAAGAAGAAGAAGAAGAGCUUCUUUUUUUUUUCUUUUCUCUCUUGUCUCUCCAUCUCUCUUUUUUAACCGAUCCCUCUUUUUCUCUCUCUUAUAAUGAAAAAGACAUCUUGUUCUAUUUAUACUAGGGUAAAAAGGAUCACUAAAAAUUAAAAAGACUUAAAUACCCUUAGGAGAUUUGGGGUAUUACAAAGAUUGUUGGCAAGCCAAAUAGAUCCCUCCAUUUUGAGAAAUAUCAUCCUCAAAUUUGAAUUGCUGAGCAUGUGAAGUGAAGCUAAAGCCUUAAUAAUGAGACCUUCCUGUGAAAGUUUCAUUUGAGUGAAUUGAACGUUCUUGGAGUGAGUGAGAAAUUAAGCAUAUAUCAGCGAUUAGUGAAUUUUUUUCUUUAACAUUAGUACACUCUUAUUUCUUAGUAAAAUUCUCUUCCCGUCUCUGACUGUGACGUAGACCAAAAGCUUAACAAUGUAAAAUUAUAUUGUUAUUUCCUUAUGCUUGUUUUGCUAUAUAUCAUUUCUGUGCAAUCAAGAAUGUAAUUUUGUAAUUAUUUAAUUCUGCUUCCGCAAACAUGCCGUAUUACAAGUGAUAUCUUGCAGAAUUUUCCCCCCCUUUUUUCUUUCUGCAUUAAAACUGCAACAAAUGGAAGUGACUGGCUUGAUUUUAGCUCCUGUAAAAAAGUGCUUGCGGCAAUGUCUUUUGUAUCAGCAAGUCAUCAAACAUCAUUUUACGCUUGAAGUUGGGCCUUCUGAAGAUUUACCCCAUAUGGAACAAAAUAUUGGUUUCGCUACUAAAAUUGCGAACUAUGUUUUUCUUUGUAUUUUCCGCUCAACUGUUGUGCUGAAUAUGUUGCGAACAUAUGACAAUUUAAUCUUUGGCUGAGACUUGUUUAAAAUAAAAAAUGACACUUUAAAGCAAUAGGAGACUUUUAUAUAUUAAAAUGGUAAACGGGUGGAUAAAACUCAAAAUAAAUUUUUGACAUUUUAUCUAUUUUGACAUUCGAAUUUUAAACUUUAGAAGUCAAGCAAUGAAUAAACCUUUUUGAGAGGCUAAUUAAAUUCUUAGUAAUUUCACAUAAUUUCAUUUCAUCAGAACAGUUUUAUCAAAAGCAAUUUUAUAAAUCGUUGUUGAAAGCUUUAUUCCUUAAUUAUCUUUCACAUAGUUUCUUUGUAAUGUGGGUAAGUCAUAGACCAUGGUAUGAUAUUUAUUAAAUAUCAAAAGAUACCUCUUCUAUGGCAAAGUUAAUUAGACAUGUCUUUAUAAUAAAACAUCAUUUAUUUUGAAAUUGAUCCAACACUAAGAUUAUUGUAGAUCAAAUUAGUCUAUUACAGAUAACUUCAGAAGGUUCAUCAGUAGAUUGUUCCAACCUUUUUGUCGUAGUUUACAAGUAUUUUGUUACUUAUAAUACAAGAAAUUUUACAAGUGCUGAUGCUGAGUAGUCUGAAUAAUUAUUAUGAAUCAUAAAAACAGGGCAGAUGCUGUACAAAUUUUACAAAUAUUUUGUUACUUAUAAUGUAAGAAAUUUUACAAGUGCUGAUGCUGAGUAGUCUGCAUAAUUAUUGAGGUGGUGGAGCAAAUGCUCAGUAGUCUGAAUAAUAAUUAUGAAUCGGAAAAAUAGGGCAGAUGCUGUACAAUUAUUGAGGUGGUGGAGCAGAUGCUCAGUAGUUUGAAUAAUUAUUAUGAAUCGGACAAACAGGGCAGAUGCUGUACAAUUAUUGACGUGGUUGAACAGAAAGCUAGCCCCAGACGGUGACUCCUGUGGGGACUCCUUUAAUUUGCAGCACAAAAGAACGCUCACAUUGACAUUGACUCACGGGUAAAAAUUAAAUAUCUCAUAUGGUAUAAGAAGAAUGCAAACAUGCUUGAAUCAACAUUCUCUCAGAAUACAUAAAAGCUACUUUCCUCUGAGCAUUUUAUCAAGAAAAGCAAUUGCUGCAUUUACCAUUUGAUCUGAUAUCAGAAUGGCUCAUGCGAUCGUUUCCUCUCUCUUAGACCAGCUGAUCUCUGUUGCGGCUGAUGAAGUGAAACAGCAGGUGAGGCUUGUGACGGGUGUCGAACAUGAAGUGGGAAAGCUUACCACCAACCUUCAAGCCUUUCAAGCUGUACUGGAAGAUGCAGAGCAGAGGCAACUGGAGAAGGAAAAGGCUGUUACUAUUUGGCUGGAUCAGCUCAGAGACGCAUCCUACGACAUGGAAGAUGUGUUGGAUGAGUGGAUCACUGCAAGGCUCAAAUUGCAGAUUGAGGGCAUUGAUGAUGACAAUGCUCUUGCUCUUGCUCCUCAUAAGAAGAAGGUACGCUCCUUCUUUUGUGCUGUAUCAAAUUGUUUUGGUAGUUUCAAACAACUUAGUCUUCGUCAUGACAUUGCCGUCAAGAUUAGGGAAAUCAAUGGAAAGCUAGAUGAUAUUGCCUCCCAAAAAGAUACGUUUAAAUUUGUUGAGAAUGUGAGUAACAAUGUUAAGAAACCAGAGCGAGUGCGAACCACCUCCUUGAUUGAUGAGGGAGGGGUUUGUGGUAGAGUUGAUGAGAAAAAUGAGCUCUUAAGCAAGUUGCUGUGUGGAAGUAGUGAACAACAAAAAGGCCUUCAUGUCAUUUCACUAGUUGGGUUAGGGGGUAUAGGUAAAACCACUCUUGCACAACUGGCGUAUAAUAAUGAUGAGGUGAAAAGAAAUUUUGAAAAAGUUAUAUGGGUGUGUGUAUCAGACACUUUUGAGGAGAUUAGGGUCGCCAAAGCAAUCAUUGAAGGUCUAGGCGUGUCAGCUUCUGGUUUAAGCGAAUUCGAAUCUCUUAUGAAACAGAUUCAGGAAUAUAUUACGGGGAAUAAAUUUUUUCUUGUUUUAGAUGAUGUGUGGGAUGGAGAUUACAAAAAAUGGGACCUAUUCUUUUCUUGUCUAAAGAAUGGCCACCAUGAAAGUAAAAUUCUAAUUACCACACGUGAUAGGUCAGUUGCACUACAGUUGGGAUCAAUAGAUAUUAUCCCUGUCAAGGAGUUGGGUGAAGGGGAAUGUUGGUUACUGUUUAAGCAUAUAGCAUUUCUACGUAGGUCCUUUGAGGAUUGUGAAAAAUUAGAACCAAUCGGGAGAAAAAUAGCAUGUAAGUGCAAAGGCCUGCCUCUUGCUGCAAAGGUAAUAGGGAAUCUCUUGCGCUCUAAAAGUACAGAAAAAGAGUGGCAAAGAAUUUUAGAUAGUGAAAUGUGGAAAGUAGAAGAGAUUGGGCAAGGUCUUUUAGCUCCUUUGUUGUUGAGUUAUAACGAUUUGCCCUCCAAUUCUAUGGUAAAACGGUGUUUCUCAUAUUGUGCUGUCUUUCCAAAAGACUACGAGAUGGAUAAAGAGGAGUUGAUUGAUCUGUGGAUGGCUCAAGGUUACCUUAAUGCAGAAGAAGACGAAGAAAUGGAGAUGAUUGGAGAAGAGUAUUUCAACAUCUUAGCAACACGCUCUUUCUUUCAAGAAUUUCAGAAAAAUGAUGAUGAUGAUUUUACGAGUUGUAAGAUGCAUGACAUAGUACAUGAUUUUGCCCAAUUUGUAAGUAGCAAAGAAUGUUUGUGGCUAGAAAUUAAUGGUACCAAGGAAUCAGUCAUAAACUUUUUUGGUGACAAAGUCCGUCACUUAGGGUUAAAUUUUGGAGGAGGAGCUUCAUUUCCUAUGACCAUUUAUGGACUUAAUAGAUUGCGUACCCUCCUAAUUUAUGACCAAAGUUUUGUCAAUUUAUCUCUUAACAGUAGCAUCCUUCGGGAGUUAUUUAGUAAAUUGGCAUGUUUAAGGGCAUUAGUUAUAAGCCAAUCGACCAAGCUUUUGUAUGAAGACACAAAUUGGAUUACGGAAAUUCCAGAUAAUGUUGGAAAAUUGAUACAUUUAAAAUAUCUUAAGUUGUCUGAAUUACACAUAGAGAGACUGCCUGAGACUUUGUGUGAAUUAUAUAAUUUACAAAAGCUAGAUAUUAGGCGGUGCCCAAAUCUUAGGGAAUUACCUGCGGGGAUUGGGAAGUUAAUGAACAUGAGGAGUUUACUGAAUGGUAAAACUUAUUCGUUGAAAUACAUGCCAGUAGGGAUUUCCAAAUUAACCAGUCUUCGAACAUUAGAAAAGUUUGUUGUGGGUGGAGGUGUUGAUGGUAGCAAUACGUGUAGGCUUGAAUCUCUGAAAAAUCUUCAACUCCUUCGAGAAUGUGGAAUAGAAGGGCUGGGUAAUGUGUCCCAUUUAGAUGAGGCCGAGAGAUUACAACUUUACAAUCAGCAAAACCUCCUUCGUUUGCGUCUUCGGUUUGGUGGAGUCGUAGAUGGGGAAGAUGAAGAAAGGAGGAGGAAGAAUGAUAAAGACAAACAACUUCUUGAAGCUUUACAACCGCCUUUGAGUGUAGAGGAAUUAGGGAUUGAAUCCUAUGGAGGCGACAUUUUUCCCAAAUGGUUGACUUCACUAACCAAUCUAAGGAAUUUAACACUUUCCUCGUGCGCUAACUGUGAGCAUUUGCCUCCUUUGGGAAAAUUGCCUCUGAAAAAACUCGAACUACUCGACUUGGAAAGUGUAAAAAGAGUGGGUAAUGAGUUUUUGGGAAUAGAAGAAAGCAGUGAGGAUGACCCAUCUUCAUCUUCAUCGUCACCAUCAGUUAUUGCCUUCCCCAAAUUGAAAUCACUCGAAAUUGACGGAAUGAAAGAACUGGAAGAGUGGAAUUACAGGAUUACGAGGAAGGAAAACAUCUCCAUCAUGCCCCGUCUUUCUUCCUUGCAAAUUAUGAAUUGCCGCAAAUUAAAGGCGCUGCCGGAUUACCUUCUUCAAACGAUAGCACUGCAGAAACUGGGUAUUUAUUAUUGUGAUCUUCUAGAAGAACUGCCCAUUCUAGAAGAUCGCAGGACAACAGACAUACCACGUCUUUCUUCCUUGGCGAUUUGGUAUUGCCCCAAAUUAAAGGUGCUGCCGGAUUACCUCCUUCGAACGACGACGCUGCAGGUAUUGAGUAUUAUGGAAUGUCCUCUUCUAGAAGGACAUUAUAGAGAGGGCAAAGGAGAAGACUGGCAUAAGGUAUCUCACAUUCCCUGCAUCAUGUGGUUGCCGUCGUUGUAAGAUAUCACUCGCUGGUAAUUUCUCCUCCUCCUCUGAUUUACUUCGUUGUUGCUUGCAAUGAAAUUAAUAAAAAUAAUUAUAUUUUGAAUUAAAAUUCUAUAUAGAAUCAAUCAUGGUAUAAAUAUGUAAAACUUCCUAGUUAUUAAAUCUGUUUAACUUGUUUUCUAAAGAUUAAAUUAAAAAAAAGUGUAGUCUGUUGAAAUUUCUAUAUUUACUUCUAAAAAAUAUGUGCUCUUUUGUAAAAUUUCAUACCACAUCAUAGAAAAUCCCAAUGUAAUUUAUUUUUUAAUGUACAAAAAUUUGUUAUGUGUAACUUCCUGAGAGGCAAAAUCUCUGGGAUACAUUUGCAAUAAUGUUGAAAAAUAAAUUAUCAAUUUUAUCUUGUAUAAUGAUAAUCAUAUUUUUUUAUAUAUAAUUUAUGUGACAUUAAUUCUUUAAAGUAAUUGUGUAAUUGUUUUUAGUAGUACAUUAGCCCACUUUAUUUUAUUUCAUAUGAGUUUAAUUAUGUUCACCAGGGAUUCGAGGAAAUGUCAGAACUACACUAGCAAUUCACAGGUCCAAUCUAAUUUGGUUUUAAUGAUGCAGGCAGGAGAGCAAGACUAUGAAAAUGAAAAGUUUAGCCAAAGGAUUGCUAAAAUGUUCUGCUGGUAAUUCACUUGCUUUAUUUUAUAGAAUUUCAUUUCCAUCUUCUUCUAUUGAUAUCUUGUUGUGAAUAAACAAGAACAGAGAAGUAAAUGAUUGAACCACAGAGAAGUAAAGAUAUAUCCAAAUUCGAUUAUUAUGAUGAUUAAAGCAAGCUCAAGCUCAAGCAUUGCAUUUUUUAUUUUAUUUAGUUUAUAGAAUUUUCAUUUCCACCUGCAUUUCAUUUUUAUUUCAUUUUUAGGUUGACGUUGAAGACUCUAUGGAGAACAUUGGGGUAACCAAGGAUUAUCACUGUGGUUAUUGUGCAACGUUUGGUUGCGGGACUUUGGAGAAGGAAGUGAUGGCCGGGUCUGCUCUGUUUCAAUUGAGGAUGGACAGCUGCCUGAAAGACAUGAUGAUUAUUAUUGCACGAUGUUAAGGUGCUAAGAUCAUCAUUUCUAUCUUGCUUCAUUCUUGGAAUCAUUUAUCCUAUAUAAACAUAUUGAAUUGUGCUAAUAUUAUCAUAUGCGUCAAUGGAGGCAGGAAUUUGGUGUUGACACUAUUAUACAGGUAACCACACUUCAUAGUUUGCACAAAUUUGCGUUGUCAGAAUAUCCUUUAAUAUUCAUUGUGUUUCUGUGUGUUAUCAGGUUAUCAUCUCCAAGGGUUUGAAAGAGCCUUUGCAGUAAAGUCAGUUGUCACCAGCUCGUGCAAUUGCGCAUUCAUUCAUAGUACUUCAAUAUUGGGUUUUCAAGUUUUGUAUGUUUAGUCGAUUAAAAUGUUUAGUCAAUCAUUCUUAAUCAUUUCUGAUUUUCAAGUUCUUUAGGGCCAUAAACAGUUUUUCAAACUCAUUCUUAUUUUUUAGGUUGAUUUCCUACUCGUGGAAGUCCAAGGAUUAGGCUGGCGAUGGAACUACUACCUCUGUUGUUAUUGUGCAAGGUUUGAUCGCUGGACCUUGAACAAGAAAGCCUUACAUGCAUUCUGUAAUUGAAGCGUUCUCUAAAGCAAAAGAGCAGUAGAAGGAAUAGUGAUGGCCGGAUAUGCUCUAUCUUAAUUGAAGAUCUCUGUGAUGUUGAGGAGCUAAUGAUUGUUAAGGCGUAUUUUCAUGAACUUCCUUUCUUAACAAAUGUUUCAAUGCUGGCUGUAGUAACAAUUUCAUAUCUUGCAUCUCUCGGGUGCAUCAUGUUCACAGGUUUGAAAAAGCAUUUGUGGUAAUGCUUUAAAGCUUGUACAAUGGCUGUGAAAAGGCACAUUCAAUUAGGUACGUUUUGGUGCGGUCUCCCAAUGCUAAUAUUAUAUUUUGUAUAGCAAUUAAAAUUUAGCUAUACAAUUUUAAUAUGCAAUAAAUCAUUGUAUACAAAGUUUUCUAUUAAUUAUAUGGUGACUGAAAUUUUAAUUAUCAUAUCAAUUUAAAUUUUUUUGUAACUCUCUUUUACUUUGCUUGUACAGAGUACCUGUUUUGGUUGAUAUGUCUAAUUUGUAGAAAUUCAUUUCCAUCGGUUUCCAUUGGCUUUAGCACAAACCGAAACAGAGCUCUGGGGAAAAGUUUUACUUCUUGUGAUAUUAUGCCUUUGUUUCUUCAUUCAUCAUAUUUUUCGAAUUCAUGCUCUCAUUCAGAGGGUAAAGCCUUUUCCAGGCUGCUUUGUAGCCAAACUUUGACGCCUUUGAUGCAUGACUGUCAUUCUUUUUCUUGGUUAUUCAAACUUUCAGUUAUAUAUUAUGUGAAAGAUUCUUUUUCUUAUUAAAGUACAUUGUUGGUUUUUUCUUUUUCCUUCAUUUUGUCUGAAUUAAAGCUAAAAUUGUAAGUUUUUUUUUAAUUGGAAAAUAUUAAUAUUUCAUUAAACAAAUAACAACAAUACAACUACUUGCAGUACAUCACUAGUUCACAUUACAAAGAUUAAAAUACAGAGAUCUGUUUUAGUUACAGAGAUCUAUUACAGUAAUCAAUUGAAUUAACCCCUAAAAGUUUAUUAAAGAAUAGGAAGAAACACAUGUACACUAAAAGAAAAACUUCCAUUCGUAAUGCACAUAUAAUUCAAGCUCCAUUUGGGGUUCCAUGGCUCUUUCGAAAUUAUCUCCACCACCAUAUUUAUGCUUUCCAGCUAGUACCAAAAUAGAUUUACCGUAAAAAUUGAUUCACACCCUCUAACUUUACAAACAUGAGAAACAUAGACUCUAGAUCUAAAAGUUGAAGGGUUAUGUACUGGCAAAUAGAAAUUAAACCAACAUUAUCACUAUAACAGAUACAUUAUUACCAUCAAAGAUCAAGAUCUGAAUGGAUGCACAGCAGCCAUCGUCAAGACCAAAAGAGGAAGAAAUUGAAAUAGAACAACCACCUUAAGGUGGAGAAGGCCAGAACAAGACACCCAUCCUCAAAUCAUAUGGAAGAGGUGGGUGCAACCAAAAAAAAAAAAAAAGAGAGAAUCCACUGGAGAAGGCAAGAAAGAUUUCUGCCUCCAAAGAUUUGGUGAGGAAGAGAUGAGGAAUUUGGAGAGGAAAAGUUUCGGAGAGAUCUAGAGUUUGGCUUUAAAAAUGUGUUUUAAAGAAAAAGUUGUUGAGAGGAAACGAGACCAAUUAGAUCAUGCAAGAAGUUAAUUUUUUUUAAAUAAAAAAGGAGAAAUGAUGAUCUUACAAAGUUUGAAUAUAAAGUUUAAAAUCUAAAAUUAAUGACUUGACAAUCGAUGCAUUAUUAGCCUAAUAGAGUAAGAAGUCCCUGCUAAAGAAUUCAAUAUUCUACCCAGAAUACUUCUUUCUAUUGCAAUUAAAUGAUGAUUAUUUGUUUUUAUCAUGAAAGCUAAAAUAACUUUGUGAGUAAUUUGAUCCUUUUGCAGUAUAAAAAUAAAUUCAGAAAUGGGCACCAUUCUUCCUUUGUUUAAAUCAUGGUCUCCACGGAAGUAAAAUUUUGGUUACUACACGUAAUGAGUUAGUUGCACGUAUGAUGGGAUCAACAAAUAUUAUCUUCAUUGAGCAAUUGAUUGAAGAGGAUUGCUAGUCGGUUUUCAAGCGAUUAGCAUUUUUCGGUCACUCUUUCGAGGAUUGUGAAAGAUUAGAACCAAUCGGCCGAAAAAUUGCACGCAAGUGCAAAGGCCUGCCUCUUGCUGCAAAGGUAAUAAGGAAUCUCUCGCGUUCAAAAAGUGCAAUAAACGACUGGCAAAGAAUUUUAGAUAGUGAAAUGUGGAAGGCAGAAGAGAUUGGGAAAGGUCUUUUGACUCCUUUAUUGUUGAGUUAUAAUGAUUUGUCGUCCAAUUCUAUGGUAAAACAAUAUUUUUCAUUUUGUGCUGUCUUUCCGAAAGACUACAAUAUGUAUAAAGAGGAGCUAAUUUCACUAUGGAUGGCUCAAGGUUACCUUAAUGCAGAAGAAUAUGAAGAGAUGGAGAUGACUGGGGAAGAGUGUUUCAACAUUUUAGCAACACACUCUUUCUUUCAAGAGUUUGAGAAAAAUGAUGAUGAUGAUAUUAUGAGUUGCAAGAUGCAUGACAUAGUACAUGAUUUUGCUCAAUUUGUAAGUAGCAAAGAAUGUUUGUGGCUAGAAAUUAAUGGUACCAAAGAAUCAGUCAUAAACUCUUUUGGUGGGAAAGUCCGUCCCUUAGGUUAAAGUUUAAAGGAGGCGCUUUAUUUCCUAUGUCCAUUCAUGGACUUAAUAGAUCGCGUACCCUCCUAAUUGAUUAUGAAAGUCCUUCCAAUUCGUCUCUUGAUAGUAGCAUCCUUCCUGAGUUAUUUAGUAAAUUGGCAUGUUUAAGAGCAUUAGUUAUAAGGCAAUCAUUCUUGCUUUGUCGUCCUGACCCAAAUUUGAUUAGAGAAAUUCCAGAAGAUGUCGGGAAAUUGAUGCUUUUAAAAUAUCUUAAUUUGUCUGAAUUACACAUAGAGAGACUGCCUGAGACUUUGUGUGAAUUAUAUAAUUUACAAAAGCUAGAUAUUAGGGGGUGCCGAAAUCUAAGAGAAUUGCCUGCAGGGAUUGGGAAGUUAAAGAACAUGAGGAGUUUGCUAAAUGGUCUUACUUGUUCGUUGAAGUACAUGCCAAUAGGAUUUUCCAAAUUAACCAAUCUUCGAACAUUAGACAAGUUUGCUGUGGGUGGAGGUGUUGAUGGUGGCAGUACGUGGAGGCUUGAAUGUCUGAAAAAUCUUCAACUCCUUCGAGAAUGUGGAAUAGAAGGGCUGAGUAAUUUGUCACAUGUAGAUGAGGCUGAGAGAUUAGAACUCAAAAAUAUGGAAAACCUCCUUCGUUUGUAUCUUUUGUUUGAAGUUGUAGAUUGGGAAGAUAAAGAAGAGGAUGAAGAUGAAGGUGGGGAAGAUGAAGGUGAGGAUGGGGGAUAUGAAGAAGAAGAAGGAGGUGAAGUUGUAAAUGGGGAAGAUGAAGAAAGGAGCAGGAAGAAUGAGAAAGAUGAACAACUUCUUGAAGCCUUACAGCCGCCUUUGAAUGUAGAGGAAUUAUGGAUUUUAUUAUAUGGAGGCAACAUUUUUCCCAAAUGGUUGACUUCGCUAACCAAUAUAAGGAAUUUAUUUCUUCACAGGUGUCUUAACUGUGAGCAUUUGCCUCCUCUGGGAAAAUUGCCUCUGGAAAAACUCGCCCUGCAAAAUUUGAAUAGUGUAAAAAGAGUGGGUAAUGAGGUUUUGGGAAUAGAGGAAAGUAGUGAUGAUGACCCGUCUUCAUCUUCAUCAUCAUCAUCAGUUAUUGCCUUCCCCAAAUUGAAAUCACUCAAAAUUUGGGACAUGGAAGAAUUGGAAGAGUGGGAUUACACGGUUACGAGGAAGGAAAACAUCUCCAUCAUGCCACGUCUUUCUUCCUUGGAAAUUGAUUGUUGCCCCAAAUUAAAGGUGUUGCCAGAUGACCUUCUUCAAACGUCGACACUGCAGGAAUUGAGUAUUGGGGGAUGUCCUAUUCUAGAAGACUGGCAUAAGAUAUCUCACAUUCCCCACAUCGAGUUUUAAAUUCUCGAACGGUUGCAAUUACUAUAACCCGCCGGUAAUUUCUCCUCCUCCUCUGUUUUGCUUCAUUGUUACUUGUAAUGAAAUUAAUAAUAAUAAUGAUAAUAAUUAAAUUUUGAAUUAAAUUUCUAUAUUUUGCCAAUGUCUCAUAGGAAUGUGCAAUAUUUUCUAAUAUUUUGAUUUUUGUAUUGAAUAUAACUAUUUACUUCAGUGUACGAUAAUUUGUUACGUGAAACUUCUUGAGAGACUGAAUUUCUGGGGUACUUUGUAGUAAUGUUGAAAACUAAGUGAUGGCUGGGUCUGCUCUGUUUCAGUUGAGGAUGGAUUGCUGCCUGGAAGACAUGCUGAUUAUUAUUGCAUGAUAUUAAGGUGCUGAGAUCAUCAUUUCUAUCUUGUUUCUUUCUUUGAACGGUUUAUCCUCUAUAAGCAUAUGGAAUUAUGUUAGUAUUAUCACUUCUUCACCCAAUUUUCACUGUUGGUUGUAAUAACCAUUUCAGGUUCUCAAAAGCUACAAAGCAAAGCAUCUUUGGGCUGAUCAUAUAUUUCAAUUGACGAAGGAAUUCGAUGUUGGCACUAUUAUGCAGGUAACCAGAGUUGAUAAUUUGUACAAAUUUGCAUUGUCAGAAUACCCUUCAUAUUCACCGUGUUUCUUUGUGUAGGUAUGUAGAGUAUCAUCUUCAAGGGUUGUAAGAGCCUUUGCAGUAAAUUUAGCUGCUAGUGCAAUUGCUCAUUCAUCGAAGUACAAUUUUGGAUUUUCAAGGUUUGUAUGCUCAGUUGUAAUUAAAAUGCUUAGUCACUUAUUCCUAAUCUUUCUGAUUUUCAAGUUAUUUUAGGUCCAUAAACAGUUUUCACACAUGUUUCAAUGCUUCUUGUAAUGACAAUUUCAUAUCUUGCAUCUCUAAUGUGCAUCAUGUUUGAAACAGCUUUCGCGGUAAAGUCUUCGAUGCUUGUACAAUGGCUGUGAAGAGGCACACUAAAUUCGGUACAUUUUGGUACGGCCUCCUAAUGCUGGUAUAAUGUUGUGUAUAUUUAGUUUGCAAUUAAAACUUAGGUAUACAAAUCUUAAUCUGCAAUAGAUCAUAGUGUACAAAGUUUCUAUUAAUGAUAUGGUGACUGAAAGUUUAAUUAUCUUAAAAUUUUUCUAUGACUCUCUUUUACUUUCUUUGUACAGAGUACUUGUUUUGGCUGAUGUGUCUAAUUCAUAGAAAUUCAUUUCCAUCGGUUUCCAUUGGUUUGAGCACAAACAGAAACAGAGGUCUGAGGAGAAGUUUCACUUCUUGCGGUAUUAUGCCUUUGUUUCUUUAUUCACCAUAUUUGUUCGAAUUCAUGCCCUCAUUAAGAAUUUAAAGCCUUUUCCAGGCAGCUUUGUAGCCAAAUUUUGAUGCCAUAAAUGCAUGAUUGUCAUUUAGAUUUUCCGAAUAUUUGUUAUUUGGAGAAAUAUUGUUAAAAGGGCAUUUGAUUAGCUACUUACCCUAUGAAUUUAGUUGCCAAUAAUAGAUUGAAAUUGAGUAGGCUAAUGGUUGAGGAAAGUUAUUGUCUUAAUUAAAUUACAGGUGAUAAGAUGUUGCUUGUGUAAUCAGAUAAAUGGGGCAAAUGUCAGAACAAAGAUUGUUCAGUGCUGCUGGUAGGGCAAGGAUGAUGAUGGUGAGGAAGAUUGUUCACAAGCCAAGUAGAGCCCUCCAUUUUGAGAAAUAUCAUCCUCAAAUUUGAAUUGUUGAGCAUAUGAAGUGAUGCUAAAGCCUUAAUAUUAAGUCUUUCUGAAAGUUUCAUUUGAAUGAAUUUUCGGAGAUUGAAUGUUCUUAGCGUGAGUAAGAAAAUUAAGCACAUAUCUGCGAUUUGGAUCGUCGGUGAAUGUUUUCCUUUAAUAUUUGUACAAACCCGUUUCUUAGUAAAAUUUUCUUCAUGUCUUUUACUAUGACAUAGGCUAAUAGCCGUACCACAUAACAUUAUCUUCUUAUUUCUUUAUGCUUGGUUUUGCUACAUAUAAGAAUGCAAUUUUGUAACUACUUAACUCUGCUUCGGCAAAGUUAAGUAGUUACAAAAAUUUUUUUUUUUCGUUUUUCUUUCUCCGAUAAAAUUGCCACAAAUGGAAGCGAUUGGCUUGAUUUUUGCUUCUGUAAAAAGUGGUGGGAGCAAUGUCUUGUGUACCCGCAAGUUAUAAAUCGUCAUAGUUUAAAUGACGAAUCCCGAGUUGCCAUCCAAACUAAAGAAAUUGCAAAUUAAGUAGUUCAUUACAAAUGAUAUAUUUUGAGUUGCUAAUUAUUAAGUAUUUCAUUCAAAAAUGUUCUCGUUCCCACAGUUUCUAAUGUUUAAAGUGCAUCAUUGCUCUACUUCCGUCAUAACAGCAUAAGAGAAUUUAACAUAAUACUGAGAAAAUGAUUAUUUUACCCUAAAUGUAAAUGAUUAUUCUACCCUUAACAUAAAAUAACUAAUUUGCCCUAAUUUAAUAACGAAAAAAAUAGAUGACUGCAAUAUAGAUAUUAAAUAAUAAAUAAAAUAAAAAAUAAGAAUUAAAACUAAAAUAAUUAAAAGAGAGCUCAAGAGAAAACGCACUUUAAUCUGGUACCUGUACCCGUGGAUCGUGGCGAUGGCGGAUUGGGGCUUAUUACCAAGUCGUUUAAGAAUUUUAAACUUUCAAAUUUUUUUUAAACCUUGAAUUUUUUAGUUUAUUGGUUAAGUGAUAAAAUUUGGUGGUAGUUUGAUACUGUGUUGUAUGUUGUGUUAUUUUAGCUCAUUAACUUUGUUAUGUAAUUCUUCUUUAAAUACGACGUCGUUUUUGUCCAUUAAGAGUCCAAUGACAAGUUUAUCAUUCUGACAUGAGUAAAAUUCUAACGGCGUGAUGACAAUAGUGUAGAAAUGAUAGAUUUUGUAAACAUCAGGUGGAAUUGUUAAAAAAAAAAAUGUGGUCGUGUAUUUUUUAUAAAGUCUAAAACAUCAAGUGAUUAGAGAAUAUUUGUGCUUAAGUAUUUGAUUCAAAAAAAUUUCCACUCCUAGACUAUUUAAGUUGUAACCAAAACUGAGAAUUUUUUUUUUUUUUUGCAUGAUGAAUCUCGAUAUUUAGGAUGAAUAUUUUAAUAUUUAAGCUUAAUGGUCACCCACUAUUGGUAGAAGAAUUUUUAUUCUAACACUAUACAAUUUUCGUGUGAGGUGGUCUUGGGCUUAUCUCAACCUUAAAAGUCAAAAGCUAGCUCAAUAAGUGAGAUUUUUUUCUCACACUUAUGAAAUCACCACGAGCUCCUCCCACAACCAAUGUGGGAUAAUCCCAACAAUCUCCCCUCACUCAUCGAGCCUUGGGUUGGAAGCAUAAACAUCAAUUCUCCCUAUUAGAUUGUUGGUUGAGUUGUUGGUGAACCUGAGCUUUGAUACUAAUGUUAGAUGGUCUUGGGCUUCUCUCGACUUCAAAAGCUAGCUCAAAGAGAGAGAUAUUCCCUCACAUUUAUGAGGUCAUUAUCAGCCUCUUCCACAAUCGAUGUCGGCUAACCCGACAUUUCUCUCUCUAUAUAAUACAUAAGUUGGAUAAUAAAUUUAUAUCUCAAUCUAGGUAUAAACAUUAAUUUUAUUUCUUUUUAUCAAUCAUUAUCCUAUUGGGUCUAUCGACUCACCGUACAAAAUGUUGUAAAACUUCCCCGCCGAAGAGACUUUGGUAGCUUUGAGUUUGUAAAUCAAGUUCCUAUCCGUCGUCCCUCCUAAUCCAUUCUUCGGCCAAGUACGCCUGACAUUCUUGUACCUUACAACGUCAUAUUUGGCACAAAAUUCAUGAAACUUAAACCAAACACUAAACUAUUAUUAGUUCUCAACAUUUUAUAUCAUUCGACGUUUUGUGUCAGAAUAAAUAUUUUAUCUUUGAACUUCUCAAGCACUUAUUCAUGGCUUAUUUCUCAACUCACUAUGGAUUAAUGAUGCUGAUGAAAUUGUGGAUUAACCAGACAAUAUUGUAAUUAUUACACAUACACACAAGCACACGUACAUACGUACAAAAGCAUAUAGGAGUUGACCUUGCUCAGGAUUUAAAAAAAAUGAAUAAAAUUUUCCAAUAAUUAAUUAAGAUAAAAAAGAUCAUUAAAACCCGAGUACCCCUCGCAAUUGUGUCACUUGAAUUCUCUGUAUUUAUGCACAUAUAAUAUUUUGAAUGAAUCUAUAAUGAUGUUAAUUUUUUAAUGAACUUAAUCUUAAAUUAAAAUUUUCUUUUGAAAAAAAAGAAGAAAUCUUAAAUAUUAUAAAAUAUAGAUCAGUUGGAAAACUAUUCCUAGAAAUGCAUCUUAGUUUUAUUCUUGGAAAAUGUUUCCUUUCGCACUUGCGAGGAAUUAGAAAUUGAACAAUAAUUUUUAGACUUUUCAUUGUCUUUGUGGUUAUAUGGUUGUCUUUAAUAUAAAUAUAUGAUCCCGGAGGCCAAAUGUCUAAGUCACAUGCAUUUACCUAAUACUUUUUUCUUUUUUCUUUGUUUUUCGGAUAGGGCAAUUAUUUAAUACCUUGAAGAAAGAGAGAUAAAAUAUAAUGCAUGCCAAUUUGUUGCAACAAAGCUUUCAUAUCAAGCGUUGGCAUAAAUUAUUAUGCCAAUUUGUUCAAGACAAUAUCUUUAGUUGGCAUGUAAGUUUCAUUAGCCGGCGUCUACUCUUAAUUUAUGUCAAAUUAAGUAAUCGCUCCGCCCCAAUAAUGUUGCCUUUGAUCUCUCAGCCCCAGUAAAAGAAUUGGCUAAAAGAGAAUGUUGGUCACUGUUUAAGCAAGUAUGCUUUUGGCGGUCCUUUGAGGAUCUUCAAAAUUUAGAACUAAUAACCAAUCAAAUGAAAAAUUGCAUACAAGUGUAAAAGCUUACCCCUUAAUGCAUAGGUAAUAGGAAUUCUCUUGCUCAACAUAUACACCCUUUUCUUUAUAAUCUUUUACUUUUGCUCUUAAGCUAAAGCAUUAAAAGGCCCAAUAUCCACUCUUUAUAUAUAGUAGUUUCUGGUCCGGGAUCAUAAAGUGCGGGAAAUAUUCGGAAAAAUUUUAAAAUCGUGGGGUUUUAAAUGCUUAAAACUUAAAGUGCUUAAACUGAACGGUUAAUAUGUUUUCCUGGACGUUCCCGCAUUUUAAAAUUCCGGACUGUAACAUUUCUCUCUCUCUCUCUCUCUUUAUAUAUAUAUAUAUAUAUAUAUAUAUAUAUAUAUAUAUAGGGAGAAUGCCAAUUUCCCCCCAUAUUGUAAUCAAUUUAUAUCAUUUAUGUCCUACUCUUAUAUAAUAGCCAAUAACUCCUGGAUAGCAUAAUAUAACAAUAUUAUCUUUAAUUUUAAAUACACUUUUAUUUAUAUUUAUUAUAAAUUAAAUAAAACAUGUGAAUGAAAACUAAAAUAAAUAUUAAAUAUUAAAAACAAUAAAUAUAUGUUUUGAUGUGAAUAAAAAAUUAAUAGUAAAAUAUUUUUCUUGUACUUCUUUUAUUUACAAACAUUUUCUAAUAAUACAUAUAUAAGAAAAUUAUUAUAAAAUAAUUAUAAAUUAAUAUAAAUUAAUAAUAAAAUAGUAUAAAAUUAAUAAUAAAAUAUUUUUCUUGUACUUUUGUAUUUUAUAUAUUUAUUAUAAGAAAAUGUUUAUAAAACAAAAAUACAAAAAAAUUUAUUAUUAAUUUUUUUAUUCACAUCAAGACGUAUAUUUCUUGUUUUUAAUAAAUUUUUUUUUUACCAUUCAAUAUGAUUUGUUUAAUGUAUAAUAAAUAUGAAUAAAGGUGUAUUUGAAAAUAAAAAUAAUAUUGUAGGAAACAUUUACCAUUUUCUAAGAGAAGCUUAAGAGUGAGUAAAGGCUUGUUUAAACCAGAUAUUUUGAGCCAUAUAUUUUAAAAUACCUCAAGGCACCCUCAUUGUUAAAUAUGCUAUAUUUCUACUCUUACUUUUUCUUUCCUUUUAUAAUAUUACCCUUGCAACAAUAUUCUAACCUUUUUGAGGAUAUCAAUGAAAGAAAAAAAAUUAAUUUAUCAAAAUUUGCCUUAAAAGUAACAUAAAAAAUUCCACAAAUUUUUAUGUUAUUAUUUUACUUUUAGGAUUAAUUUGGUAAAUUAAUUUUUUAUAAAAUAACUAUUAGUAAAAUUGUUGCAAAUAUAUUAAACAUUUCUUUAAGUUGGAUAAUAUUGAUUUAUUUAUAAAUAAAUUAUUGGCAAUUAGUUCUUUCAUACUGAAAUUUAUUAGUUAAUUUGCUAAUCAAUAAUUAUUGGUUAAUACGCUAAUAAACUUUUAUAGAUAAAUUAAUUAAUGUCAAGAAUAUUAUUGCAAGGUAUUAUUAUAAAAGCAAAUAGAAAGUAAGUGCAAGAAUGUAAUAUAUUUAAUUAUAAAGGUAUUUUGAGAUAUUUUUGAAAUUAUAAGAACUAAACAAGCAUUUACCAGUUGAGAGAAGAUGAAAUGGGAAAAAUUCAAGGGUUAGGAUAUAUGAUGAGUUAAGGAUUAGGUCUUGUAAAAUCUUGAUUUGGGGAGAUGAUUUUGGAGUGUUUCAACCCUAAAUUCAUUUGGGAAGACUCAUUGACGUACACAUUAAAGGUGGAAAGUGUAGAGAGAGAGAGAAGGAGAAAGUGUGUGUUUAGAGUGAGAGAUGUGUAAUUCAAGUAAACAAGUUGGAUACUUGGAUUUCUCACUAAAUAGAGUAAGAUUUCCAUCAUUCUAUCAUUAUUUAUGCUAAAUUUAAUUUAAAGAUUUGUUUAUUUUAUUUAAAUUAAUGUUUCCAACAUAUGGUAAAGUGGUACGAAGAUAAAUUUUGUAAUUUGUGGAUUACUUUAGGUGCACACAGCACCAACAAGGCAUUGUAGAGCCAAAAAGACUUAGCACUUGAUGUUUCUGGUUCGAUAUAUAAAUAGCUAAUAAUUGUGUAUUAUGUUUAUGUAGUUUAUGGUUAGUAAUGAGAUUGGUGGUAAUGUAGCUCUAUAAUUAACUAUUUAUUUCCAAAACUAAGGAACUUCAUAUCGUAUUUUCUUCCAAAACUAAGGAGCUUCAUAUCAUGUAUUUCAUUAAAAAAUAGUCUCACUCUUAGACUUUAUGAGUUGCUGUGAAAAAUAAAUGAUGAUAAAUUUUCAUACAAAUUUAUUUUUAUAAAUUGAUACGACAUUAGUUCAUUGGUUGCAUGAAAUAUAAAAGCAGGUAGCAGUUGGUCCUUUGAGGAUCAUAAAAUUUAGAACCAAUCGGUCUAAAAAUUGCAUGCAAGUGCAAAGGUCUGCUCUUGUUGCAAAGGUAAUAGAGAAUCUCUUAUUCUCUAAAAGAGUAGUAGAAGAAUAGAAAAGAAUUCUAGAUGGUGAUAUGUGGAAGCUAGAAGAGAUAAGGAAAGGUCUUUUGGCUCCUUUAUUGUUGAGUUAUAUUGCUAUGCCAUCCAUGGUAAAAUGAUUUUUCUCAUAUUGUGCUGUCUUUUCAAAAGACUACAACAUGUAUAAAGAGGAACUAAUUACCCUAUGGAUGACUUAAAGUUACCUUAGUAUAACUAAUUACCCGGCGUCGGAGGGUUUACACCGGGAAAACACUCGGCGUGCUCUGACUUGUCUCUGUGUACGCAGGAGUUUGCGGAGAAGAAGCCUUACGAGGAGAGAUCCUGAUCGUGGUCGAGUUGGUUGAGGAGAGAGCUUGGUCGUGGUCGAGCAGGGAACCAAAAUCUCGCAUCAACACAGUUUCUGUUGCAAUUGUAUUGGCCUGGGUUUAGGGAACUGUCAACUUUCAGAAGAAGAUGGAGUUUCUCAAACCAAAUCUAAGAAGAUAUCUCACAUUCCCCACAUGGUCUCAACGCACAGGUAAGUUCUUCUCUAGCUCUGUUUUUCAUUGUUUGUUAUUUUUAAUGUAACUAAGAAGCAGAGUUAAUCUCUUAUCUUGUCCUUGCUUUGAGAAAACCUGCUUUUACAUCUAUUUUUAAUUCACAUGUCCACAGUAAUUUCAUUUUAGUUUGAGCUGAGUGAUAACUGUUCAAGGCUCACUUACUCAUUGGGAGAAGCUGCAUGACGCAGGCUGCAAGGAUUUAGAUUUUCAUUCGAAGGCUCACUUACUCAUAGUGUGCAUGUUUCGUUACGAUUAAAAUGAUUAGUCUCUUGUUCUUAAGUAUACAAUUUCCAAUGGAUUUGAUAGAGCGGUCAUCAACCAUAUUGAUGUUAUUGGAGUAGCACUGUUCUUAAGCACUGCUUUGAGGUCUCUCCCUCUCUAUAUACAUUGAUAGACUAUUCUGGUCGUACCAAAUUAUCCUUGUUUUAUUGUUUUGUUUGUUAAACUUUGACUGGGGGAAUCUGUUUAUUUGUCUGAUAUGAUGUUAGUGUGGUUUCGAUUGAAGUGUGUUGAUCUAUCACCAAGUAUUAUUUCAAUUUUUCUUUACCUAAUCAACUUGCAUACUUUCCAAGUCUAGAUCCUUAACAAUAGUGAGACUCCGCUACAGAAGUACGAUUUCUCUAGUUUUGUAGUUAAAUACGUAAGAAUAGUUUUAAAUUAACAGAACUCUGAGAUAGUUCUCUGAGGAAAUACAAGUGGUGAAUAUGGUUCCAACUUUUAAGUGCCUUAAGAUUCCCAUUUGUUCAGCCCUGUGCGUAAACAAUCAGUAAUUUCUGUCCAAAUUCUUCUUUAAUGCCUAUAUGUGUUGGACUUUGUCUACUGUUCAACUUCUCAAAUGGAUUCCAUGCAGGGUUUUGAAUGUCCAAUUAGGAGAAAGAUCAAGGCUUGCUUGGCUAGGAGUGGAAGCGGAUCCACUACUUCAGUCAGAUGACCUUUUGAAGAAGGCUUACAACAGGCCGUCUCAGGAUGUCAAUGGCUCAACUCAAAAGUCCCCAAAGUGGUUGAUAUCGAAGAAUGCCGUUGUCUCUGGGCUUGGGCUCCUUGGCAUCAAACAAGGGAAUGUCGACUCUGUUGAAGGGGAAGCAAGGGCUCCUAAAGUGCGAAGAAAGAGGAUAGGCCGGAAGAAGGUGACCGCAUAAAUUUCUUGGGAGUUGAUCCUAGUCAAUAGCCCAAUUUUUUUGUCAAAACAUUGGUCCCGAUUCCAGCAAAACAGUAACUUCCAUUCAAAAGGGUUCAGCGUUGAGUGCAUGUAAUCUGCACAAGUUUGACAAAAAAUAACCGAAAAAAAAAAAAGAAACCCACGUCCAAAGAUGCCGUUGAAAAAAGUUAUUGGGUAUUCAUAAUAAAAUAAACAAAUAAAAAAAUGAAUAAAAAUUUAAAUACUUAAUUAAUUUUUAUCAAAUUCUUAUCAAAUAUUUAAAAAAGUAUAUAAAAUGAAUUAAUUGAUGGUAUUAUUAAUUUUCAUGAUGAUUUUUAAUAUUAUAUUAGUGAUUAGUAAGUUUAAUACAAUCAAUAAUGCAAGAAAUUAUUAAAUGGUUAAUUUUAUUGGCAAAUUUUAUCAAAUACGCAAGUAAUGAAAAAUUAAUCUCAAGAGUUAGUAGAAGUAAAGUUCUAAUUUAACCAGAUGAUAGAUAAUAAAUACAAAUAAAUUUUAAGUAAAUCAUAAAUUAAAAAUAAAUAAAUUAAUUAAUAUUAAGUAUAAAUAAAAAAUAAUGACAUAAAUUAAAGUCUCAUAAAUGGAUAACUUUUUUUCUUUAAUCUUAUCCUAAGUCCCAACUAAAGGAAUGUGUAAAUUAGGAUUAUUAAUCCCAUAAUUUUAGGAUUAAACUUAAAUUUAGUCCCUUAGUCCAAUUCAAUUAAGCUUACCAAAUAUGAUAUAAAUAUAUAAUCACAAAAUUAGUCCAAUUCCAUACUUAAUCCUAGUAUUCGAACAUGGCCGGAUAAAAUAGUUUAGAUAAUAUACUUCUAUGGCUCACAAUUUAAAUAAAUUUGAGAAUUUAAAUAAGGGAUGGAAAAUUCACAAUAAUCAUACCAUGUACUGUCUUUUCUUCCUUUUCUUAAUUAAAUAAAAGAAAAAAAAUUAAUGACAGAACCACUGCUGUGUGAUAUCGAUGAAGUCGCAUUCGCCUACCUAAUAUUGCGCAAUCAGAUAGAAAAAAGGGUCGGCUGCAUGAUUUUUCCAACUUUUGUCUUAUUUUUCUCUUUUCCACUACAAAUUAAUUUGAGAAUGUUAUAUUUUCCAAUUCUCUUUUUGUCGUGACAUAAUAGACUAAAGCGGAAUCACAUACUUUUUCAAAUGACCAAAUGGCUUUGGCCUACCUGAUAAUAAAAGGAAUGGAUCCAUACGUUAAAGCUAAAUUGAAAAAUAUAAUAAAUAAAUUGUCAGGAGAUGAUUUUAUCAAAAAUUUCACUCGCACGGUCCCGACCAAAUACAAAUUUGUGAUGAUAUUCAUAAUGAAUUUAUACCAUUAGGCGAAAUUACUCUAUAUAGUUUCAUCGAUAUAUAUUAUACCAUUACAAAUAUACUAAUAUUUAUAAUAAAAAAAAUUUAUGACUAUUUUAAAUCGACUGUAUUAUAUGUGAAUUCACAAGAUUCAUAGAUAGAUUGCACUGAGCUUUUUGUUGCAGUUUACAAAUAUUUUGUUACUAAUUAUCUUAAGAGCAGCAAGUAACUAAAUACAAAUGUAAGAAAUUUCACAAGUGCUGAUGCUGUGUACUCUGCAGAAUUAAUAAUGGAUUAUUAUGAAUCAGAGAAACAGGGCAGACGCUGUACAAUUAUUGACGUGGUGGAGCAGAAAGCUAGCCCCACAUGGUGACUCCUUUAAUUUGCAGCACAAAAGAACGUUCACAUUGACAUUGACUCGAGGGUAAAAAGAAUGCAAACAUGCUUGAAUGAACAUUCUCACAGAAUACAUAAAAGCAAGAAAAGCAAUUGCAGCAUUUUCCAUUUGAUCUAAUAUCAGAAUGGCUCUUGCGAUCGUUUGCGCUCUCUUGGACCAGCUGAAUUCCAUUGCUCAAGAAAAGUGGAGGCUUUUGACGGGUGUCGAACAAGAAGUGGGAAAGCUUACUACCAAUCUUCAAGCCAUUCAAGCUGUGCUGGAAGAUGCAGAGCAGAGGCAAAUGAAGCAGGACAGAGCUGUUACUCUUUGGCUGGAUCAGCUCAGAGACGCAUCCUACGACAUGGAAGAUGUGUUGGAUAAGUGGAUCACUGAAACACGGAAAUCGCAGCUUGAUGAGGGCGGCGAUGAUGAAGAUGAUGAUAACGACAAUGCUUUUGUUACUCUUUUGACGAAGGUAUGUUCCUUCUUUCCUGCUGCCUCAAACUGCUUUGGUUGUUUCAAACAACUCAGUCUUCGUCAUCAUAUUACUGUCAAGAUUAGAGAAAUCAGUAAAAGGCUAGAUGAUAUUGCCAGACAAAAAGAUAGUUUCAAAUUUGUUGAGAAUGUGAGUAACAAUGUUAAGAAACCAGAGCGAGUGCGAACCACCUCCUUGAUUGAUAAGGGAGAGGUUUUUGGUAGAGUUGAUGAGAAAAAUGAGCUCUUAAGCAAGUUGUUGUGUGACAGUAGUGAACAACACCCUCAUAUCAUCUCAUUGGUUGGGUUCGGGGGUAUAGGCAAAACCACUCUUGCACAACUAGCCUAUAAUGAUGAUGAGGUGAAAAUAAAUUUUGAAAAAGUUAUAUGGGCGUGUGUAUCAGACACUUUUGAGGAGAUUAGGGUCGCCAAAGCAAUCAUUGAAGGUCUAGGCGAGUCAAAAAAAGCUUCUGGUUUAAGCGAAUUCCAAUCUCUUAUGAGCCAUAUCCAUAGAUCAAUUGGGGGAAAAAAAUUUUUUCUUGUCUUAGAUGAUGUAUGGGAUGGGGAUUCCAAUAAAUGGGAUCCAUUCUUCUUUUGUCUAAAGAAUGGUCUCCACGGAAGUAAAAUUUUGGUUACCACACGUAAUGAGUCAAUUGCACGUAUGAUGGGAACAACAGAGUCAGAUACUAUCUCCAUUGAACAACUGGCUGAAGAGGAAUGCUGGUUGUUUUCCAAGCAGUUAGCAUUUUUCGGUCGCUGUUUCGAGGAUUGUGAAAGAUUAGAACCAAUCGGGCGAAAAAUUGCACGCAAGUGCAAAGGCCUGCCUCUUGCUGCAAAGGUAAUAGGGAAUCUCUUGCGCUCUAAAAUUACAGUAAAAGAGUGGCAAAGAAUGUUAGAUAGUGAAAUGUGGAAAUUAGAAGAGAUUGGGCAAGGUCUUUUGGCUCCUUUGUUGUUGAGUUAUAACGAUUUGCCCUCCAAUUCGAUGGUAAAACGGUGUUUCUCAUAUUGUGUUGUCUUUCCAAAUGACUACAGUAUGAAUAAAGAAGAAUUGAUUAGUCUGUGGAUGGCUCAAGGCUACUUUAACGCAGAAGAAGACGAAGAAAUGGAGAUGAUUGGAGAAGAGUAUUUCAACAUAUUAGCAGCACGCUCUUUCUUUCAAGAGUUUAAAAAAGAUUAUUUCAAUGGUGAUUUUAUGUGGUGUAAGAUGCAUGACAUAGUACAUGAUUUUGCCCAAUUUAUAAGUAGAAAAGUAUGUCUGUGGCUAGAAAUUGAUGGUACCAAAGAAUCAGUCAUAAACUCUUUUGGUGACAAAGUCCGUCACUUAGGGUUAAAUUUUCAAGGAGGAGCUUCAUUUCCUAUGUCCAUUCAUGGACUUAAUAGAUUGCGUACCCUCUUAAUUUAUGAUAGAAGUCAUUUCAUUCCAUCUCUUAGUAGUAGCAUCCUUUCGGAGUUAUUUAAUAAAUUGGUGUGUUUAAGGGCAUUAGUUAUAAGGCAAUUUAACCUUUAAGUUUGCAUCCUGUGCCAGAUAGGAUUAGAGAAAUUCCAGAAAAUGUUGGAAAAUUGAUACAUUUAAAAUAUCUUAAUUUGAAUGGACUAUGUAUAAAGAGACUACCUGAGACUUUGUGUGAAUUAUAUAAUUUACAAAAGCUAGAUAUUAGGUGGUGCCGAAAUCUUAGAGAAUUGCCUGCGGGGAUUGGGAAGUUAAUGAACAUGAGGAGUUUACUGAAUUACGACACUCGUUCGUUGAAAUACAUGCCAAUAGGGAUUUCCAGAUUGACCAGCCUUCGAACAUUAGAAAAGUUUGUUGUGGGUGGAGGUGUUGAUGGCGGCAGCACGUGUAGGCUUGAAUCUUUGAAAAAUCUUCAACUCCUUCGUGAAUGUCGAGUAGAAGGGCUGAGUAAUGUAUCGCAUGUAGAUGAGGCUGAGAGGUUACAACUUUACAAUAAGAAAAACCUCCUUCGUUUGAAUCUCAAGUUUGGUAUAGCCGUAGAUGGGGAAGGCGAAGAAGGGAGGAGGAAGAAUGAGAAAGAUAAACAACUUCUUGAAGCCUUACAACCGCCUUUGAAUGUAGAGGAAUUACGGAUUUUGUCCUACGGAGGCAACAUGUUUCCCAAAUGGUUGACUUUGCUAACCAAUCGAAGGGAACUAAGGAUUGAUUUUUGUGAAAAUUUGCAAGAACUGCCAAUUCUAGAAGAUUGCAGGACAACAGACAUACCGCAUCUUUCUUUCUUGAUUAUUCAGAAUUGCCCCAAAUUAAAGGUGCUGCCGGAUUACCUUCUUCGGACGACGACGCUGCAGAAAUUGACAAUUUGGCGAUGUCCCCUUUUGGAAAACCGUUAUAGAGAGGGGAAAGGAGUAGACUGGCAUAAGAUAUCUCACAUUCCCCACAUCAAGUUGUCGCUGUGGAUGCCGUAAGAUAUCACUGGACGGUAAUUUCUCCUCCUCUGAUAUACUUCGUUGUUGCUUGCAAUGAAAUUAAUAAAAAUAAUUAUAUUUUGAAUUAAAAUUCUAUAUAGAAUCAAUCUUGGUAUAAAUAUGUAAAACUUCCUAGUUAUCAAAUCUGUUAGACUUGUUUUCUAUAUUUAUUUACUUUAAAAAAAUAUGUGCUCUUUUGUAAAAUUUGAUACAACAUCAUAGAAAAUCCCAAUGUAAUUUAUUUUUUAAUGUACGAAAAUUUGUUAUGUGUGACGUCCUGAGUGACAAAAUCUCCUUGAUACAUUUGCAGUAAUGUCGAAAACUAAAUUAUCAAUUUUAUCUUGUAUAAUGAUAAUCUUAUUUUUUUAUAUAUAAUUUACGUGACAUUAAUUCUUUAAAGUAAUUGUGUAAUUGUUUUUACUACAUUAGCCCACUUUGUUUUUUUUCAUACUUGUUUAAUUAUGUUCACCAGGGAUUCGAGGAAAUGUCAGAACUACACUAGCAAUUCACAGGUCCAAGCUAAUUUGGUUUUAAUGAUGCAGGCAGGAGAGCAAGACUAUGAAAAUGAAAAGUUUAGCCAAAGGAUUGCUAAAAUGUUCUGCUGGUAAUUCCCUUGCUUUAUUUUAUAGAAUUUCAUUUCUAUCUUCUUCUAUUGAUAUCUUGUUGUGAAUAAACAAGAACAGAGAGUAAAUGAUUGAACCACAGAGAAGUAAAGUAAUAUCAAAAUUCGCUAUUAUGAUGAUUUUAAAGCAAGCUCAAGCUCAAGCUUGCAUUUUUAUUUUAUUUUAUUUAUAGAACUUCCAUUUCCACCUGCAUUUCAUUUUUAUUAGACUCUAUGGAGCACAUUGGGGUAACCAAGGAUUAUCACUGUCGUUAUUGUGCAACGUUGGGUUGCUGGACUUUGAAGAAGGAAGCGAUGGCCGGGUCUGCUCUGUUUCAAUUGAGGAUGGAUAGCUGCCUGAAAGACAUGAUGAUUAUUAUUGCAUGAUGUUAAGGUGCUGAGAUCAUCAUUUCUAUCUUGUUUCAUUCUUGGAAUCGUUUAUCAUAUGCGUCAAUGGAGGCAGGUAUUUGGUGUUGACACUAUUAUGCAGGUAACCACACUUGAUAAUUUGCACAAAUUUGCGUUGUCAGAAUACCCUUUAAUAUUCAUUGUGUUUCUUUGUGUUAUCAGGUUAUCAUCUCCAAGGGUUUGAAAGAGCCUUUGCAGUUGUCAGAAUACCCUUUAAUAUUCAAUUAGGUACGUUUUGGUGCGGUCUCCCAAUGCUAAUAUCAUAUUUUGUAUAGCAAUUAAAAUUUAGCUAUACAAUUUUAAUAUGCAAUAAAUCAUUGUAUACAAAGUUUUUUAUUAAUUAUAUGGUGACUGAAAUUUUAAUUAUCAUAUCAAUUUAAAUUUUUUUGUAACUCUCUUUUACUUUGCUUGUACAGAGUACCUGUUUUGGCUGAUAUGUCUAAUUCGUAGAAAUUUAUUUCCAUCGGUUUCCAUUGGCUUUAGCACAAACAGAAACAGAGCUCUGGGGAAAAGUUUGACUUCUUGUGGUAUUAUGCCUUUGUUUCUUCAUUCAUCAUAUUUUUCGAAUUCAUGCUCUCAUUCAGAGGGUAAAGCCUUUUCAUGGCUGCUUUGUAGCCAAACUUUGACGCCAUUGAUGCAUGACUGUCAUUUAGAUUUUCCAAUAACGGUUAGAUUGGAGAAGAAUAAGAAGAUAUUGUUAAAAGGGUAUUUAAUUAGCGCCGUCUGAAUUUAGUUGCCAAUAAUGCAUUGAAAUAGUUGGGGAAAGUUAUUGUCUUAAUUAAAUUACAGGUGAUAAGAUGCUGCCUCAAUUUUGUAAGCAUCUCGUAUUGAGAAGAUUAAUUGUUGACAAGCCAAAUUUUAGGCAAAUUUUACCGUGAUUCUUGACAUCAUGGUAACACAGGUCAAAUUUUAGUAUCAAGACAUAUCUUCUUCUUUACUGUUCUGCCUCUAAAUAUUAAACUUUAGGCAAGUUGUUUUUGUUUGUGUAAGUUAUCAGGUUAAGGAUACCAAGCAGCUUAAUUGUUCACCACACCUGGUAGGAAUGAUCGCCAGGAAGAUUAAUUGUUGACAAGCCAAUUUUAUCAGUGUUAGAUUUUUUGCCUCCCUUUGAGAGAUAUCAUCAUCAAAUUUGUGUAGAGAAUCUUUGAAGAGAAUUUUGUUGUGAGAGUUUCACUGUAGUGAAUUUUGGGAGCUUGAACUCACUUGAGUGAGAUAAUAGAGUGUAUUGGGGAUUUGGGUUAUGAGUAAUCGUUAUCCUUCCAAUAUUUGCAAGCUCUUACUUGUUAGUAAAAUCAUCUUCGUAUAUUGACUCUGUUUCUUUGUUCCUUAUUUAAUUAGUUUCGAUUAUCAUAAUUAGUCACUCAUUCUGAAUUUUUCUAAUUUUAAAGUUCCUUAGGUCCGCCACCAGUUUUUCAAGUCUGCAUAUGGCUGCAAAAGAUCGAUGGUCAUAAAAUUAUCUUGAGCCUUGAGGCAUUGCGUUCGAGCUCACACUGUAACAGAGAUAAAGAUAAAGAAGACAGUAGAAGAUGCUCUAAACAUAACAAAAGUAUAUUUCUACGUCUUGUGGUUGCUUUAAUUUACUUUUGUUUCUUCUGUCAUCAUAUUUGAUUAAUUCGUUCGAAUUCACACUCUCACAUUAUUUAAAACUAUUUGUAGGUGGCUUGCAAGCUAGUUACGUUAAUGCAAAAACAAUACUCUAGACAAAGAUGAGCAAAUUAAAGGUGAUAAAUGCAAAUUGAAUGUCCAUGAAUAAUUGUUAGGCCGGUGCUGAUAAAUUGCUUCAAAGCAAGCAGCAUCUUCUGCUGCGAAGGCUUUCCCCACAUGAUAUGUUGUGAUUGUUACCGGCCCCGUAUUUAUUAACUCAGGUCAGUAUUAUCUUCUUCAUCAUUUUGGCUAUAUAUAAAGAUUAAAAUUUUGAACACUUGUCUCGGUUUCUUGUGUAAUCAGGCUAAUAGAGCAAAUGUUUACUGUCUAAGCACUAAUGCGACAAUCCCAUCUGUAAAUUUGGGCCAUCUUUGAUGUCUGACAGGUAAGCUGUGACAAUCCCAUCUGUAAGUACUAAUGCGCUUGGUUAUAGUGCUUUCAUUGGACUAUAUGCAAACAUGAGAUAUCAACUAUUGUGUGGAUUUGAUAGAGCGGUCACCAACCAUUUUGAUGUUAUUGGAGUAGCACUGUUCUUAAGCACGGCUUUGAGGUCUCUCCGUCUCUCUUUUACGUAUUUGUCUAUUGAUCGACAUCUCUAUAUAUACAUUGAUAGACCAAAUUACUCUUGCUUUAAUGUUAAUGUGGUUCCUAUAAAAGUGUAUAUAAAUCUAUCACCUCAAAGUCUGAUUUCAAUUUUCCUUUACUUAAUCAACUAGCAUCCUUUCCAAGUCCAGAUACUUACCAAUAGUGAGACUUUGCUACGGAAGUACAAUUUCUCUUGUUUUAUAGUUAAGUAUGUAAGAAUAGUUUCAAAUUUACAAAUUUCUGAUAUAGUUCUCUACGGAAAUGCGAGUGGUGAAUAUGGUUCCAACUUUUAAUAGGCUUAAUUGGCCCAUUUGUUCAGCCACAGUGAUUGCGGUCUGAAUUCUUCUUUACUGUCUCUAUGUGUUGGAGUUUGUCUAUUGUCCAACUUCUCCAAUGGAUUCCAUGCAGGGUUUUGAAUGUCUAAUUAGGAGAAAUCAACGGAUGACCUUUUGAAGAAGGCUUACACAACAGGCCAUCUCAGGAUGUCAUGGCUCAGCUCAAAAGUCCCCAGGUGGUUGAUACCAAAGAGUGCCAUUGUUUCUGGGCUUGGGCUCCUUGGCGUCAAACAAGAUAAUGGGAAAUAGGGGCAACUAAAGCGCGAAGAAAGAGGAUGGUCUGGAGGAAGGUGUCUGCAUAAAUUUGUUGGAGUUGAUGUAGUCAAUUGCCCAAUUUUGCUGCCUGUCGAAGAGACACAGCAUGGAAGUCCUCAUCAAACUCUGAGACACCUAAGAAAUAGUAUGAGGUGGUGGUAUUCCCCUGGUGUUAAUUUCCUGGCAAGUGUGGUUCACAGAUAGAGGGAUUCUUUUCUUGAUGUCUAAAUACCAAAUGUGAUGCAACGUCGUAUAUUCUAAGAUAUUAAAUUCUAUUUCAGAUUUCUCAUAUAGUGUCGUUGUCACUUCUGUGGUACACUUUUGAUCGCAAAUUUCCAUUUGAAGUAGCCGAUAUUCUUUACAGACUAAUUAUCUAAUGAUUAUUUUGUACAAAAAAAAUCAAAACUUUAAUUAUUUGAUCAUACUCAACUUAGGUCUUAUUCGAUAUUACUAGUUGUUAAUGUGUAAUAAAUGUAUGACUUUUAAAUAAUAAUUUUAAUAAAAAUAAUAAAGAUAUUAUAAGUUUUUUUUUAUAAUAAAGUAUGAGAUCAAAUCAAAUUAAUUUUGAAGUCACAAUAGCAAAUGUUUACCAAAACUAUUUAAUUAUAUGACUUAAAAGAUAUAGUUGUCCAAUCCCAACAAUAUAUAUAAAGAUUUACCAAACUUUACCCGACUUUAGUUGUACCCACUUGAUUAUGUAAGUCCAUUCUCCACGCGCUUGACCAUAUGAGAUGUUACUCAACUUUAACAAAUCUUACUUAAACUUUGCACGUUUGACAUGUUGGAUGAAAUAUAGCAUAUGAUGUGAUAGAAUACAAUAGGAAUGGUUGUAACAAGAUUAUAAUUAGUACUAGUUUGUAUUUUAUGUGAUGUAGAACGCAUUAUAUUACAACUUUUAGUGUUAUACUAAUUAAAAAUUUGAAUUAUUUUAUUAUUGUAAAAAUUUAAUAUCUUAAAUAACAGUUAUUUUAAUUAAGUAUUUUUGUUGCAAUGAAUUAUACUUUUUUAAAUAUAAUUGAAAAUUCUUAUUACUAAACUAAUAAAAAAUUAAUUAUUUGAGUUAUCUCCUAAACUACUUAGCUUACGAGAUAAAUUCACUUUGUUUAGAAUGAAACGGAUUACAUUUAGUACUAUUUUGUAUUUUAUGUGACGUAGUGUAUGAUUCAAUUAUAUUACAAAUUUUAUUGUAAUAAAAAAAUUUUGAAUUAUUUUAUUAUUGUAAAAAUACAAUAUCUUAAAUAACAAUUAUUUUUAUUAAGUAUUUUUUAAUGAUUUAAAAUAUAAUUGUAAAUUCUUAUUAUUAAACUAAUAAAAAAUUAAUUAUUUGAGUCAUCUCCUAAACUACUUAUUUCACGAGAUAAUUUCACUUAGUUUAGGAUGAAACGGUGGGUUAUUUUUAUGUGGGAGCCACAUCCUUUCCAUAUGAGAUGUUACUCAACUUUAACAAAACUUACUCAAACUUUGCACGUUUGGCAUGCCGGAUGGAAUAUGAUAGUAUAUGAUGUGAUAGAAUAUUAUAUGAUUAGAUGUAAUAGGAUUAUAUUUGGUCUUGUUUUAUAUUUUAUGUGAUCUAGUAUAUGAAUGGAUUAUAUUACAAAUUUUAUUGUUAUAAUAAUUAAAAUUUUGAAUUAUUUUAUUAUUGAAAAAAUAAAUAACAGUUAUUUUGAUUAAGUUUUUUUUUUCUGUUGAAUUAUAGUUUUAAAAUAUAAUCCAAAAUUUUUAUUACUAAACUAAUAAAAAAUUAAUUAUUUGAGUUAUGUCCUAAACCAACUUAGCUCACGAGAUAAAUUCACUUAUUUUAGAACGAAACGGCGGGUUUUAUGUGGGAAGCCACAUCCUUUCCAUAUCAACCUCAACAUCCAAACAUGAAAUUGGACUAAGAAUAGUUCUUUCCCAUGUAUUUACGUACCCUCCUGCCACUAAACGUAAUUGUAUAUUUUGGACCUUAUUUGACUUGAUUUUAUUAACUUAAUUUUCUCCAAUUUCCAUUGUCGACGUUGAGUGCAUGUAAUUAAUCCACAAGUUUUGAUUGAGCAGAAAUAGCCAAAAAAAACUGAUGAUAUGAUAAUAGCAAAAAAUCUAAUGACACCCACGUCCAAAGAUGCCGUUGUCACAAAGGCCUGGACGCCAUACCUCGAACCCAUCCCCUUUUACCAUGAGUGAUGAUACAGCCACAAACUCUUAUACAAACUUAUUUUAUACAAACUAAUGUGACAUCAAUUCAAUGGUUGAAUGAAAAUAUAAAAUAAUGAAAGUAAAUCAUGUGGGCCAAGAGAUAUUUAAUUUAACCAAUAAAUUGACGCCACAUAAGUUUGUACAAAAUAAAUUUGUAUAAGAGUUUGUGGCUGUAUUACUGUAUUAUUACUCUUUUACCAUAUUUUAUAAUUAAAGAGGUCAUUGUUUGAAAGAAAAGAAUGACAUGUUGGUAUGAAAUUACGUUAAAAUGAAUAUAUCACUUUUUUUUUUGUGUGAGUGAUGGCUUCGUUUAAUGACAAUUGGCAGACAAUGAAUCAUCUUUUAAUUUUAGUUUUGAUUUAAUAAAAAAUAUUAAUUUUUGUAGUUUCGGUAGAUGAAAUUUCGAAUCAAAUAUUAAUAUCGUUAAAGUACGCAACUCAAUAUUUACUUAAAUCAGAAAAAAGAUUAAUUGCUUUACAUGAAAAAGAAAAGAAAAGAAAAGAGUGAUCACUUGAUUUAACUUCCUUUACUAAAUUUACGAUUUAAAAUCUAAAAUGGAAAAAGGAAAACAAGUUUUGGAAACACACUCGGAGUUUUAAAUUGAUAUGAAAAAAGAGUUUAUUAUUGACAAUCUUUUUCCCAAAAUUUAAGCUAAGACAACAAUAUGUCCAAAAUACCCUCCACAUUAUCCCAAAACUUUAUAAACUCCCCCGUUCCUCUCAACAUCAUCUCUUCCAAAUCUUUCUUCCCCCCAAAAACCAGCCAUGGCUUCAUAUUCAAUUACCUCAACACUCCAAUAUUGGCUUGUAAACCACCCCCAAAUCCUCAACUUCACAUGGACUCCGAACCAAACACUAGCUUCCUCCCCACACUUCCUCAUUCUCUCCAUCCUCACUUACCUCUCCCUCACAUUCAUCCUCUACCACGCAUCAACAUCAACAUCACCACCUCUCAUUGGACCCCACAUCCUCAAGCCCAUCACAGCCGUCCAUAACCUCACCCUCUUCGUCCUCUCCCUCAUCAUGGCCGUUGGUUGCACUCUCUCCAUCAUCCUCCAUUUACCCUACCUCCGUUACACCCUUUGUUUCCCCACUACCAUUUCUCCGUCUGGCCCUCUCUUCUUCUACGCUUACAUCUUCUACCUCUCCAAAAUACUCGAAUUCUUUGACACCCUUUUGAUCAUUUUAUCAAACUCCAUCCAACGGCUCACGUUCCUCCACGUCUACCACCAUCAACCGUCGUUGUAAUGUGCUUCCUUUGGUUACAGACGAAGCAGUCUUUGUUUCCUAUUGCAAUUGUCACCAAUGCAAGUGUGCAUGUGAUCAUGUACGGGUACUAUCUAUUGUGUGUGAUGGGGUUGCGGCCAAAGUGGAAGAGAUUGGUCACUGAUUGUCAGAUUCUUCAGUUUGUGUUUGGUUUUGCUGUUUCGGUUUUGAUGCUGUAUUAUCAUUUCACGGGUUUUGGUUGCUCUGGGAUUUGGGGAUGGUGCUUCAACGUUGUGUUUAAUGCGUCCCUUUUGGCACUUUUUGUUAAUUUUUAUUCCAAGAGCUAUGCUAAGAAAAAGAAGCAGGGAUGAUCAAAGUGCUAUGAUUGUUUUGUGUUUUCUUUUUUAAUUUAUUUGAUUUUGGUUAAUUAUGAAUGGUGGUAAUUGGUUGAAUGCAAUUGAAGAGAUGCUUUCAGUUGCCUAAACUUUGUUUUUUCAAUUUUUGUUAUAGAUGUCAUAUGUCACCACAUUUUUUUAGUCUCUCCCUUUAAAAUUCCCUCACACAAACUUCGGAUUUGUAUUUUGUAAACUAGAAUUUUUCAUUUUCGUUAAUGUGUUAGCUGUUAUUAUCUACAAUUAUGUCAUACGACACACAUGUCACAUCAACUAAAAUUAGAUUAUGAAUUUUGGGCACAGGGCCAAGUCCCACCGUUUGGUAGGAAAUAAGUGUUGGAUCAUAAACUUGAUCCAAGAUAAAUAAAUUCAACCUUAACUCAUGGAAGGUUCCAUGAGUAGGUAUGGUUAGUGAGGUUUGAAUUAUUUGUGUUAGGUGUGGUAGGUGUGGUUGGUGAAGUAGGUGAGUGGUAGGUUUUAAUGGAUGGUGAGUAUUUGUGUAUUAGUUGAAUAAAUGAAUGGUUGUGAUUAGUUUGUUUCAUGGAUAAAUACCCCCUCUCCCCUUUGGUUUAAAUAUCAAGUGAAAUAACAAAAUCUCUAAGGUGUAGAGAGUGAAAAAUAAGAGUUGUAAUUAGUGAGGAGUGUUGUUGAAGAAAUAAAAUAGUGUGUUUUAUUUGUUAACUCUCCAACAAAGUGGUAUCAAAGCUAGUGCUUGAUGCUAUAUAUUGUCAUAUAGCAUAUCAAAUCGAAGAUCUCGAUGAGAGGAACGUGACGCCGCAAAAAUCAUCCUGACCAAAGACCAGACGCGCCCAAGCUCGCCGUCAGAAUUUUUCUGUCCUGAAGCUGAGUCGACUCACCGAGUUGAACCAACCUGAGUCGAGCCGAACUGAACCGAAUCAAGUCGAACCAAGCCAACUGGAGUUGAACCAAUCCGGACCGAACCAAGACUACUAAGCCAACGCUGACCGUUGACUGAAAGUUGACUCAAGUUCUUCCCAAGGCUUUUCGACGUGCCGGAUCCAUCUGUGCUUUCAGAAUCUCCAAAUUCUCACUCAAUUUGUGAGUUAUGGAAAACGGUGGUCUGAUGUCAUUUCAAGUUCCACAAUUAAAGAGAAGUAAGUUUGACAAUUGGAGUAUUAAAAUGAAGGCUCUAUUGGGUGCACAUGACGUAUGAGAUAUCAUGGAAAAAAAGCUUUAUUGAGCCAGAAAAUGAAGCCACUUUAACUGCGGCAUAGAAUGAGAAUUUAAAAGACUUGAAGAAGAAAGAGAAUAAAGCAAAGUAUCUCAUCUUUCAAUCAUUAGAUGAAGAUGCCUUUGAAAAGAUUGCUGGUAAAACGUGAGAAACUAGAGACCUCUUACAAAGGAGCGAAGAAAGUUAAGAAGGUUCAUCUCCAAAUAUUCCGAGGAGAAUUUGAGUCCUUACACAUGAAGGCGUCGGAGUCAAUUUCUGAAUACUUUACUUGGGUUGUGACCAUUUCUAAUGAAUUAAAAAGAAAUGGCGAGGAGUUAAAAGAGGUAAGGAUCAUUGAAAAAAUACUUCGAUUAGUAUACUCGAAGUUUGACCAUAUUAUUGUGACAAUUGAGGAAACAAGAGAUCUAGAGGAUAUGACGAUCGAGCAACUUUAAGAAAGGUUGCAAGUCUAUGAAGAAAAACAAAAAAAGAAGCAAGGAAUCGAAGAACAACUUCUCAAGAUGGAGGUCAAUCCAAAGAAAAGAAAAGAAAGCUCCGACAACGGAAGAAGGCAUAUUUAUCUCCCAAGAAAGCUAUACAAAGGAGAUUCUAAAAAAGUUCAAGAUGAAUGAUUGCAAGCCUAUAAGCACGCCAGUGGAAUGUAGAGUCAAGUUAUCUAAACAUGAUGAAGGGGAAGAUAUAGAUCCAACAUUCUUUAAAAGUUUAGUCGGAAGCCUACGUUAUUUGACAUGCACCAGACCAGAUAUCCUUUAUGUUGUUGGACUUGUGAGCCGAUACAUGAAGAAUCCAAAGACCACCCAUUUUAAAGCUGCAAAAAGAAUCCUUUGCUACAUCAAAGGUACAACUAAUUUUAGCUUGUUAUACUCAUUUUCUAAUGACUCCAAGCUUGUUGGAUAUAGCGAUAGCGAUUGGGGUGGAGAUGUAGAUGAUCGAAAGAGCACCACAGGAUUUGUGUUCUUCAUGGGAGAUACUGCUUUCACAUGGAUGUCAAAGAAGAAAACAAUUGUCCUGCUAUGCACCUAUGAAGCUGAAUAUGUAGCUGCCACAUCAAGUGUUGAUAAUAAUUUGGCUCAGAAAUUUGUUGAAGGAAUUAGGUUUGCCACAAAAAGAGCCAACCGAGAUUUGUGUUGAUAACAAAUCAGCAAUUGCCCUAUCCAAGAAUCCAAUCUUUCAUGAUUGAAGCAAACACAUAGACACUUGCUAUCAUUUCAUAAGAGAAUUUAUUACAAGAAAAGAAGUGCAAGUCAAGUAUGUAAAAUCACAAGAUCAAGCAGCUGAUAUCUUCACUAAGCCACUCAAGCAAGAAGACUUCGUAAAAUUCAGAAGUUUGCCUGGUGUCACAGGAUCAAGUUUAAGGGGGGGUGUUGGAUCAUAAACUUGAUCCAAGAUGAAUAAAUUCAAGCCCAACUCAUGGAAGGUUCUAUGAAUAUGUAUGGUUGGUGAGGUUUGAAUUAUUUGUGUUAGGUGUAGUAGGUGUGGUUAGUGAAGUAGGUGAGUGGUAGGUUUUAAUAGAUGGUGAGUAUUUGUGUAUUAGUUGAAUAAAUGAAUGGUUGUGAUUAUUUUUGUUUCAUGUAUAAAUCUCUAAGCUGUAGAGAGUGAAAAAUAAGAGUUGUAAUUAGUGAGGAGUAUUGUUGAAGAAAUAAAAUAAUGUGAUUUUUGUGUGUUUUAUUUGUUAAUUCUCCAACAAUAAGGAGCAUUAAUGAAAUAUGUUUAAUUAAGUAAUAAUUUGUUAUUUUAGAGUGAAAAAUAAGGGUAAAUUGUAUUCUACCCCAUAUUAGAUUGACAAACUUCAAUUUACCCCUUAAAAGUACAAAAACUUCAACUUAUCUCCAAAUACCAUUUUCUUCCCGUUAAAUUUAACUAUCGAAAGUAUAAAAUUAUAGUCUUACAUUCUCUCAACAGUCAACUCAUGGAUAAGAAGUCAAAACAUAUAUAUAAGGUAAUUUCCAUAAAACCCAAUGUAGGGGCGGGCAAUUGUUUGGUUUAGAAGUUAGGAACCGAAUGGUUUGAAAACAAAUGAACUGAUUGGUUUAUAUUUGGUUUACUUUGAACUGACAAACCGAUUGGUUCGCUUAAACUUAAUUAAAAAUACAUUUAUUUUAAAAUAUAAAUGCUUAAAAUAAUUUUUUUUUUCAUUUUUCAGUUUCCUAAUCUAAAAAUGUUUCAUAACCCUAAAUCAGCCGCCAUCUCUCUCAAGGUCGACGGCGGCACAACAAGCUCUCUCGGUCUCUCCCUCGCAAUCUCAUGGUGAUUGAUUUCUCGUGAUGUCUCCACUUUUGUUUCUUGUUCUUGUGUGAUCGAAUUCUCUCUAUACACACAUAGCCUAGCCUCUUGUUUUUUGGCUCAAUGGAGUUUCGUUUCUUUUCUCUCAGUUUCUUUCCUGUUGAAUUCUCGUGAUGUUUCUAUUUUUUUCUUUUUUUUUAGACAUGUUUUCGAAAUUGGCAUAAUACGAACCAAACCUGAACUGAAUUUCAAAAUCAAAUCGAAUUGAACCAAACUGAAAUUUUUAUGUUCGGUUUGGUUCGAUUAAAAAAUUUGGUAUGCGUUCGGUUCUCUUUCUUACGAACCAUUGGGUUUUAGUUCGGUUCGGUUUUGGUCUAGAAAAGAACUAACUAGAACCGAACCAAACCAAACCAAACCAAACCAUUUACUGGCCACCUUGCUCAUAUGUUUCAACAAAUUUCAAUGCACACUUAAACAUUUCAAUAAAAUUCGCUUUGUACCCAAAUUGAUAAUUUUUACUUUUUAAUUAGUUAAUUGUUAACUGCAGAAGUAUAAAAAAUUAUUUCUUUUUAAAAUAAGAAAAAUAAUUUUUUUCUAACUUUUUUCCUUUUUUAUUUUCUAGUUAAUUUCUUUAUCUGGUUCGGUUCAUUUUUCCCUUUUUUAUUUCUUACUGUUUUCCGCAUGUUCUCCACGCUUGAACUUUGCCAAGCAUCAUAAGGCCACAGUAGCCAUGCCAGCAACUUGCAACUAGGGGUGGGCAAAAAAACCGUAGUCUUAAAAAAACCGAACCGAACCGACGGUUUUUUCUAAUUCGGUUCGGUUUUUAUUUUUUUAAAAAACCGAAUAUACCGUUUGUAAAAAAAACCGAAAUGUCGGUUCGGUAUUCGGUUCACUUAGCUGAACCGAAAAACCGAACCGAAAAACCGAAUUAUUUUUUGAUUUUAUUCAAAUCAAACAUGUGUUAAUAAUUUUAUUCAAAUCAAACAUGUGUUAUUUCUCUUUAUAACAUUAUGAUUAUGUUUAUAUAGAUGGAGUAUUGGAGUUUGGUUAUAUAUUUUGAAAUUUUAAUAUUUCAUAUAUUUGGGAGUAUCUUAUUAAUAGUUAGUAAGAUAUUAGUGAUAAAAUGUGUUUUGAAUACUUUGUAUUUAUUGUUAAUAUUUGUAAUAAAAUUAGGAUAAAUUAAUUGUUGAAAAAAAUUAUUACAUUUAUGAGGCCCAAUGGGCUAAAAAUUUUAAAAUUCAAAAUAGGCCUAAUAGGCCCAGAACCGAAAAAACCGAACCGAACCAAACCGAUCUGAAAAGAACCGUUUGAGUUCGGUUCUUAUUGAGUUUGGUUCUUAUUCGGUUCUUUUUAUAAAAUAACCGAUUUAAAUCGGUUCUACUUAAUUUCGAACCGAACCGAACCGAACCGAACCGAACCGUGCCCACCCCUACUUGCAACAAAGUUUAGAGCUGCGCGAUGGUUGCAGCAACGUUAACGCCGCUAUUCCAAGUCUUGGCCCAUCAUCUCCUUUUCAACAAAUCUUAGCUUCUUCCCAAAUUCAUCAAUGAACCCCAAAACCAGAAUAAUCAUUAAAAUUAUUAACAACCAUUUGCUUGGAUCAAUGUAUGCUUGGCAUGUCUAUGGGCUUACUUGGAAUGGUCGCUGAUGGCCAUGGGCUUGCUUGGAUUGGCCGCGCACAGCCAUGGGCUUGCUUGGAAUGCCGGUACCCGUUUGCCACGGUUUUGCUAGCGUAUCCAUGGGUUUUGUUGGACAUGGCAGUGCGAGGCCAUGGGUGUUGCCGGACAAUGGACAUGGGUUUUGCUGGGCUGAUUAGGAAUUAACAGAGGCUAUGGAGUUGUUCAGUGUGUGAAAGAGAAAAAAACAUGAACGAAGAAGAAUAUGAACAGGGAAUAGAACGAAGAAGAUGAAGAAAGUAGAAGAGAGGGAAAAAAUAUUUUGCUUUUUUAUAAAUUUUCGGAUUUUUAUUUCAAAAUUUAUAAUUUUUGUUUAAAUUUGAGAAUCUUAAGGGUAAGAUUUUCUUUGUAACUAUGUGUAGAAGGAGGUUUUCAGAUGGUUUUUGGUUGGGUUAACAUGAAAUAUGCUUGUUUUAUGAAAUAUUAUUAUUGAGGUUUUGUUUUAUUUUCUAAAAAAUAGAUUAGAGGAUGAUUUUCAUUAAUGACACCCAUAAAGUUUGAAUUAGUUAUAUUAUAGAAAUAGUAGGGAUUUAAAUGAUAUAUCUUUUCAACAUAAAUAUAUCAGUAACAUAAGUUAUUCUAUAAUUAACAGGGUAUUAUCGUAUUUUAGUGAGUCAUUAUUGGUUGAUAGUUAUAUUUAACAGAUUUUAGACAGUAAAUUGAAGUUUAUUUUUUUUAUUUUUGAGUAAAUUAAAAUAUGUCAAUCUCAUAAGGGGUUAAAAUAUAAUUUAUCCAAAAAUUAGUGUUAAAAUUUUAUAGAUGAGUGUAUAUUAAGAUGUUCAAAGUAUUAGAACAUAAAUAAUCUUAGUUUUAAUAAAAUUUUGCCACAUAGUGAAUAUUAUCCUCAACCUCAAGAGAAACAUAUCAAUAAAAUAUACAAAAAUAGAAUGCAUUAGUACAUGUCAAUAACAAGACCAAUUAGAUCAUGUCAUAUUUGUUAUGUAGUUAUUUAAGCUAAUAGAGUAAGAAGUCCCAAAUACAUGUACAUCAUAUCUUGGUGAAGAAAUCGGUUCUACCCGAAAUACUUCUUCGUAUUGAAAUCAAUGAUGAUUGCUUGUUUAAAUAAUGAAAGUUAAAAUAAUUUUGUAAAUAAUUUCAUUCUUUAAUUUACGGUAUACAAAUAAAUUCAAAAAAUGUUAAUUUCUCUCAUACUUUUAGGACCCAAAAAAUAACAAAAAGUCUUAACAUAUUUAAUGGUUAUAUAUAAAUCAUCCGUACGUAUUUUUCUUGAGAGAAGCUCAAUUCGAUAGACAAUGCUCCCCUUAAUUUUCUUUUCUAAUUAGAUAAAAGAACAAGAGAAAUUGAUUACAAGAAUAACAAACUUUAAUUUACUUCUUAAAGGGUAAAAACCUUAAUUUACUUCUUAAAGGGUAAAAACCUCAAUUUGUCCUUAUAUUUGUUCAAAAGAUACAUUUUGUCUUCUUAAUAUAAACAAGUUAAAUUGAUGUUUCACAUCUUUUAGAAAUAAAUUAAAGAUUGUUAUUUUAAGUAGGAGGUAAAUUUCAAAUAAAACAUGUGUUCAUAUGAUAGAUGUGCAUUUUACAAUAAUUAAUAAACAAAAGGGUAGUGAUAUUUUCAACCUGUAAUUUUUGUAAAUCCACCCCCACUCCCAAGAAAUAAUUACAAUAAAUUCACAUAACUUUUUUAAAACUCAAAUAAAGAAAAAUUUUGGAGAUUUAAACUAUUGUAUACAAGAGGAUAAGAGUAAAUAUUUUUCAUGCAGUAUAAAAAGAAUGCGACAGCUCCUUUUCUUUCGGUAUUUUCACAACAAAAGCACACUUAAUAACUCAUCAAAUUAUUUCUCCUUUUCUUUGAUCGCUUCCCCUCUCCUGGAGCUGCUGAACUCCUUUGUUGCUGAUGAAGGGAACAAGUGAGGCUUUUCAAAAGAGGGCAAAGAGAUGGUGAUUCGAUUUGAUUCGAUAAUAGUAGUUUAUUUUAAUUGUUAUUCAUUUGAUUUCAUAGAAGUAAUUUUUAUUUUCAUUUUUUUGUUGAAAAUUGGUAAAAACGAACUAAAAUGAGAUAAUUACAUUAAAACAAUCUUCAAUGACUAAAGUAAUUUGAAAAAAUAAAAAUAAAAAUAAACAAGCUCAAAAUUUACCCCUAAUCCGAACAUUAUCCGAAUUCAGCCUAAUUGACCCAAAUCUAAUUGUAAUCCAAACUUGACAUGACCCGCAUAUAAUUAUAACCCGAUCAGAUCCAAACUCGACCUGAAUUUUUAAUUCAAUACGAUCCAAUCCAAAUAUUCCAAUCCCAUCAAAAUGAAACUUGAUUGGGUUGAUCCGAACCCGAAUUUGCCACUUCCGGAGGAGACCAUGACCCUAAAGGCUUUGAAAUAAUCUUUGCGGUUUCUUAAUGAAAUAGUAAAAGUUAUGCGCAAAAAGACUGUUUUGACCCUAGAAUACAUGAUAUAUAAAUUUCAGACAUUAUAUUCUGUGAAAUAAAGUCAAAGUAAACUGGUUGUUUGAUUUUUUAUUAAUUAUUUUCCAUUAUGACAAAAUGACAAAUAGACUUUAUUAAAAGUUUAAUAAAGUUUGGGCCUAACUCCUUGAUUUUUAUUUUUUUUAAUUAUUUUUCAUUUUGUUUUUUACUUGCAACAUUAGCUUUAAUUAUCAAUAGUCUCCAAAUCAAAAUGACUGCAACCUGUAGCUACAAGCAAAAUUCUCAAAUUUUGAAAUUUCUAACGACUACAUAAGAGCUAUAAAUAGAAAAAUCAUCUAAAAUUAAUCCUCCUUCAGAGGCAGAUUAAAUUCUUAGUAAUUUCAUAUAAUUUCAUUUCAUCAGAACAAUUUUCCAAAAGCAAUUUUAUAAAUGGUUGUCGAAAGCUUUAUCCCUUAAUUAUAUGUCACGUAUUUUCUUUGUGAUAUGAGGCGUGUCCAUAGACCAUAGUAUGAUAUUUAUUGUAAUUAAAAUCAUUAUGGAACUGAUUUUAUUCUUGUUUCUCAAACAAAAUAUCUAACUGCAGAUGUAAUAAAUUACUAAUUACCAUUAUUUGAGUCGCACUCUUUGAAUUGGAUCUUGGAGUUUCGAAUGACCAAAUGAAUUAGUGAGAUAAUGGCUUUUGCUUUUGUCUACCUGAUAAUAAAAUUUGUCCACCAUAUAGACAAGAAAUGGAUCGGAUCCAUAUGCUAUAGCUAAAUUGAAAAAUUUAUGUGGAGUUUUAUUGUAAGACAUUUUUAUCUGAAUAGAAAAAAUAAAUUUUUUUUAUUUUUAUCUAAAUGAUAAAAUAUCUGAAUAAAAAAUCAGUUUUCUUCUCACAAAUACCCUCAUUAAAUAUAUUUAUUUUCUACUUAGCUAUUAGAUGUCAUAUUAGAAUUUCCUUUGAUCUCAGAUUUUACUUGGUAUUAAAUACUUAAUCUGCGUUCGAUUCGAAUUUAGACAAAUUCUUUUGUCAUUAGAUAACAACGUUUUUACUGAAUUUGAUGUUCAUACAGAAACAGUCAAGUCCUUGUUGACUGAAAUUGGCAUUUCUCUUGUCUCUGCUCCUAUCAUUUGGUGUGAUAACCAAAGUGCAGCUGCCUUAGCAAGUAAUCCUAAAUUCCAAGAACUUAAAUUUAACUCUAAUAAAAGCUCAAAGUUAGUUAUGUUCCAAGUUCUCAUAAGUCAUAACUCAUCUGAUAUCCUUACUAAAGCUUUAGCUUAUCACCCUUUUCAUUAUCUGAGAGACAAGCUCACCCUGACUUCACUAGGCUGAGCUUGAGGGGAGAUGUUAAGAGUAUAAGCUGAAGCUGCUGAGCUGGCUGGUGACGUGCUGACGGUGUUGAGUUGACUAAUGUUUUGUAACUAAGUUGCUGAGCUGGAUUGGGUUGUUAUUUGCACUGAAUAAGUUGUAACGAAUUGUCCAGCUGGCUUGUUAUGAUUGGAAGGCUAAUUAGUUUGUUAAUAUUGCAGCUUUGAGCUCUGUUUCUGUAAUCAGUUUUGAGUGUAACUAUAAAUAUCACGCUCAUAAUGUAUGAUUUCAGCUUUAAUCAAUAAGAAUCUGUGAUUGUUCCAGAAACUUCAUAGUCAAAUUUUCUUUCUUAAUUUUCUUUCACUUUCUCUCGUGCCAAACACCUUAUUGAUUCAAAUAAAACUCCAUCCAAAGGCUCACGUUCCUCCACGUCUAUCACCAUGCAACCGUCGUCGUAAUGUGCUACCUUUGGUUACAUAGUAACCAUGUUAAAUUGGAUUUUCUAUAUGAUAUUAUCGUUAGCUUCAUUGUUUAAAUAUACCGUUAGUGAAAGAAUCGUUCGUGAUUAGGUACUUUACAACUACAACACGAUAAGCAAUCAAAGUUACAUGAAAGAAUCAGUAAUUAGUAGUUAGGUUAGAGGUGAAACGUGCAUGUUACAGGGAAGUAGAAAACAUGUCAAGUUGUUAUCAUAAAGUGAAUAUCCAAUUUAAGAAGAUAAUAACUGGAUUUUGAAUUCAAUUUCACUCUGUUUUAGUAGUAUGUAUUAUAUCUCACGAAUAUGAUAUCAGUGAAAAAUGUAUAAGUUAUGGGCUUUGAAUUUAUAUUAAUGCAUAUAUACUAGCUAUGAAAAUGACGAAUUCUAAACAGAUUUUGCUAUUUAACAAGUAAUUAAGAGGUCUAGCAAUCAAUUAAUAAAAAAGUAAUUCAAUAUAACAUUGCUACAAAGAAAUUAAACUAUAUAUAACAACUAUUUCAAUGAGACUAAUGAUAAUUAUAUCUAAGGUUUGAUCGAACAAACGGGCAAGAACAGCAAAAGCUAAUCUUAAUUUAGAAAUUUUUAUAAGGGGGGAGGAUUGUAAUAUACGCACUUGGACUUUCUUAAUAAAGUGCUGAUUUUUAUUUUCCUCUUCUCUAUUAAUUUUUAAUUUCGUCACUAUAGUUUAAUUGGGAUAAAUUGAGCUCGAUUAUACGCGCCGAUGGUCGGAUUUUAUUUUCGUAACGGGUCUGAAAUUCGCUUAAUUUGUAUUAAGCUUAAAAAAAAAAAAAAAAAAAAAAAAAAAAAGAGGGGCAGAAUUGUAUAACUGGAAAGAGGGAAACGGGUUUUCCAUUUUAGAGAGAAAGAACCCGAGAAGAGAGAGAAAGAUAGAGAGAGAAGUCAGACCCGUUGACCCGAGAACCCGACCCAGUAACCCGCGGAUUGACCCGACGAUUUCUCCCAACUCCAGCCACUUUACCGGCCGUGCUUGGUACCGAUCUGAAGCUUGGAAGCAGACCAUCGUAUCCCUGCUGUUAUCGUCGCCGGAAACUGGCCAGAACGCCGGUGAUCGAGCUCGAAAAGUCGCGGCUUCGACCCGUUUUCGUUGCCGUUGAUCCCGCCGGAGUUGUGACGCGCCACCACUUGGAACUGGUUCCUCACAUCCCCAGCAACAUUUCCCGACCAGCAACGACCGCCGGGGACGCCCGGAACUCGCCGAAUGAUCUCCGAAAAUUUGCGGAACUUUGGAACUUCGAUCCGCCGCCGGUAGCGCGCGUGGCGACUCACUGCCACCACCGUUGGAUUCAUCGAGGCCGGAACUAGCAGACCUAAGCUCCCCGUCAUCGUUGACUGAAGUCCGGUCACCGUUGACCGGCAGGGGCAAUUCGGUAAAUUCAUGAAACUUUGGGGUGAAUUUGUAAUUUUAUGUAAUCAGUGGACAUUUCGGUAAUUUUAUGCCCUGAGGGUAAUUUCGUAAUUUCGGACAAUGUGAUUAAUUUAUGUAAUCUGAAUUGAGGACAAUAUGGGUAUUAACGAAUAUGAGGAUAAUUUGGUAAAAUCAUGAAGUUUGAGGAUAAGUUGGUAAAAUAUUGAUGUUGGGGUAUUUUGGUAAUUUUGGCCUAUAGGGGCAUUUUGGUAAUUUUAUACAUGCGGGACUAGUUUAUCGUUAAUAGAUAUUUGUUUCGAGAUUUAUUAUAUUAAUUGGUUUUUACGGAGAAUAAUUAUGGUGUUUUCCGUGAUUAGGAGGAUCCGCAUCCGCGAACGAGAAUCUACCCGCGGACGUUGUUGAUACUGAGUCUAGACAUCAUCACUGUGAGUGGAAUAUACAAAACCUAUUUUCAUAGUAUAUGCUGAUUUUCUUAUAUAGUACAGUAUGUUUGAGAAAUAAAUGUUUAAUGCGUUGAUUUAAUGAUUUUCCAGCGAAUUGACUUUUAUUUAUGUGUUGAUAUUUAUUAUGAUUGAGAAUGAGUUCGAUUUAUGAUUUUAUUAGCGUUUUUGAGUAAAAGCAUGAUAUUAGAAUUGAGCAGACUUGAGAUAUGUUGAAUAGAAAGAAAAUGAGAUUUCAGAUGGGAUCAUAUGUUUACUAUCAGUUUUGAAAUCAUUAGACAGUACCCUUCCCUCCAGAUACAGAGAUACAGAUAAAAAGAGAUACAGAUAAGAGAUACAGAUAAGAUGAGAUAGAGGCCUUUGGGGCCCGUCGGGACACACAUAGAGGCUUUGGGCCGUGUGUUCGGGCGCUUUUGCCUUUUGGGGGCUUAUGCAUGCACAGUACAGAUAUAUGAGAUAAGAGAUAUGAGAUAUGAGAUGAGAUCGUCCCCAUCUAUCCGUUGUGGCUCCGGGGCGUGACGUUACCCAGAUAGUGCGUUAUUGCCUGGCCGUUGUAGCCCGGAUAUGAUCAGAUUAUCCCCUGGGUACUUGUUUGAUGACAGUUUUUAGUAUUCAGUAUUUAAUAUGAGUAUGGUGAUUCCAUCGAUUUUAUGCAGAUUUAUUAUUGCAGUUAUUCAAUUUGAAUUAAAUGAGUUUAUGAUAUUUUGAGAAAUUGAUUUGAGAAUUGAUUUACGAAAUUGAAAUUGAUUUAAGAAAAGAUUUGAGAAAGAUUAAAUGAUUUUGAAUAAUUUAUUAAAGUAUCAGCACCUACUAUCCACUCACUGAGCUCACUGAGUUUUAUACUCACCCCUCUUUUAUUAUAUUUUUCCCCCCACAGGAGAUUUACAGGUACAUCAGUCAACCCAGUAGUGAACGUUAGUUUGAUAUUGUGGUCACGUGAUGGUGCUAGAAGUCGUGGAUUUUAUUAUUAUAUUCGAAAUUUGUGUUAUUAUUUUAUGUUAUUAAGGAUAAUCGUUGUAUUUUAAUAUUCGGAUGAUUUUGGUGAUAUUUGAGAAGUUGGUUUGAGAAGUUGGUUAUGGAGGAUGUUUGGUUAUUAAAUUAUUUCGGGAGUGUUAUUUUGUCAAUUGCAGGGUUGGAUAUGUUUUAUUUAUAAGGGAGACUCUGCCGAAAUUUUUAUAGAUUUGUUAUUAAUUCGAUUUUACGAGUUUAGAUAGACUCGCCCUGGGGGAGGUUGCGGGGCGGGUCGUUUCAGUUGGUAUCAGAGCAUGGUUUUAGAUUCUGUAGACUUUAUGGUCGUAAAUAGAAUAAGUUUUGAUUAUUAAGUCGGAUUUACUAUUUUGUAGGCACCAUCAUAAUUAAAUUAGUUAGAAGUAAAAUUAUCUCUCUAGUAUUAUGCAAGGGUAGAAAUUUGGGUUGUACCAUGUUAUAAUUAUCAAGGAUAGUUUUGAUAGAAUUCUAAUUGUAAUAUAUGACUGUAUAAAAAAAAAAGAACAUUAAUGAAAGAUGUUUAGGUAAGGACUAUCUUGGAAUAGAAUUUUGAUUGUAAUAUAUCAAUAUAUAAAAAAAAAAUUUAUGAAAAAUGUUUAACAAGGACUGUUUUGAUAUUUUAAUGAGUAGUAAAAAUUAAUGUUAAAAUUUGAUAGAACAUAUAUAAAUAAUCCUAGCUCUAAUAAAAUUUUGCUACAUAAUUAGUUUAUCCCUUAAAGAAACAUAUCAAAAAAAUAUACAAAAACACAAUGCAUGAGUACAUGUCAAUCACAAAUGAAAGCAAUUAAGAUAAAGAAUAUGAUUUAUUUUAUUUUAUUUUAGUUAUUUUUUUGUUUCUUUUGAAACAAGACCAAUUAGAUCUGCAAGAAGUAAUUUUUUAAAAAAAUAAUAAAAAAAGGAGAAAUGAUGAAACCCACGUCCAAAGAUGCCGUUGUCGCGGAGGCCUAGAUCUCACUACACCCCAUCCCCUUCUACCAUAUUUUAUAAUUGAAGAGGCCAUUAUUGAAUUGAAAAAUUAUGAUUCAAAUAUCCAAAAGUAGAAAAAGAAAAGCAAUUGUUGGAAACACACUCGGAGUUUUAAAUUGACAUGAGAAAAGAAUAUAUUCAUCAACCUCAUACGUUAAUGAUGCGACGAGUUUAAGAAUAUAUUCCUAACGUGUGGGAAUUUAAAGACGUUACUACAAAACAUGUGUUCGUCGGUGGAGUAGAAUCAGGGAAAUUAAAGAUGCUACUACAACCACUAACGUGUGGGUGGAGAUAAGCAUAACUUUUUUCAUCAAAUGCCAAAUCCCCCCAGGUGGAGAGUGGGGACUCCUUCGCAUAAAUGUUGAUAAAAUUUUGACUAUGAUGUUAUUAGGAAUUAAGGGAAACUGUGGUGCAAUUGUGGUAUCGUGUCACAGUUGUAUUUGGUCGUUGGAUGUCAGUAGACCCUACCCAUAUAAGUGUAUCUAAUGGCUAAAUGUAAUUAUAACACGGUACCGCAAUUGCACCGUAGCCGAACCCUAAAAAUUAAGAUAUUCUCUCUCUACGUAUGCCUGCACGAAAUAAAUAAUAUGCAAAUAUAGUAUUUUAGUUUAUUAUUAAUAGUUUUACAAUAAUAAAAAUCAUUUUGAUAGACUGGAAAAUGUCAUAUUCGCAUUUUAUUUUGUACGGACGUCUGCGAGAAAGAACAUAUAUAUAUAUAUAUAUAUAGAGGAACGUGUAUUUAAGAUUUAGCUAGUGUGAAGUUGGGAAAUUUUUUUUUUGAACCCAGGCUAAAAUUAUUUCAAUAAAUUUUGAUCAUGGAGACUAAUAAGAUUUUUUUAGUUAUAUUUAUUAAUUUUUUAGGGACUAAUAAAUUUUGAUCAUGGAGACUAAUAAGAUUUUUUUAGUUAUAUUUAUUAAUUUUUUAGGGACUAACAUGAAUAUUAAUAAUUUUAUUGAGAUUAUUAAAAAAACAAUGUGCUAUUUUACAUCUAUGACUUUUCCAAUCUUUUUUUCUUUCGUUAUUUAUUCCUUUGUGAAUUUUAGUUAAUGCUUGAUAUUAUUUUUUUGCUCAUUUUUUAAAGCAGUAAUUAAAUCUGAACCCUUACAGUAGAAGAUUAUGAAAAAGUAAAGACACAAAAAUCAUAAAAAUCAUUAGUACGUCCAAAUUGUGCUAUUUUCAUACAUAACUUGAGAAUAUUUAUAAUUACGCAUCAGAACUAGUGGAGUAGAAUCAGGGAAAUUAAACAUUCUACAAUCAUUGACGUGUGGGGUGGGGAUAAGCAUAAACCUUUUCUAUGCAGUAUAAAAGAAUGCAAUAACUCCUUUUGUUUCAUAUCUUCGCAGCAAAAGCACAUCUAAUAACUCUUCAGAAUUCUCGUCUUCUUUGUCAGAAUGGUUGAUGCGAUCGUUUCCUCUCUCCUGGGGCAGCUGAGCUCUGUUGCGGCUGAUGAAGUGAAACAGCAGGUGAGGCUUGUGACUGGUGUCCGACAAGAAGUGACAAAGCUUACCAGCAAUCUUCGAGCCAUUCGAGCUGUGCUGGAAGAUGCAGAGAAAAGGCAAAUGCAGCGCGACAAUGCUGUUACUUUUUGGCUGGAUCAGCUCAAAGACGCAUCUUACGACAUGGAAGACGUGUUGGAGGAGUGGACCACUGCAAGGCUCAAAUUGCAGAUUGAAGGCGUUGAUGAUGACAAUGCUCUUGCUCUUGCUCCUCAUAAGAAGAAGGUACGCUCCUUCUUUUGUGCUGUAUCAAACUGGUUUGGUAGUUUCAAACAACUUAGUCUUCGUCAUGACAUUGCCGUCAAGAUUAGGGAAAUCAAUGGAAAGCUAGAUGGUGUUGCCUCCCAAAAAGAUACGUUUAAAUUUGUUGAGAAUGUGAGCAACAAUGUUAAGAAACCAGAGCGAGUGCGAACCACCUCCUUGAUUGAUGAGGGAGAGGUUUGCGGUAGAGUUGAUGAGAAAAAUGAGCUCUUAAACAAGUUGUGUGAAAGUAGUGAACAACAACAAGGCCUUCAUGUCAUCUCACUAGUUGGGUUAGGGGGUAUAGGUAAAACCACUCUUGCACAACUAGCCUAUACUAAUGAUGAUGUGAAAAGAAAUUUUGAAAAAGUUAUAUGGGUGUGUGUAUCAGACACUUUUGAGGAGAUUAGGGUCGCCAAAGCAAUCAUUGAAGGUCUAGGCAUGUCAGCUUCUGGUUUAAGCGAAUUCGAAUCUCUUGUGAAACAGAUUCAGGAAUAUAUUACGGGGAAGAAAUUUUUUCUUGUUUUAGAUGAUGUGUGGGAUGUAGAUUACAAAAAAUGGGACCCAUUCUUUUCUUGUCUAAAGAAUGGCCACCAUGAAAGUAAAAUUCUAAUUACCACACGUGAUAGGUCAGUUGCACUACAGUUGGGAUCAAUAGAUAUUAUCCCUGUCAAGGAGUUGGCUGAAGAGGAAUGCUGGUCGUUGCUCGAGCGGUUAGCAUUCUUCCGUCGUUCUGUUGAUGAUCAUGAAAAAUUAGAACCAAUCGGGCGAAAAAUUGCACACAAGUGCAAAGGCCUGCCUCUUGCUGCAAAGGUAAUAGGGAAUCUCUUGCGCUCUAAAAUUACAGUAAAAGAGUGGCAAAGAAUUUUAGAUAGUGAAAUGUGGAAAGUACAAGAGAUUGGGCAAGAUCUUUUGGCCCCUUUGUUGUUGAGUUAUAACGAUUUGCCCUCCAAUUCUAUGGUAAAACGGUGUUUCUCAUAUUGUGCUGUCUUUCCAAAAGACUACGAGAUGGAUAAAGAGGAGUUGAUUGAUCUGUGGAUGGCUCAAGGUUACCUUAAUGCAGAAGAAGACGAAGAGAUGGAGAUGAUUGGGGAAGAGUGUUUCAACAUUUUAGCAGCACGCUCUUUCUUUCAAGAGUUUGAGAAAAAUGAUGAUGAUGAUGAUAUUAGGAGUUGCAAGAUGCAUGACAUAGUACAUGAUUUUGCCCAAUUUGUAAGUAGAAAAGAAUGUUUGUGGGUAGAAAUGUAUGAUAACAAAGAAUCAGUCAUAAAGUCUUCUGGUGUCAAAGUCCGUCACUUAGGGUUAAAUUUUCAAAGAGGAGCUUCAUUUCCUACGUCCUUUUUUGAAUUUGAUAGAUUGCGUAGCCUCUUAAUUUAUGAUAGAAGUUAUUCCAAUCAGGUUCUUAAUAGUAAAUUGGCGUGUUUAAGGACAUUAGUUAUAAGGCAAUCGUUCCAAUAUUUUUAUCCUAUUUCUCUUGACUCAAAUGCGAUUAGAGAAAUUCCAGAAAAUGUUGGAAAAUUGAUACAUUUAAAAUAUCUUAAUUUGUCUAAAUUAGCCAUAGAGAUACUACCUGAGACUUUGUGUGAAUUAUAUAAUUUACAAAAGCUAGAUAUUAGGGAGUGCCGAUAUCUUAGGGAAUUGCCAGCGGGGAUUGGGAAGUUAAAGAACAUGAGAAGUUUACUGAAUGAUAAAACUUAUUCAUUGAAGUACAUGCCAAUAGGGAUUUCCAGAUUGACCAGCCUUCGAACAUUAGAAAAGUUUGUUGUGGGUGGAGGUGUUGAUGGUGGCAGCACGUGUAGGCUUGAAUCUCUGAAAAAUCUUCAACUCCUUCGUGAAUGUAGAGUAGAAAGGCUGAGUAAUGUAUCGCAUGUAGAUGAGGCUGAGAGGUUACAACUUUACAAUAAGAAAAACCUCCUUCGUUUGCGUCUUUGGUUUGGUGGAGUCGUAGAUGGGGAAGGCGAAGAAGGGAGGAGGAAGAAUAUUGAGAAAGAUAAACAACUUCUUGAAGCCUUACGACCGCCUUUGAAUUUAGAGGAAUUAGGGAUUGUAUCCUACCAAGGCAACAUUUUUCCCAAAUGGUUGACUUUGCUAACCAAUCUAAGGAAUUUAUUUCUUUCCUCGUGCGUUAACUGUGAGCAUUUGCCUCCUUUGGGAAAAUUGCCUCUGGAAAAACUCAAACUAUGGAAAUUAAAAAGUGUAAAAAGAGUGGGUAAUGAGUUUUUGGGAAUAGAAGAAAACAGUGAGGACGACCCAUCUUCAUCUUCAUCGUCAUCAUCAGUUAUUGCCUUCCCCAAAUUGAAAUCACUCGAAAUUUGGGACAUGGAGGAAUUGGAAGAGUGGAAUUACAGGAUUACGAGGAAGGAAAACAUCUCCAUCAUGCCCCGUCUUUCUUUCUUAAAAGUUGUUUUUUGCAACAAAUUAAAGGCGCUGCCGGAUUACCUUCUUCAAACGACGGCACUGCAGGAACUGCGUAUUUUUUCUUGUGAUCUUCUAGAAGAACUGCCCAUUCUAGAAGAUCGCAGGACAACAGACAUUCCACGUCUUUCUUCCUUGCGAAUUUCGGAUUGCCCCAAAUUAAAGGUGCUGCCGGAUUACCUUCUUCGGACGACGACGCUGCAGGAAUUGACUAUUGACGAAUGUCCCCUUCUGGAAAACCGUUAUAGAGAGGGGAAAGGAGAAGACUGGCAUAAGAUAUCUCACAUUCCCCACAUCGAGUGGUAAAUUCUCGAAUGGUUGCAAUUACUAUCACCCACCGGUAAUUUCUCACCUCUAUUUUACUUUGUUGUUACUUCAAACAACGACACUGCAAACAUUGACAAUUUGUACAUAUCAAUAAAAUGUACAAAGUUAAAAAUAUAGAAUGCAUUAGUACAUGUCAAUAACAAGACCAAUUAGAUUAUGGCAUUGCUUUAUUUUAUUUAUUUAUUUUUUUGAUUCUUUUGAAACAAGAUCAAUUAAUUAGAUCAUGCUAGAAGUUAAUUUUUUUUUUCAAAUGAAAAAGGAGCAGUCAUACAAAGUUUGAAUAUAAAAUUUAUAAUCUAAAACUAAUAAUGUGACAAUUAGCAUGUUAUUAACCUAUCUAAUAGAGUAGGAAGUCCCAAAUACAUCAUAUUCUGCUCCAGAAAUCCAUUCCACCUAGAAUACUUCUUUCUAUUGAAAUUAAUGAUGAUUUGUUUGUUUGCAUCAUGAAAGUUAAAAAUAAUUUUAUGAGUAAUUUGAUUCUUUACGGUACAAAAAAUAAAUUUGGAAAGUACUAAUUUCUCUCAUACUUUUUGGGCUAAAAAAUAAAUGUAACUCCAACAUAUUUAUUAUUUAAUGGUUCUAUAUAGAAUCAAUCGUGGUAUAAAUAUGUAAAACUUCCUAGUUAUCAAUUUUGUCUUGCAUAAUGAUAAUCGUUUUUUUUUAUAUAUAAUUUAUGUGACAUUAAUUCUUUAAAGUAAUUGUGGAAUUGUUUUUACUACAUUAGCCCUCUUUGUUUUAUUUCAUACGAGUUUAAUUAUGUUCACCAGGGAUUCGAGGAAAUGUCAGAACCACACUAGCAAUUCACAGGUCCAAUCUAAUUUGGUUUUAAUGAUGCAGGCAGGAGAGUAUGCUAAGAAAAUGAAAAGUUUAGCCAAAGGAUUGCUAAAAUGUUCUGCUGGUAAUUCACUUGCUUUAUUUUAUAGAAUUUCAUUUCCAUCUUCUUCUAUUGAUAUCUUGUUGUGAAUAAACAAGAACAGAGAAGUAAAGAUAUAUCAAAAUUAACUAUUACGAUGAUGCUAAAGCAAGCUCAAGCUCAAGCAUUGCAUUUUUAUUUUAUUUAAUUUAUAGAAUUUUCAUUUCCACCUGCAUUGCAUUUUUAUUUAUUUUUAGGUUGACUUUGAAUACUUCAUGGUGAAAAUGACGAGUUCAGCCAAAGGAUUGCUAAAUGUUCUGCUGGUAAUUCACUUGCUUUAUUUUAUAGAAUUUCAUUUCCAUCUUCUUCUAUUGAAUCUUGUUGUGAAUAAAGAAGAACAGGUAAGUAAAUGAUUGAACCACAGAGAAGUAAAGGUGUAUCAAAAUUCGCUAUUAUGAUGAUGUUAAAGCAAGCUCAAGCACAAGCAUUGCACUUUAUAUUUUAUUUAGUUAAUAGAAUUUUCAUUUCCACCUGCAUUUCAUUUUUAGGUUGACUUUGAAGACUCUAUGGAGAACAUUGGGGUAACCAAGGAUUAUCACUGUGGUUAUUGUGCAACGUUUGGUUGCUGGACUUUGAAGAAGGAAGUGAUGGCCGGGUCUGCUCUGUUUCAAUUGAGGAUGGAUAGCUGCCUGAAAGACAUGAUGAUUAUUAUUGUGUGAUGUUAAGGUGCUGAGAUCAUCAUUGCUAUCUUGUUUCAUUCUUGGAAUCAUUUAUCCUGUAUAAACAUUUGUUUUAACAAAUGUUUCAAUGGCUGCUGUAGUAACAAUUUCAUAUCUUGCAUCUCUCGGGUGCAUCAUGAUCACGGGUUUGAGAAAGCAUUUGUGGUAAAGCUUCAAAGCUUGUACAAUGGCUGUGAAAAGGCACAUUCAAUUCGGUACGUUUGGUGCGGUCUCCUAAUGCUACUACCAUAUUUUGUAUAGCAAUUAAAAUUCAGGUAUACAAUCUUAAUAUGCAAUAAAUCAUUGAGUACAAAGUUAUCUAUUAAUUAUAUGGUAACUGAAAUUUUCAUUAUAAUUUUAAUUAUCAUAUUAAUAUUAAAGUUUUUUGUAACCCUCUUUUACUUUGCUUGUACAGAGUAUCUGUUUUGGCUGAUAUGUCUAAUUCGUAGCAAUUCAUUUCCAUCGGUUUCCAUUGGUUUUAGCACAAACAGAAACAAAAAUCUGGGGAAAAAGUUUUACUUCUUGUGGUAUUAUGCCUUUAUUUAUUCAUUCAUCAUAUUUGUUCGAAUUCAUGCUCUCAUUCAGAGAGCAGCCUUUUCCAGGCUACUUUGUAGCCAAAUUUUCAUGCCAUCGAUGCAUGAUUGUCAUUUAGAUUUUCCAAAUAAUUGUUAGAUUGAAGAAGAAUAAGAAGAUAUUGUUAAAAGGGUAUUUAAUUAGCACCCUCUGAAUUUAGUUGCCAAUAAUGCAUUGAAAUGGUUGGGGAAAGUUAUUGUCUCACUUAAAUUACAGGUGAUAAGAUGCUGCUCCAAUUUUGCAAGCAUCUCGUGUUGCGAAGAUUUUGCCCACAUGAGAUGUUAUGAUUUUUGACAUCAGGGUAACACAGGUCAAAUUUUAGCAUCAAUAGAUAUCAUCUUCUUUACUGUUCUGCUCGAAAUAUUAAACUUUAGGCAAGUUGUUUUUGGUUGUGUGAGUUAUCAGGUUAAGGAUACUAAGCAGCUUAUUAAGGCAAAUGUCAGAAUGCAGAUUGCUCACCACACCUGGUAUGCAUGAUGGCCAGGAAGAUUAAUUGUUCACAAGCCAAUUUGAUCAGUGUUAGAUUUUUUUCCUCCUUUCGAGGGACAUCAUCAUCAAAUUUGAGUAGAGAAUCUUUGAAGGGAAUUUUGUUGUAAGAGUUUCACAGUAGUGAAUUCUAGAAGCUCGAACUCACUUGAGUGAGAUAUUAGGGAGUAUUGGGGAUUUGGGUUAUGAGUAAUCAUUAUCCUUCCAAUAUGUGUAAGCACUCACUUGUUAGUAAAAUCAUCUUCGUAUAUUGACUAUGUUUCUUUGUUAUCAGGUAGAGUGUGAUCUUCAAGGGUUUGAGAAAGUCCUUGCAGUAAAGUUUCCACCACAAGUAAUUGCUCAGUUUCAGAUUUUCUAGGCGUUUAAUUAGUUUCGAUUAUAAUAUUUAGUCACUCAUUCUGAAUCUUUUCUAAUUUUCAAGUUCCUUAGGGUCACAAUCAUUUUUUCAAGUCUGCUGUGGCUGCAAAAAGAUUGUUGGUCAUAAAAUUAUCUUGACCCUUGAGCCAUUGCGUUUGAGCACAAACAGAAACAGAGCUAAAGGAAAAGAACUUGACGCAAGAAGAUGCUCUGAAUAUAACAAAAGUAUAUUUCUACUUCUUGUGGUUAUUUACUUUUGUUUCUCCUGUCAGCAUAUUUGAUUAAUUCGUUCGAAUUCACACUCUCACACAUUAUUUAAAACCAUUUGUAGGUGGCUUGCAAGCUAAUUAAGUUAAUGCAGAAGCAAUACUCUAGACUUUAGUGAAGUUGUUUUUGUUUGUGUAAGUUAUCAGGUUAAGGAUACUAAGCAGCUUAUUAAGGCAAAUGUCAGAAUGAAGAUUGUUCACCGCACCUGGUAUGAAUGAUGGCGAGGAAGAUUAAUUGUUCACAAGCCAAUUUGAUCAGUAUUAGAUUCUUUUGCCUCCCUUCGAGAGAUAUCAUCAUCAAAUUUGAGAAGAGAGUUUUGUUUUGACAUUUCACUGUAGUGAAUUUUGGGAGCUUGAACCCACUUCAGUGAAAUAUUAGGGAAUACUGGGGAUAUGGGUUAUGAGUGAUCGUUAUCCUUCAAAUAUUUGUAAGCUCUCACUUGUUAGUAAAACCAUCUUCGUAUAUUGACUUUGUUUCUUUGUUGUCCGGCCGAGUGUGAUCUUCAAGGUUUGAGAAAGUCUUCGCAGUAAAAUUUCCACCACGUGCAAUUGCAGUGAAGGGGCAUAUACAUUUGAGUAAUUCAGUUUCAGAUUUUCAAGGCGCGUUUGUUUAAUUAGUUUCGAUUAUAAUAUUUAGUCACUCAUUCUGAAUCUUUUCUAAUUUUCAAGUUCUUUAGGGCCGCCAACAGUUUUUCAUGUCUACAUGUGGCUGCAAAAAGAUUGAUGGUCAUCAAAUUAUCUUGAGCCUCGAGGCAUUGCAUUCGAGCACAAAGGGAAACAGAGCUAAGGGAAAUGAAGACAGUAGGAGAUGCUCUGAAUAUAACAAAAGUAUAUUUCUACUUGUGGUUAUUUUAAUUUUGUUUCUCCUGUCAUCAUAUUUAAUUAAUUCGUUUGAAUUCACACUCUCACACAUUAUUUAAAACCAUCUGCAGGUGAUAGAAUAUGGGAGACGUUGUUAAUGGAAAAACAGUACUCUAGACAAAGAUGAGCAAAUUGAAGGCGACAAAUGCAAAUUGGAUUUCCAUGAAUAAUUGUUAGGCUGGUGGAGAUAUUCUUAAAAGGGCAUUAAGCUAUCUUAUGGAAUUGGAAAGUUAUUAUUACUUGAAAGCAAGCAGCAUCUUCGUUGCGAAGGCUUUCCCCACUUGAUAAGAUGCUGAGAUUGUUAUCGGCCCCUUAAUUAUUUAUUAACUCAGGU
rnacentral:lncRNA from 1 species